rnacentral:lncRNA from 1 species
UUACACCAUAAAGUACUGAUGAUAACUGAUAAAUCAUAACGUAUGUACAGAUUUAAUAUUUAUUGCAACUGCUCCCACUAUUCUCUCAGCGGCACUGCCGCUAGUCGCAUUCUAGCCACAUUUUAUCUUGCUAUUAUGCGCCACAUUUACAUAAGAUUGUAUCAGUUUAUUAUGCAUGCCUAUGUUAUUGACAUCCGCUGCAAAGUUUUUUUUUAAAGAAAACACAUCUAAUCUUUGCUUCAAUUCAAAUAUUGAUAUAUCUUUCUUUGCUUCAGGUAUGGAAAAGAAAAACACCGAGAAAUUAAGUUUAAUUCCAACUCCAAAUAUGGAAGAAGCCGGCAGAUCAUCAAACCGAGAAGCAAAUGAUCAAAACAAUUUCUCCGAGUAAGAAAAUAAACGCACCAACGGAGCAACCACUGUCAGUAUUACUGAAAAACCUUUUUUUAAUAUUUUAUAUAUUACAAUCAAAGCCCAACACAUAGUAUCAAUCUCUUUCUUCUCCAUUCUUUCUUUUUAACUCUCUUUUGGUUUUCAAUCUAGCUAGUGCAAUCUUCAAAGCACCUUAAGGUACGUAUAGUUCUGACCAGUCACAUGAUCAUUUUCUUAACAUUCUGAGUAGUUUUCUGAGUAGUUUACACUCACAAACACACAAAUAAAAAAUAAAUAACUCCACCUGCAGUUUCUCUCUCCCCGUUUUUUUUUUUGUAGUUUCUUUAUCAAUUAGUUUGCACAAACUUAAAAUAUUAAUUAUCUUCUUUUUCUUUUUCAUAUUGAUUAUUCAUGUAAUCUAUCUAUUUGUUUCAAGAGCUUUUGCAUUUCUUUUAGAAAAAUUAAUUAUCGAUGAUAUGCGCCCCACCAAUGAACCCAACUUUAACUUUACCAAGGCAAACUUCUGGGUAUUUUUAUAUAAGGUUGAGGUGAAAUUAGAGUAAACUAUCUAUCAUUACUCUUCCUAAUAAUUGUUUAGCAUCAUUAUGUCACCGUUAAAAAGGCAAAAUUACCAAGGAGGUACGUGAAAAAAAUAAUACCCAAGGAGAAGCCUUGUUGUCAAGUAAUUCAUGACGAUGUUGUUUCCCCUCAUCUUACUGAGCUAGGUCAAUUUAUGGAUUAAAAACAUAACAUGUUUUAACAGUUAGUUUACUGAUUAUUUAAAUAAUAAUAAUAUUUUAAUAUUAAGUGGAAUAUAACUGAAAAAUAAGAUUUAAAUGAUUUUGGAAGAAUGCCAAUAGUCCAACUCAUCCGCAAAAUUCAAUCUAUGAUCGCCUUUACUCGAAAAAAUUUUCAGCUAAGCCUACCAGAGCUAUCUUAAUCGGCCCAUAAGAGUCGUUAUUUUGGAUUGGACAAAGGGGAACAAAACGCUACAGAAUCUUAAAAAUCUUAAAUCUGCCCCACAAGGGUAUUAUGUGAUGGGGUGGGGUUAUUGUAUCUAAUUCAUACUUUAAAAGCCCAUUUGCUCAACAUACUGAUGUGUUGACUUUUGAAAAAGAGAGCUUCAACAAAAGAAAUUAAUUAAUUUUAAGAUUUUAAUAAGUGUUUAGAGUAGAAGUUAAUCUUUUAAAAAUUUAACACCCUACAUUUUAAGAUCUAGAUCCAGAAAAAUAUAGUUCUAUAUAUUAAAAAUGCAGAUCCAAAUGUUAAGAAUUAGAAUCCGCAAGGAUUUAAAUUUGGAUCUGGAUAUAAGUGCAUUUAAAAAAUCGAAUAUCCAGAUCAAGUUAAAUUAUAUACUAAAUUAAAUAAAAAAAAUAUUAGUCUUUUUAUGUUUGAUUUAUAUGUGGUAAAUUGUGGAUUUAGAUGUUGUUUUAUGUUAUUCAUGUUGAAUUGUUGAUUGUUAAAUUACGAUUGGAUUUUAUUUGAUAUUAUUCAGUCAAUUGUUGAAUUUUAAUUUUUACAGAUCUAAAUAUUCAGGAUAUCCGUACAGAGCUUGACACAUUUUUGUGUUAUGUAUAAGUCUUUAAUUAUUUAAUUUUCUUAUUUAUUUUUGGUUGAAUCAAAUUCAAGACUUUUCAGGUAGUGUUUGAAGGUAAAUACGAAGUAAAUACAUUUAAUACUCCAUAAAAGAUAAAGAUUUAAGAAAAAAAAAGUGGGUGAAAUAGGGUAUUUUUGCGAGGUUAUUUGCACCCAUAACCACUCUCUACAUUCAUAAUUUCAAAUAAUUUUUUGACUGCCUAAUUUCCUAAUAAUACUUUAUAAAUGUCUUUUAUAUAUUCUCCUUACUUUAUAAGUAAUUAAUUAACAUAAUUUCUUGCUCUUCAACAUCAUGAAUCUAGGUCAUAAACUUCAUUAAUCUUGAUCGUCAUCAAUUAACCAUUAAUCUAAAGGCCACAAAAUCGUGUCAAAAGUUGUGGAAAAUUAAGGGGCCAUAAAUCGUUUCCAUUUUUAAAAGUUAGUAUUUAGUGUUACGUUUGCCAAUAAAAAAAGAAUACAUUUGAAUCUGUGUGCUUAUAGCCUGUGGGUGUCGAAAUAUAAUGAUGUUUAAUUAUAAAUCUUUAAAAAAAAUUGUUAAAUCUGUUCUUUUGCUUCUGGCACAGAAAAGUAGAAUUAAGUUUAAUUCUUAACACCAACAUGGAAGAAGCCAGCAGUUCAUCAAGGCGAGAAGCAAAUGAUCAAACCAACGUCUGCAACUGCAAGUAAGUAAAUCAGUACUCUAUAUGUAUCUAAUAUUAGAUGUGUAGAAUUGAUUUAUUGUACUUUUGAUGUUACAUAAUUCAUUGAGGGAUUGCAUUUUGAUUCGUUAUUUAUAAUGAAAGUUAAAGCUUAAAGUCUUGAAUAUUUUGUGAAUAUAUAGAAAUUUUCCAAUAAGGUCCCAUACUUUAUUAAAGUGCGAAUUUAAUUGAGUUUUUAGAAGGCCUAUAAUUAAUUAAUGACAUUGAGCUCGCUCUAACCCCUCCUCAAACUCACACGGAAGUAAAUAAAAUUGAGCUAAUAAUAAAGUUACCCCAAAUUUUGAAUUAAUGAUAAAGUUACCUAAAAGAUUUGCUUUUAAUGGGAUUGAGGUGGAGUUUAUUGGUAAAUUGCAUAUAAUUUUUCGUGGAUCCACCUAGUGUAACUAGCUGAAAACUAUACACUACCUUAUUCUCCAGUGACUGUAAAGAUUUAUCACGAUUACUAUUGUUUAUUCCUUACUAACAAUUCAAAGUCUGCGACGCACCGAGUCAGCAAUGGUGUGUGUAUAUUAUUUAACAAGAAACUCCUCACUUUAAAAAAGUGGGGGUGAAAUUGAAGGACAAAAACAAAAAUUUCAAUGUAAGUGUUUACGUUUUUUUUAAAAAACAAAUUAUAUUAGAGUCAUAUUAUUUUUCAUUUUAGCAUAUUCACAUCUAACCUCUAUCUCUUUUGGAAAUAAAAUUUGUGCCAUUUUUUUUACUAGGAGAAAUUAUCUCUACACUACCUUUCUUUUACCAUAUGUACAUCUAACCACAAUAAAAUUUUGACACAUACUUUGUCACUUUUGUUUCAAACUUAUAUCAAUUAACCACUUUGACACUCAAACUAACCAUUUUACCCUUAAAUAAAUUAAAACACUAUUUUAUUCUAUAAAAUAUUAAAAAAAUAUAAAAUUAUAAUUAUAAGAAUACCCCUAACUUUGAUAAAACAAAUAAAUAUCAAAAUCUAAGAUAAUAAAUUUUAAAUGAAAUUAUAAUUAUAAAAAAUAUCAUCUUAUAAUUAUAACUUUUGUAAUUUUAAUUUCAUUUAAUUUUUGUAAUUAAAUUAAUUAUAGGAAAGUUUAUAAUUAUUGUAAACUUCCCUAUAAUUAAUAUUAAGAAACUUUCCUAUACAAAUUGAAUGAAAUUAUGAUUACAAAAAUUAACAUGAUAAUUUUAAAAUGAAAUUAUAUUUAUAAAAAAUUAACAUGUUGAAUUUAAGAUUUAUUUAUUUUAAUAAAUUCAAGGGUAUUCUUAUAAUUAAUUUUAUUAUUUUUCAAAAUUUCGUAGAAUAAAAUGGUAUUUUAAUUUAUUUAGGGAUAAAAUAGUCAUUUUCAAGUAUCAAAAAGGUUGUUUGAUACAAGAUUAAAAACAAAGGUGGUGCAAGGUACAUGUUAAAUUUUAUGGUGGUUCAAUGUAUAUAUAACCAAAGAAAGGUGAUGAAGAGAUAAAUUCUCUUUUAACUAGCCCCUCUACAAUUAACUCUUGAGUCUACCAUUGGCGAUCAUCUGGAUGACUAGAUUGUAAUAAUAACUUCUCUGAUAUCACUAUGAUGGAGCCAAAAAUUAGUAAACAAACUAAAGAUUCAGAAAGUUCAACAGGUAAAUAAAUAAUUAACAUAAAGAGAUUAAUUAAUUUUUAAUUUACUGAUUCAAUUUCAGUAUUAUUAAUUAAUUUUCAAAAUAAUAAUGUUAGAGAAGCUCACUUUGCAGAAAAGAGGAAACUGCACAAGCUAAGUAAAACCAGCAAGCUGGUGACGUCAGAUAAAUGUAAGCUCAACUGCCACCUCAGCUCAAGUAGUUAACAGUCUGGUGUGAUUACUCUGUAUAUCGAGUUGUGGUUAUGCAUGUGUAGAUUCUACUGAAUCAGUUAGUCAUUAGCUUUAGUAAUCCUUAAGCGUUGAGUAUAAAUAAGUUGUAAUCAUAACAUUUCAUUUUAAGAAAAAUAAAUACAAGAAAUCUGAAAGUUCUCUGGAAAUUUUCUGAGAUAUUUUCUCAGCAACCAAACAAUAUUUUCUCUUAAUUUCUUUCAUGGUAUCUGUUGAGUGUUAGAAAAUGCAUAUUUAUAAAGGAGAAAACCGUCAUUUUACAUUUCAAGUCUUACUAACAACCCUUACUUUUAUGUAUUUAACCUUCUUGUGAUUUAAUUACAUGUGUUUUAUUUUAAUUAAGUAUUUUAUGUAUUUUAGAGGCAUUAUAGUCAUUUCACAAUAAAGGAGAAAUCAGACGGCAAAACGGACAUCACUUUUGAACUCAGGACGGUCAAAAACCUUAGGAGGAGCAUAAAAGGAAAAAUGGCACUAUUCACAUGUACGGUACUAUUCACGUGUACGGUACUGUAUACGUUACUGUUCACGACACCGUUCACAUAGACGGAUGAUGACGUGGCAUUGACCGAUGAUGUGGCAUUGACUGAUGAGGUGUCACGAUCCUGUUGGACUAAAAUUCUUAUGUACUGUUGAUGGUGACGUGGCAGCAUAUCAGUGGAUGAAAAAUCUCGUGUACGGUGCAUGCAUCACACAGGAUUAUUUUCAACCAAACCGCGUUACUGUUCAUCCGGGUCAAACCGCGUUACUGUUCAAAGUCGGGUCAAACCGUGUUACUGUUCAUCCGCGUGGUCAAACCGUGGACUGUUGACUGAUGACGUGGCGCAAUCCUGAGCGUCCAAACUGUUUUUAAUCCGAUGGCCAUGAUUUACUCCAUGUAUCUAUAAAAAGGGGGCCUCUCCCCCCUAAUUUGAUAUCUCUGAAUCCAUUUUUGGACUCUGUUUUCUGUAAUUCCCUCUCCAUCUUGUAUUUUCUUCGUAUUUUAAUAAAUUCCCAUUUUGCCCCUAGUUCAAUUAUGAGUGGCUAAUUUUCUUUCAAGCUUGGGUUGAAGGUGAAGUCUCAACAUGUGUCAUGGGCUUUAUUUGGUAAAUUUAUUUUCUCUUCCCCUCUAGUUUUUGUGGAUGUUUUGACUUCUCGUCGACAAAUAAUACUAAUCUUGUCUAGUACCGCCUUGGUUUCACCGGCCCUCUGGUACAAGGUUAUUAUUAUUUGGCACGAUAAGCCCUUAGCACCAUAUUGAUUAGAGCGCGGUUCAUGAGGUGUGGAUUCCCCCCUUAUGAUUUAAUUGGCAUUAAUACGGAUUAUUUAGCCCAUGAUGCAUGUUGAUACGGAUCCAGAUACCCAAGUACGUCAAUUCAAUAGAAUUCUCUUCAAUUUAUUCUCUCCAUUGCAAUUCCAAUUUUAGAAUUUAUUCUCGCUAUUUUAAUUUAAGUAUUAGCAUAUUCCAAAUCAUUUCCACCAUAAAUCCAACUACCCAUUUACAAAAUUAAUUCUAUAUAUAAUUAAAAUCCACCUCCUCGUGGGAUCGACACUCGUCACCAUUAGUCUAUACUACAACAGAUUCGUGCACUUGCGAGUACAUUAAAAUUUGCACAACAGUAUCAAAGCCAGUAUGGCUAGUUCCAGCAACACAACAACACUUUCAAAUUCAACAAAUGCAAAUCAAUCUUCACAGAUCUCAUUCUUGUUCAGUAAUCCAAUAAAACUAGAUCGAUCUAAUUUCCUAAUUUGGAGAAAACAAGUUCUUACAUCAAUCAGAGGAAAUCGGCUUGAAGAUUUCAUAUCUGAAAAUCAGAUCAUACCAGAGCAACAUAUCAUUCAAACAACAGUUGAUGGAUCAGUGCAGAAAGUAGAUAAUCCAGCAUACAUAAAUUGGAGAGCUCAAGAUCAAAUACUACUUGGCUGGCUGUUAUCAUCAGUUAAUGAAGGUAUUCUCAAUUCUAUUCUUAAUUGUGAUAAUUCACGAGAUGCUUGGAGAUCUAUUGAGAAACAAUUUAGAGCUCAAUCUGAAGCUAAAAUAAUGCACCUUCGUUAUGAAUUGAAUGUACUUAGAAAGGAAUCCAUGUCUGUUGAAGAAUAUUGCUUAAAAGUCAAAAUAUUAGCUGAUAAACUUGCCUGUGCUGGUAGUCCUAUGUCAAAAAGGGAUCUGUUAAUGCAAGUUCUAAAUGGAUUAGGAACUGGUUAUCUAGAUCUUGCAUCUAUUAUCAUAGCUAAUAAGAUGUCUUAUGAUGAUGCUUAUGCCUUACUGUUAACACAUGAGGCAUGAUUAGAACAAAGUCAGACCAAUCAGAAUACUAAAGUCAUGUUCAAUGCUAACUAUAGAGUGAUGAAUUCCAAUUAUUCUCAAGUCAGAGGGAAUAAUAGAAGAGGAGGUUUUGGCUAUGGAGGAUAUCGUGGACAAAUUCAUAAUGGAAACAGAAAUGCUGGAAGAGGAAUGAUGUUUAAUACAUAUCCUAGAGGCUUUAAUAACAAUGGUCAUAAUUUUGGAAGAGGCAAUUCUAUGCCAAUGCAAUUUCACAAAGUUUUACCACAUCCUAAGCCUCAUGGUCAAGGUUUUGUGUCAGCUGGAACUGAAUCAGAUGAUAAUAUUCCUGUUUAUCAGAUAUGUCAUAAGUCAGGGCACACAGCUAAUGCUUGUUGGCACAGAUACAUUGAGAAUUAUGUGCCACAGUCAAGGCAUUUUGGCAGAGGAAGAGGACCUAAGUCAGCUUACAUGACUACAUUUGAACCACAUGCUGAGUUUGCACCAUAUUUUGAUGAUUUUUAUGCUAUGAACUGCUCAAAUUAUUAGUCUUACAAUCUGGAUCCAGUGACAUAUUCUUCUAUGCCUCAUUGUUCAUCUGAAAUGUCUUCUGCACCUGGAGCUGCUUAUCUCGCAAACUUUGAAGGGCCUGCUGAUGAAGGGUGGUAUCUUAAUAGUGGAGCAACUCAUCACUUAACUAACAACAUGGUUAAUAUGCAGGUCAGAGAGGAAUUCAAUGGUUCUGAUCAGCUUAUCAUUGGAAAUGGACAAGGUUUGCCCAUAACUCAUGUUGGUGAUGCUAACUUUGUUUUUAAAACUUCAUUUGCUCAACACAAACACCAACACAUAGUACUGAAAGAUAUUCUUCUUGUCCCUUCAAUUACCAAAAAUUUAUUGAGUAUUUCUAAACUCACAUCUGAUAACCAUUUGUCUGUUGAAUUUCUUGGAAAUAUUUGUUAUGUGAAAGAAGCUCUGAAGGGGGAAGUUCUGCUGCAAGGUAUUGCUGAAAAAGGAUUAUACAGGCUGUUAUUCAAACCAUACUCAUCCUCUGAAUCAUCUUUUCUAUCUCAGAUCAGUUUAAAUAAGCCAAUGUCUAUGCUGUCAUGUUUUCAUUUUAAUUUUGUAACUGAUGUUAAUAAUGCAGAUUGUAGCCAUUCAAAAUCUUGUUAUUCAUCUACUGCAUUAUCUUGUAAAACAUCAGUGAAUAAAAUUGCUUUGUUUCAUAAUAGAUUUGGUCAUCCCAAUCAAUAUAUCUUAAAGCAUGUUCUCAAAAAUAUCAAGUCUGCAAAUUUUUCUGAUAAUAAAAUAAAACAAGCACUGCAAUACAUCUAUGAAGCUUGUCAAAUGGGUAAAGGCCAUAAGUUUCAUUUCCCUUCAUCCACAACCAAAACAACCAAGUUUUUAGAACUGAUACAUACAGAUCUCUGGGGUCCUUCACCUGUCUACACUAAAGAUGGAUAUCACUAUUAUAUCAGUUUUGUGGAUGAUUUUAGCAGGUUUACCUAGAUCUACCCUCUAAAGUUUAAGUCUGAAGCUCUAAAUGUCUUUAAGCUUUUCAAAACAUAGGUUGAAAAUUAGUUUCAAACCACCAUUAAGUAGUUACAAUCUGAUUGGGGGGUGAGUACAAACCUUUCACUGAGUUCUUAAAUUAGUGUGGUAUCAUUUUUAGACACUCUUACCCAUACACUCAUCAUCAAAAUGGAUUGGUUGAGAGAAAACAUAGGCAUAUUGUUGAAAUGGGACUUACACUGCUAGCUCAAUCUAAAUUACCCUUUAAAUUUUGGUAGGAAGCAUUUCAUACAGCUGUGUACAUCAUAAAUUGAUUGCCUUAUAUUGUUCUCAAACUUUUGUCUCCCUAUGAGAAACUUUUCAAACACCAACCCAACUAUGAUAUGCUUAUGUGUUUUGGUUGUACAUGCUAUCCUUACUUGAGGGAUUAUAACCAACACAAAUUUGACUAUCAUUCCAGCAAAUGUAUUUUUCUAGGAUAUAGUUCAUCACACAAAGGAUACAAGUGCUUACAUCCUUCAGGUCAUCUCUAUAUAGCAAGACAUGUCAUAUUUGAUGAACUCACUUUUCCUUACUCUACUGAUUCUAGCUUUCAUUGUUUCACUGAGUCAUCAUCAUCACCUCUUCCUUAUACUUCUUUUUCUCCUCAGCAAAUAUAUCAUCUUUCCACUUUGCCUGUUGUUCAAUCAUUUACUGAAAAUAGCACUGGUUAUUCCUUAUCUGCAAAUCCUGACAGCAGCAACUCAACUCACUCAGAAAAUCCUAUACAAACAACAAAUGAUCAAAAUUCAUAGCAAGUAAGUUCUCAAACUCAUCUACCUGUUAAUACACAACAUUUCUUAUCUUCCUUCUACUUCUUUUUCUCCUCAGCAAAUAUAUCAUCUUUCCACUUUGCCUGUUGUUCAAUCAUUUACUGAAAAUAGCACUAGUUAUUCCUUAUCUGCAAAUCCUGACAGCAGCAACUCAACUCACUCAGAAAAUCCUGCACAAACAACAAAUGAUCAAAAUUCACAGCAAGUAAGUUCUCAAACUCAUCUACCUGUUAAUACACAACAUUUCUUAUCUGCCUCUGCUUCUGAUAAUACAACAUCAUUAACUCCUCCUGUUGACUCACCCCAAAUACAAUCCAACAUCCAUCCUAUGACCACCAGAAGCAAAUCUGGCAUUUUUAAACCAAAAGUGUAUACAACCAUUCUCACUCACAAAGAACCAGAAUCAGUGCAAGAAGCUUUAAGUGAUUCCAGAUGGGUGAAGGCUAUGCAAGAUGAGUAUGAUGCCUUAGUUCAUAAUGAUACUUAGUCCCUGGUUCCUAAAGAGGCUGAUCAACAAAUUGUAGAUAAUAAGUGGGUGUAUAGGAUUAAAUAUAACACUGAUGGGAGUGUUGCCAAAUACAAAGCUAGGCUUGUUGCCAAAGGUUUUCAGCAAAUUGCAGGAGUAAACUACUUUGAAACUUUUAGUCCAGUUAUUAAACCAGCAACUGUCAGAGUGGUAUUAAGCUUAGCAGUGAUGAACAAAUGGAGAAUUAGACAAGUUGAUGUCAAUAAUGUGUUUCUCAAUGGGGAUUUGACAGAAGAGGUUUAUAUGUCUCAACCAACAGGUUUUAUUGACAACACAAAGCCUGGUUAUGUGUGUAAACUGCACAAGUCUCUUUAUGGACUUAAACAAGCUCCUCGAGCUUGGUAUGAUAAACUUAAAAGCUGCUUGCUGCAGUGGGGAUUCACUAAUACUACUUCUGAUACAUCUCUGUUUUUGAAAAGGAGUCAUACUUCCAUGAUUCUUGUGUUGAUAUAUGUGGAUGAUCUCUUGGUUACAGGUCCUAGUAGUGCUGAAUUAGAACAUUUUAUUGCAACACUAAGCUCAACUUUUGCUUUAAAAGAUCUUGGCAUUUUAUCUUAUUUUCUUGGGAUAGAAGUCUUAUAUGAUGAAGAUUGCAUAUUUCUGUCUCAGAGGAAAUACAUCGGAGAUUUGUUAGCUAAGGUUGAUAUGAUUGAUUGUAAGGGCAUUGAUACUCCUUUAAGCACCGGUCUAAAAUUAUAGAAGUCUGUUCAAGGACAGCUUGGCCAUUAUCUUGAAGAUCCCACAUACUAUAGAAGCAUUGUUGGAAGCAUGCAGUAUCUGGUCUUGACAAGACCUGAGAUUGCUUUUGCAGUUAACAAACUCAGUCAGUAUGUAUCUACUCCUACACUACAGCAUCUCAUGGCAUGUAAAAGGGUUUUAAGAUAUCUAAAGGCCACUCAGGACUAUGGUUUAAAGUUCAUCAAAGAAGGCAAUAUGGAGCUUACUAGAUUUACAGAUGCUGAUUGGGCAUGUGACUUAGAUGACAGAAAAUCAGAGAGUGCAUAUUGUAUCUACUUGGGUAAUAAUCUUAUAUCAUGGUCUUCUAAAAAGCAAGGAGUCAUAGCUAGGUCAAGUGCCGAGAGUGAGUACAGGGCAUCAGCAUCAGCUAGUGCAGAAUUAACUUGGCUUCAGUCCUUGUUUGCUGAAGUUGGAGUAUGCUGCACAUCUAAACCUAUCAUUUGGUGUGAUAACAUUAGUGCAGCUGAAUUGGCCAAGAACCCAGUUUACCAUUCCAGAACAAAACACAUUGAGAUUGACAUACACUUUAUUCGCAACAAGGUUCUUAAUAAGGAGCUCGGCAUUCAAUAUAUAACAAGUGCAGAUCAAGUUGCAGACAUAAUGACUAAACCUCUUUCCUUCAUACAGUUUAAUUAUUUGAGGGCCAAACUCAAUGUUCACUCUUAUCUUUUGAGUUUGAGGGGGGCUAUUAGAGAAGCUCACUGUGCAGAAAAGAGGAAGCUGCACAAGCUAAGGAAAACCAGCAAGCUGGUGACGUUAGAUAAAUGUAAGCAGAACGACAGCUCAGCUGCCACCUCAGCUCAAGUAGUUAACAGUCUGGUGUGAUUACUCUGUAUAUCGAGCUGUGGUUAUGCAUGUGUAGAUUCUACUGAAUCAGUUAGUCAUUAGCUUUAGUAAUCCUUAAGCGUUGAGUAUAAAUAAGUUGUAAUCAUAACAUUUCAUUUUAAGAAAAAUAAAUACAAGAAAUCUGAAAGUUCUCUGGAAAUUUUUUGAGAUAUUUUCUCAGCAACCAAACAAUAUUUUCUCUUAAUUUCUUUCAAAUAAUAACAAUUAUAUAAUUUAUAGAUUCUGUUUUCAUGAUGAUUAACUCACAUGAUCAAGAGGAGGAUGAGUAUUGUGGUCGUUGUUGGCCGCUAUACAGAAUGAUAGAGAAAAAUGAUUGGCGAGGUGUGGACGAUUUCGUCACUAAUGAUCCCGAUGCCUUGACCGCCAAGACUAUUGCACCGGGUUCAACGACAAUAUUUCACGCGAUUGUGGAGUUAUGGGUUGAUGUUGAGUCUGAUGACGCCACAUGCCUCCUCGAUAAGCUGGCGUCAAAGGUCGAUCCACAAACACUAGAACAACGAGAUGAACUUGGGUUCACGGCUCUAUUUGUUUGUGCGGUAAAAGGGAAUCUAAGGGCCUUAAAAGUCCUAGUGAAGUAUAACCCUGACUUAACAAACAAAAGGGGUAUUUUCCAGAGUCUUCCGGUUAUUCAGGCAGCGUAUAAGGGUCAUAAGGAUACGUUACAGUAUCUACGAGAGGUGACUUAUGGAGUAGACAUCUACAGCGGCAAUGAUGGUGCCAGCAUGCUUUCACGUCUCAUCGACGCUACUUUAUACGGUCAAUAUUAUCGAAUGAACAUUGAAUUGUUUAAAUAUACACACUUAAAUCUUGUUUGCCGCUUUCGAAUAAUAUGCUCCGCUAAACCAAAUUCCUGCUUUUACUGUUAAUUGCUUGGUUAUACUUUAGUUUUAUUAUCUUCGUUUAUAUAUGUCUAUAUAUGAUGCUUGCAUUAUAUAGAGAUCAAAUACAUCGCCACUACUCUGACUUUGUUCAUUAAUUAGAUGUAGCUUUGGAUUUAUUGAAGCGUCGUCCAACGAUUGGCCGUGACAACACCGACUCUCGGAGAAUUGUUCUAAACACGUUGGCUGAAAAGCCUUACGCGUUUGCAAGUGGGAGUCGGCUUGGACACUUGCAACGCUUAAUUUACAAUUGUUGGUGUCAACAAUCCAUUACGAACACACACACACAUCUAUAUAGUGAUCCUCCAAUGAAGGAGCCCUCAUUUUAAUAAAAUGAGGAAGCACUAAUUUGAAGAUGACCCCAUAUAUAUGUGUGUAUAUAUAGAGUGUUUAUUUGUGUGGCCUAACAAAACCAAGCAAAUAAAUUUGCAGGCACUCCUGUGGAAGUGGAACUUGUUCCUUCCAUUCAGACCAACGGUAAUCAAAAUGUGGAUGGAGACAUGGAGAACCUUAUCGUGACAUCAAAAAUCCACUCAAAAACAUCCACACGUUUUCGAUCUGCUAAGAAAAUCACUACGACAUUCGGUCUGUAAAACUGUUAUAUACUAAGUCUUCUUGAAUUUAUGAUUCUGAAUUGAAAGGAUUUCGUUUGUUUAUACUUAUGACAGGUGCAACGUGGCAUAAAUCGUAUUGGAUGCUCUGGAAUGCCCUCAUGCGCCUAGGUAAGUCUUGAGAGGCUGUGUUCAAUUAAAAUAUAGUUGUUUGAAAUUAAUUUAUUUAUCUCCUUUUUAUUGAUCAAAAGUUAUCUGUCAAAAGUUAUACAUGAUCAAAAGUUAGCGCACAUGCAGACAGUUGAAAUUGUCAGAAUUAUCUGUCAAGAAGUGAUUUGGACCUGUCACAGAAGUGAAUUAGCGGAGGCAUUGUUCACAGCUGCAAGAUUGGGGAUACACGAGUUUGUCAAUGAAUUUAUUAUGGCCUAUAACAACACUGCAGAUUUGUUGAAUGAGGAUGGACGUAACAUAUUUGAUGUUGCAGUUUUACACCGUCGAGAAAAAGUUUUUGAUGCAGCGGAAGUUUAAUGUUCAAAAUAUUCCGUUGAUUCUAGAGAAUACCGAAACAAAAGAACAACUAAAUUCACGUUGAUUCAAAAGAAUACCGCGAAUUUAGGGUUAAGACUCGUUGAUUCCACAGAAUACCAAGAAUUAAUUGUUCAAAUACUCACAAAGAGAUUUGAAAAUUAAAAUAUUAUUAAACUCAAAAUUCUCUGCCUUUAAAAGCUACAAAAGAUACUUAUUUAUACUAAGUAAGACUUAUUCUAAUAUGAUUAGAAAACCUAUUUUAAUAAGACUUAUGCCUAAAUUAGGAAUAUUACCCAAAUAAGCAAUACCUAAACAAUAAGACUCUAAAUAGGAAACCAAAUUAAACUAUAAUACAAAUUAAUUAAAAUAUUCCUAAAUAUUAUACAUUUAAAUAUAAUUAGGAUUUCUUCAAUUUCUUGCUCUACAUCAGUUUUUAAUCUAAUACAUCGUGUAAAUUUCACAACAAAUUUAUUUUCAACAGAAGGCAAUUUUGGCAACAACAUCCUGCAUUUAGUGGCAAAAUUGGUACCUUCAAGUGAAGUGGCUGGUGCAGCAUUGCAGGUGCAGCGGGAGCUGCAAUGGUUCAAGGUGUGAUUGCUCAUCCGACAACUUAAUACACCUUUUUAUAUUUAAUAGUCACAAUUUGAUGGUUGUGGCACAAUAGGAUAAAUAAGUAUUGAUAUUAAGAUUAAAAAAAAUUGACUGAAGCAUAGACGAAAAUAAGAUAUCAAGAAACAGUGCCGAUUUACACAAUUGAAAAACAAGGUAAACCAGCGCCGUUUUUAACUUGUUUCUUGGGCGUUCUAUCACUUUGGCAUUUGCAGGACAUAUGUAAGCGUGAAAACGCAUAAUAAAUGAAAAUUUCUGACUAAUUCCUCAGUCCAGAUGCCUUUAGUUAUCAUCUUUCCAUUAAAUACGUUGGGCCUUUCUGCACCUAGAAAAUCUACCUUAAAAGAAACUUUUAGUCCUCAUGUUUAUGAAUUCUUCUCUGCAGGCGGUAGUAAAACUUAUCCAUCCACACAGGCUAGGAGAUGAAAAUAGAUCCAACCAAACUCCUAGAGAGGUCUUUACUCAAGAACACAAGGAUUUAGUCAAAGAAGGAGAAAAAUGGAUGAAGGAAACAGCUUCAUCUUGCUCAGUUGUGGCUGCACUCAUUAUCACUGUAGUGUUUGCCGCAGCUUUCACGGUACCUGGUGGGAGUGACAGCAAAGGAAUACCAAAUUUUUUACAUGAACCAUCUUUCAUGAUUUUUGCCAUUUCAGAUAUGCUUGCGCUUUUUUCUUCCAUUACUUCAGUUCUAAUGUUCUUGGGCAUCCUCACUUCACGCUACGCAGAGGAGGAUUUUCUUGUAUCGUUACCAAGGAAGUUAAUUAUUGGCCUCGUCACCUUGUUCUUUUCUAUUGCAAGCAUGAUGGUAGCCUUUGGUGCGGCCGUUCACAUAUCUCUUUCUCAUAAAUGGAAUUUGGUUAUCAUUCCAAUAGCCCUUGUUGGAUUUGUCCCUGUCACCUUAUUUGCAUUGUUGCAGUUUCCUCUUGUUUGAUAUGUACUCAUCUACUUAUGGCCGCGGCAUUAUCAUAGACAGCAGUUGGAGAGAAUUAGCUAGCUGCAACUUGGUUGCUAAAGGUAGCUACAAAACACGGUUAUAAAAGCUGAUUAAAUGGGGUUAUUGUCCCACUGUGUAAUUGAUUCAUUUCUCGUUAAUUUUUCCUGGUGCUCGUUCUAUAAUCAUCGUUGAGUGUUUAGAGCUGUGUACUUGAAUUUAGUUUAUAAAAGGGCAUUCUGAGGCUGGUUCGAUUGAGGAACUGAACCUCAGAAAAUUUAUUCUGUUUGUUUUGAUCUCGUUUAGAUAAUAAUUGAUCUUUGACCAUAUUUGUUUCAUUGAGAAGGAACUAUUCAUCUGAUUCCAAUCAGACCUUUCCCUUUAGGAACAAUAUUUAUUCCUAUGAUUUUCAUUUGAUUUCUAUCAACUGGCAAUUAAAAGCUCCGAUGAAAUUUUUUGGACUACCAACCUGUCUGGGAUGCUCGAAAUCCUUGGUCGUAAGGUGACUAAUGGUGCCUAUUUCCUUAAUAGAAACCAACCUCACAUUGGCUUUUUGUUAACAAAAGUGAAGAACAAAAUUCUAGAGCACUCUAGAAGGUUACGGAGAAACAAGGAUUGUGAAAAAUUGAGGCUUAGAUCAAAAGGGAAUCGAGAAACCUCAUUUAAGGCUCUGUUUUUCACCUGCUAGACUACUGACUAAUUGUAAUUACAAGUUCAAAUAAAAUGUUGAUUAUAGAACAAUCGUCAUAAAAAAUGUUGAAUUUAAACUCCGAAAAUAACCAAGUUUAAUCCCCCAAGAUCCACUCCUAAGCACUUAAAUCUCAGAAUUACACCUAUAAAGAUCAAGCUUAAUGCAAUUGACUCUUAACGAUUCAAAAAUGGUAACCAAAACAACAUGAACAGAAACAAAAUUACACAAUUUGACAGUAGAGAUUUAUAGUGGUAUGGCUUCAAGCAAACCUACAUCCAUUGCAAAAAGAGAAACAAUAUUUCACUAAUUUGGGUUUCUCAAGACUCAAUAUUGCAGAGAGUGUGUGACAGGAUCACCAGAUCACAAUAACCACUCAUGAGGCGUUAUAUACAGAGAGAUAUUCAUCUAGAAAUGUCCACUAACAGCCAGAUCACGUAUUUUUGGGUUUGUUAUCAAAACCGACAAGCUUCCCGUGCAUAUAACAGCUUUAACAGCUCUUUGCACUGGUUGAUGGACACGUGUCAAUGCUUCAUCCACUCUAUUAUGUAAUACAGCAAAUGUAGCUGUUGAAUUUGAUAGUCAUGCACAUGAAAAAUCACGUGUAUCACCCAGUCUUCCAGUUGACAAUACAUAAAUGUCAGAAGUCCCUCCGAAGCUCUACAAAUGGCAUGUCAUACUUGCAAGAGCAAAAUGUCAUAAAGGUCUAGAGAAUGUAACCGACUUGUCAUUCUGGAUUGCAAACCCAGAUUUGAGCUUGAUCCUUCGACAAAAAAUGACCCAGAAAUGGCUUAGUGGAAGUAUAUCUAAAAUGACAAAAAUCAUAAAAGAUAUUGAUCCGAGAAAUUGGUUAUUCCUAUGCUAUAUAUGUCUCUACUACCUGGUACAUUGAGAGUUGUAGUGAAAACUAUUGUGAUUAUGAGUGUAACAAUUGAGCAAUAUGAAACUGAAGAUGGUUUAUCAAUAUGUCAUGAUAAAAAUAUGGAUAAACUAUAGAGAGGUAAAACAUAAAAUAGACUAAAUUAACCCCCUUCUUUUGAGUAAAGCCUUUAGGUUCAACACCUAGUAUUCCCUCUUUAACCUUAUAAAUAGACUUACACCAUUCUACUUUCUCGUUUGCAAGCCUCUCUAUUGGAUCCCAAGUAUGAUUUCUGAUCAAUGACUACAUUUCCUCAUCCACGGCUUCCUACCAUUUUUAUUAUCUAUCACUUUUAGCAGCCUCUGAGUAAGUUUUGUUUAUCAAUUUCAACCUCAUGUACUGUCGUUAAUGCAAAUGUAAUUGGAUCUGCACAUGCAUACCUCUUAGGUUGCUUUAUUACCUUUUUUCUCUCUAUCUCUCACCAGCUAAUAGUCUCUAAUUUCUUGAUCAUCUGUUUGCUCAUCUUUUGAUUUAGAAAUGUCCAUAUCAGAUCCUGAUUCAUGUUCAACUCUUUGUUUUCGCUUUGUAUUAGAAGUUGACAAUUCCGCCCCAAAAUGAGUCUUCUAAUCUCUCACAUUGGGCUCUGUGAUAUCAGGUUUACAAUGAGUUAAGUUUUGAAGCAUCUUAGACUCAUUAAACACAACGGCUCUGCUGAUAAUAGCUCUUAUUGACUUUAAAUUAGUGCACUAGAUAGCCAACAAAUACACACUUUAAGCCCUAGGUUCUAGCUUUCCUUGCUUAGUGUGUGAAUAUGAAGGCAAACCAAAGACCCUCAAACCAUAAUAGCCUAUUGAUCUACCAAACUAAAGCUCAAUAAGUGUUUUAAAUCAAUUCCAGAUGAGGGGCUUCUAUUCAGCAUAUAGCAAGCUGUAGAUAGCUGUAGAUAAAGCUUUUGUUCAUGAUCUCAUCGAUAACUUUGAAUGAAUAAGUAUGUAUCUUACCUUAUCAAUCAAAGUUCUAGUUCAUCUUUUUAGCUAAUCCAUUCUACUGAGGUAUGUAUCUCAUUAUUGUGUGUCUCACAAUCCCAUGCUCAAUACAAUAGCCAUCUAAGCUCUUAUUACAAAACUCCAGAUCAUUAUCAGUCCCCAACCUCCGAACCUUUCUAUUUGUUUAAUUCUCAACUAAUAUUUUCCAAGCCUUGAACUAUUCAAACACAUCAUCCUUGCUCUUGAACAUAUAUACUGAAAUCAUCUUUAAAAAAAGUCAUUAAUGAGAGAUAAGAAGCACUUUGUCCUACCUCAAGAAGCUUUCUGUGUUGGUUCCUUUGAUACAUAAACACCAUAACUAAAUUUUUGACUCUUGAAGACUUGCCGAUGACACAUUUUUUACAGAAUUUCUUGGUCUCCAUCUUAUCAUUUCUAAAAACCCCCUGUUUUGACAUCUCUUUAAACCAGUUUCACUCAUAUAGCCUAAUCUCAAAUGCCACAAUAUUGUUUUAUCUAAAUUCUGGUUUGACACCUCACCAUCACUUGUAACAACUGACCCUUGAAAGACAUACAUGCCAUUGUUCAUAUAUCCCCUCAUUAACACCAUUGACCCUUUUAUUACCUUUAAGGUGUCAGAUUCAAAUUUAACUGAACAUCCCAUUUUAUCGAGCAUACUAAGAGGGAUAAGGUUUUUUUUUUUCAGUUCAGGCAUAUGUCUAACAUCCUUCAAUUGCUUAAUCAUGCCAUCAAACAUUUUAAGCUUAAUUAUGCCUUUAUUAACUACCUUAUAGCUAGUAUCAUUACCUAUUACAUGUACCCAACCAUCAAAGGCUUCAUAGCUCAUGAAUAAACUCUUAUUAGGGCACAUAUGAAAUGAACAACUAGGAUCUAGAAUCUAAUUAUUUCUAGUUUGGCUCUUUGUAGUUAUAAGAACUCCAGUUGAGUCAUAGCCAUCAAGUGAAGUGACCCUUUAAUGCCUAGUAGCAUCAUCACUCUUUUCCUUUAAGUCUUUGUUCUUGUUUUUUUCUCUUAGGGAAGUCUUUCUUGAAAUGACUUCCUUGUGGCAUUGGAAGCAUUUCAUGUUCUUUGGUUCAGAUUUUGAUCUUUUUUUUCUUCCCUUGCCACUUUCUCUAUUUUCUGUUCUCUCUUUUGCUGUCAAGGCUUCUCCAUCUCUAGAUUCUUUUUUCCUGCAGCCUUAGAACUCAGAGUUUCUUUGACAUCCAUUAUGGUAAGGUUUUGUUCCCUAUACAUCAGGUCAACAAGAUGCUCAUAAGAGCUUGGCAACGAACACAACAAGAUCAUGGCUUUAUCUUCAUCAUCAAUUUUCACAUUAAUGUUUUCAAAAUCUAGUGUAAUCUUAUUGAAAGCGUAAUAACUCUAUGAAAUGAGAAUUAUCAUGACACUUUUAAACUUAAAUCAUGAUUACUUAGAGAUUAAAGGAUAUGUUUUAGCAUAGGAAUAGAAUUGAUGUUGCCAGUAAUAUCAGUAGUAGACAUAAUUGAACAGAGAACAAUAAAUAAACAAAACAAGCUCAUAUUAGUCUUAAAACAAAAAUAGAUUCAAAUAAAGGUAAACCUUAUCUCAAGAUACCAGACUCUCCAUUAAUAUUCCAUCUUUGGACAAAAUAAUUUGUAAGUACUUCUAGACAUUUGGGGUCAAAUGUGUACAAGUUGAAUAGCUUGUCUUACCAAUUUAAUCCAUCAUUUUCUUAUGCUUGUCUUACCAAUUGCAUGCUUCCGAACNNNNNNNNNNNNNNNNNNNNNNNNNNNNNNNNNNNNNNNNNNNNNNNNNNNNNNNNNNNNNNNNNNNNNNNNNNNNNNNNNNNNNNNNNNNNNNNNNNNNCCUCAAUGAUUUCAAGACCUACGGUAGGGUUUUUCAAGUUAGAAAACCGACUCCUAUUUUUUAUUUUCUUUUUAAUCUCAGUCAUUGGAUUCAUUUUACUUGAAUCCAACGGCUGCAUUUACAAGCCUGCACAAUGCCUGGCCUCAAUGCCCAGCAGUGUUGCUUUAGCCUAACCUCAUAUUCAUGUUAUUUUGUUAAACUUUCUUUUAUUUUUUUCUUCAAAUUCUAUGUCCUUACCUAGUUGUUUAAUCUUUUGAGUCUAAUGGCUUGUCAAAAAUGGUACUGUACUCUGCAGAGACAAGAAAGAAGAUGAAAUGAUCACUGUGACAGAACGUCAAAAAAGUAAAGAAACUGAAGAAGCACAGGGUUCAAAAGUAACUAACACAUUUGAAGAUUUUAGGUUAGAUUAAUUUUUAACUUAGCACCGGUUUCUAUAUUUUUAAAAGAACAACAAUAUAGAAUUUGUUGUGUUAUCUUCGCAUAGAGUCAGCUUCAGCUUCAGCUCCAGAAUUAAAAUUUAGGUUUAAACUCUUCGUCCAAACUUUAAUCCUUGAUUUUAACUCGUUCACAUAUGUAUAUAUAUGAUGCUUGCAUUAUAUAUAGUUCAAAUAUAUCGCCACCACUCCCAUACAUGAAUUAGAUAUAUAGCUUCAGAGUUAUUGAAGCACCAUCCAACGAUUGGCCGUGACAACAUCAACUGUCAGAGAGAAAUUCUAGGAAGCUUGACUCAAAAGCCUUACGAGUUUGCUAGUGGAAGUCGGCUUGGAGUUUUGCAACCCUUAGCUCACAGAUGAUGGUGUCAACAAUCCUCUUGCUCAAACAUCUAUAUAUAUAGACUUCCAAUGAAUUGAAGAGGCCCUCAUUUUGAAAGUGAGAGGUCAUUCGUUGAAAGAUGACUUUAUCUAUGUACAUACACUGUUGUAUAAUGUGGCCUAGCAAACCAAGUCAAUGAAUUUGCAGGUUUUCCGUGAAAAAGGAACUAGUUUCUUCCAACGAUGAUCAAAAUGCAGAUGGAGACAUAGAGAACGUUAUUGUGAUAUCAAAAAGCCAUACAAAAGAAUCCAUAUCUUUUGGAUCUUCUCAAUAAAUCUUGUUUAGAAAAAACUUUAAUAUGUUUUGUGAUAACAUACCAGGAUCUUGAAACUUUUCAAGUACGAAAAACUAUUAAGCCAUACGGUGUAAUAAUAUAAUCGUAUUAUAGUAUUAAAUUAUAUGACUUAAUAGUUUUCCAGAAUUUAAUAAAGUCUAACAUCCUAAACCAGGCAGUCAUUCUCUAAAACGGAUGCUUGUAUCCUUAAACAAGAAUUCGUUGUAUAUGCCAGUUUUUAUAUUUUUUUUGUUCGAUUCACUGUUAAUGAGGAAUAUAUUUCUUCUUCAAAUUCCUUUAGUUAUUAUCUUUCCAUUAAAUACAUUUUUUUUUUUUUGGUUUUUUGCUCGAAAAGCUAGAUUGAAAGUAACUUGUAGUCCUUGGAUUAACGAGAACCUGAAAAUAGUCUCAAGCAAACUCCUAGAAAGGUCUUUACCCAAGAACUGCUACAACAUUCCCUUCCCUAUAAACUGGGAACAAAUAACAUAUUAUUUUCACUUUCGGGGAAAAACCCCAUCAUGUUCAAAAUCUAUUUUCUUUAAUAAUAAAUUCUGGUUACGUUUUAAUUUACAAGAAUGGAAGGAAAGUGCUUGACUUUAUGAAAAAAGGAUUAGCAUCAAAUAAUUUCAUCCUUUACUUGUUCCCAUAUACUCAGAGCAAACUGUUCUUUCCUUCGAUGCAUUAUGAUAUUAUAAUAUACUAUAGUCGUCAACGAAUCUCAAGAGUAACUGUAUAAUAUUCUAAAGUGGAGUGUUUGUCGUAUGACUAAAUUAAAAGAUAUAAUAUUCUAAGAGCCUACAUAUUCGGCUCGACGGCCCUUUUAACAAUAUAAGGAGCAGACAACAAUUAGUUUCAUGAAGUUCAAUUCAAAAAAGAAGGAAAAAAAUGCUCACUUCGUUUUCACAAAUGAGAACCAAUUGCAGUGGCGAAGCUGAAUUGUCGGUUAGUUUGCUUAUGAAAUGAAGAGCGCCAUUAAAAUUAAAAAAUAGUUGAGCGAUUAAAACGUCUAUAAAAAUUUUAGUUCACACAUGUGAUAGCGACACAGAGUAUCUUUCUAAGAGAUCGUGUUAAUUUUAUUAAAAUGCCCUUAUCUAAUUUCUUCUUGUAUUUUUUUCUCCGCCAUUUUUAUUAUGCGGCUUCUUAAAAUUUAUCAUAUGCACUUAGCUCUAGCGAGUCCCUGAAUGAACUUCCAUCUCUUCCUAAUUUUCUUUCUAAACCAAGGCAAAAGUGUUGGUGAAAAGUAGCAAUGCGCUAUUAUCCAGUUAGAUGAUAAAAUUUAAAGUUGGAGUAGCGUCUUGUACUUAUUCAAAAAAUUGGGUGGUUCAGUUUGGGUAAUAAUUUCAUUAGAAAUAAGUCAAUAUUUAAAUAAUGUAUGGGUUGUAAUUAAAAAAGAGGUUUAAAAGAUUUAGGUUCCAUUUGGCACAACUUAUUAAAUAGAGUUUAUAACAGUAGAGCUUAUACCAAUAGAGCUUUUGGACAAAUAGUCAUUGGGUGUUUGGUUGUCGAUAAAAAAACCACUUUUGAACCACUAAACUAUGUGAUAUUUUUUAUAUUAUUUAUUUUUAGAAAAGCUCUCUAACCUCUACUCCCAAAAACUCAAAUUUUUGCCUUUUGCUAAUAGAGGUAAAUUAGCUUAUUUAAGCUAAAAAAACUCUACUAAAAAAUAACCAAACACUAUAAAAAAAUUUAAAAAGUGUUUAUACGAUUAAAUAAGCACUUAUAUCUCUUAAAUAAGUCAUACCAAACAGGCACUUAGUAUGUUUAAUUUUGUGAUAAUUGAGAGUAUAACACUAACUACAAUGUUCGUGCCUUGCUUCCCAACCACUAAAACUUUUGGAGCUGCUGUUCUUGCGUCAAUUUAUGUCAUAAAUAUCCUUAUCCACCAUAUAUAUGAAUGCCCAUACCAAAAAUAUUUCCAAAAGUUCUAUACAAUAGUGGUUUAAGGAUAUAAAAUUUUUUGUCCUUUUUGAGUUCAUAUUGAUUUAGAUAUUUGGGUCCAAACUACUCAUGUCACUCAUCUAUUAGAUAAUGAAUUUUAUAAUUAAUAAAAUUGCUAAUACCAUUAUAUAAAUGGUUUUUUUUUCAAAGAUAAUUAAUGAGGUGGAGAAAGCAUAAAUUCAAUUCGUUUAGCCUCUUCCCUCCCCCUAGUUUCAAAUCCAAGAGGCCAGUCAAGUAAAGUAGCUUGAAGCCACUCAGCCAUGUCUUUGAGGGAAAAUGAAUGUUACAUUAGUUGAGAUACAUUUGGAUCCCAGAUCCCAAUAAUAUUCUUAUUAGGGUUUUUAUUAUCAACAUCAUUAUGUCAAUAGCAUUAUAGCUUAUUUAUUCCUUAUAUUAGGGAUUUAUUUAAUCUUUGGUAUUUAUUAGAUUAGAUUAUGUGGAAUAAUUGAGAAUAGUUUUUGAAGCAAAAACAAGAAAAUUGUUGUGUUUACAUUACUAGAAAAACAGGCUACUAUGACAAAAUUUUUGUGAUAGAUAUAAAAAAAUUUGUCAUUUAUCACAAAAAUAUGACACACAUGUGAUAGAAUUUUCAUAUAUCAACAAGGCAUGAUAGAUUUGUGAUAGUUUCUUUAUCUGUCACUUGCACAUGAUAGCAUAUUUAUAUAGUAAUAAAACGGUGAGUGUAAGAUUGGCCAAUUUGGGUAUUGAACGACACCGUGUCUUGAAGCCUUUAAAAAAAAUUCUAAGUGUUGGACACUCCUUUGAACUUCACAUAAAAAACCCUAAUUUCUAUAUCCAAACCGAAUCACACAAAAAUACACCAUCACUCUUGCCGACAACAAAUUGCUGUUGUUCGUCUUUGAAGUCAUCUUCAUCCCGACUCCACAGCUUGCUGGCUAUUCUCAUUUCCCUUUUAUAGCUUGAACAACUGAUCUUCUUCAAGUUUGAGCCACUGUUACUGACUUCUUUCGGGAGAGGUAAGUGAUUAGUUCUUUUUUUUUUUUUGGAAGAGACAACAAUCACCACAAAUUUCUCAAAAUCCCUAAAAUUAUGCCAAAAAAAGGAAAAAAAUAAAGCCGCUCCAUGGCCUUAUAGGACUGACUUUGAGUUCGUGGAGUAACGUGCCAAUGACUCCGCUUUAUGCCCUUCAUGGAACGAUUCCGCGACACGCGAGUGGCAGCGUGCUAUUUAUGUGAAGUCGGAUCGGAGAAGAUUGUACUAUGAGGAGUUGGCGACGUGAGAAAGACAGCGAGUUAGCUACUACAUCUUCGACUUAGGGUAAAAUUUUGGUAGAAUUUGAGCUGAAAUUUAGUGGGUUUUGAGUGGUAAGACGAGGUUUUGAGAGAGGAAAAGGAGUGUUUGGCUGGCGAGAAAGUGAGAGAAAUUUUUUUAGUGUGGAGUGAUGGCUUCUCUGUUUUUACUUCUUUAUUGUUCUUUAUUGAGCAGAUGGUGACAAUACAAAUUUUUAACAUUGUUUACUUAAUUAAUUGGAUAACAAUCUUACAUGACUUUUUUUAUUUAUGAGAUAAAUCAGUUAGAGAAGAAUGGAGAUGUUGUUGCUCAGGCACGAGCAAUUACAACAGUCUAGACACUCUGCCCCGUCUUUCUUGCAAUGUUGUUGGCACACUAAAUAAUUUCCUUAGUGACAAGUUAACCAAAUUUAGAGGUAUAUGUGAUUUUGAUUUGACUUACUCUUAAUGAAAUACAAUUAAGGAAUUUUUCUGUUGUUUUUAGGCCUUUUGGAGAGUUCGGAUUGAAGCAAUGUUUGCCUUAGCUAAUACAACAUCUAAGGUAUUGUUAUUAUUCUCACCUUUAUUUAUUAAAUAUAUUGAGCACAUGGUAGGUCCACCAAAAUGUAUGCAAAAUCUAUUCACCAGAGGUAUUCGCAUAAAGUGAAUUUUUGUGAGAGACUACUCUUCAACUGUGAAAACUACUUUGGUAGUUCUCAAACCCAUUACAAUUGAUUGGUGCUUGUGUUUUUCUAUUAGAAAGAUAUCUUCUGUAAAAUCUUUGUGAACGACAAUUUUGGAAAUGCAAAUGCUUUGUGUGGUGGUGAUUGUGCUUAUUUGCUUGGUCUUCUAGCAUUUUAGUGAAAUAAUUUAUUUUGACUUGUGCUUAUGACUAACUUGUUGACAGAGAAACUAGGCCAUUUAUGGAUGCACUGAUAUGAAUCAUAUAAUUUUUUUCUUAAUUGACAUGUUGAACAUUUUGGAAGAUAUUUUUUUUAUUUGAUUUGUCACAUAUUGUGCUUUAUUAGUUGGAAAAGUUUUGGUUUGUGGACCAUGUUGCACUUAUCAGUUCUCAAUAUUGAUAUAUGAUAUAUACGCACUAUUGUACUAGAAAUUGAUUGAGUUGGUUUGCUCCAUCUGGUGAAAUUUUAUAAAAGUCGAAGGUUUGAUGAGAAUAUUGGACUCCCCAAGUGAGAAUCUAUCUAAGUUUGAAAUUGUUAUGAUAUCGUUGCUGCAGCACUUUGUUAACGUUUUUGUUUUCUGCUGAUCAUUCCAGGCCAAAUGAUAUCCGUGAUUUUUCAAAGUAUUUGUUCUUGAGGUAAUGCCUUGAGGUAAGGUAUGUAAUGAGUUGUGUGAAGUGGGAUGUGAUAAUAAUUUUGCCCUUGCUUCAUGUGAUGAAAUCGCACAUAAUUUGCCCUUGCUUUAUGUGAUGAAAUCUUUGGGUGGUUUGUUUAUUUAGUGUUUUUCUGUUUCUUUUUAUAUGCUAAUUUUCAUAGUUCUAGAGCAAGUCUUUCUCUAGUCAUUUUGAAAUACUUCCACAUGCUGCCUCUUAGCCAAGAUUGUCUUGCCCUAAUGAACAAGUUAAAUGGAUUUGCGUUGCUUGGAGUCUCAGUGUAAUAUAUGUGUUUUAGAACUUAGAUUGAUAAACAAAUUUGAACAAAUACAGUGGAAGAAGAAUAAAGAGAAGAUUAAAAAAAAAAGAGUAGAAAUAAAGAUAAGGAUGGUGAAACUUUAGGAGAUUAGGGGAAUCAAGAGAAGAGGAUAGAAUUUUGAUGGAUUUUAUUUAAUUAUGUAACGGAGGUUUUGUGUUGUUAGAUGUUGUGCGUUAAUUAAUUUGUAAUCUUGGAAAAAUACUUUAUCAUGAAUUGGGUUAAUUGUAAGUGGCCAAUACACUAAUAUAUAUUCUUCUAGUACUCAUCUAAAUGUAAUUUGUGUUUCAGGUGAUGUUGGUGGCUCUUGGGAAUUUACUAUCAAUGUUCUUUUUACGAAUUAAUUGUUUUUCUAAUGAUGGGGUAGUGAUUGAAUAUUGUAGAGAAUUUAUGAGCUAUUCUUACGGAUUUGAUUCACCAUGUAUUUUGAUGAUACUAUUUGUUGGAAGUUUCAAGUAAUUGAAAUUUUUAGUAUAUGGUGAUAUUUGGUAUUUGAUAGUUUUUAUGAAUUUGAAUGUAAUUUUUAUUUCAGUUAAUUCAAAUUUGAAAAUGUGGCUUUUGUUAUUUCUAUUUCAAAAUUCUGGAAUUUAAAUAAUAUUAAUUACUAUUAUUAUAAUUUCAAAAUUAAAAAUAAUAAUUUUAUUUUUUUAAACCUUAAAUCUCAUGACAGAGAAUGUGAAUCAUUAAUAUAUGAAAGAGUUUGAAAAAGCCCACCAAAUUCAAUAUAAUUUUAAUUACUUGCUAAAAUUUCCAAUUAAUUCUCAAGAGCCUUGCAAAACGAUGUCGCUUGGUUCGUGACAUAUGCGUGAUAGAUAUAUACUGUCAUAGGAACAUGUGAUAAAUAAAAUGUUGUCAUAGAUUUAUGAUAGGGGCUAUAAUGAUAGAUGGAAACUCUGUCAUAAGAGAGGUCGUAUGACAAAUAUUCUCUGUCAUGGUAGCCCAUUUUUCUAGUAGUGUUAUGGGAUUAUAUAUCAAAGAGUUCCAAAAAUAUGUGGCUGCUACAUUGGCAAGCAUAUCAAAUAUUUGUGAAAUAUUAGACUCUUUAGGAAAUAUGUAUGUCUUUGUACUCCUCCACUCCGUUUCGUGAAAUACUAGAGUUAUAUAAAGGGAAGUAUUUUACAUAUUAAAAACUAGUGAAACAGUAUCGUAUUUCAUACAAAGAAGCAGCCAACUUGCAAAAGCCAAAGAAAGCCUCCCUAUUUCAUAUAAUCUUGGGGUUUUAGUCUUCGUACCUUAAAUAUACAUAGUCUAUCGUUAGACAUCUUUGAUGAUUACUAUGGUCUCUUUAGGAUGAAGGGUCACUUACUAUGUUGAUAAGAUUUCAAGGAAGCAGUAAACACAACUGAAAGUGAGUGCUACUCGCGAAACAAGUUCGACUAGUUGAUUCAACUAGGAGGCAGCAAGUGUUAGAAGGAGUUUGAAAUUGUGUAACAAUCUCAAAGGUUGUGAUAUUUCAUUACUCAGUAAAUUAUUUAAUGAGCAUGACCUUGUGAAUGUAGAAUUAUGAUUUGAAUUACGUAUAAAUCAUCUAUGUGCUUUAUUUCUGAAUUUACCAUUUCUGGCAUCAUUAAUAAAUUUAUGAAUAGUAAAUUAACAGUGCAAUAAAUAGUAACUUAUGAAUACUAACUUGUAAACAGUAUCAUAUGAAUAGUAAUCUAUGAACAGUAAUUACAAGAAAAUUAAUUUUCUAGUGUUUAAAUAUACGUAACAAUUAUUAAAAUAUAUCUAAAUUGUUAACCAUUCUUAAUCAAUAUGAAGAGCCAAAAUAAAGAAGUUUCUUGAUUAGAGGUCCAUUCUUCAUUAAACAAUAUAAAGAGCCAAUAUGAAAAUACAAUUUGCAAAAGUUCCCCCACAAAAGACUCUCCUUUUGGCUUACUUUGACGUCGUCUUUCUUUUUUCUUCCUUUGUUUUUGUCUUUUUCCUUCACAAAGUCUUUCUUUAAUUGAUCAACUCAGGCAUAAAUAUAUUUAAAUGUAUUCCAUGAAGAAUAAAUAUUAAAAAAUGUUUAUUUGUCCUUUUAGUGGUUGAGACGUCUUUGAAAAUUUUUAACCUUUUCUAUUACUUUGUUUUCUCAAGAAAAUAUUUUAAUGUAAGGAUAGUCAUCAACAUCAAGUCUCUUUGUAACAAGGGGUAGAAAUUUGUUAUAUAGUUAUUGGCUUUAAAUUAAUAAACCAUAGGGGUUGGAGCAUUUUAUGUCCAAUUCCAUGUUUGGACAAUGAUAGCUGAAAUUAAGAAAGAGAAUUAAUUGGAAUAAGUCCGGUAUAGGAACCAUCAUAAAAAGACCAAAUUAUAUAUGAUACCUCAACUUGGGAUAAGUUUAUUUCAAGUAAUUAAAUUGUAAUUACUUAAUUAUUUUUUAAUUAAAAACUAUAUUAGUUAAUCAAUAAAAUAAAAAGAAAAUUUUAAAUUAUGGAAACAAAAAUUAAUUAUUUAAUUUUAAUACCAAUAAUAAUUUAAAUAAUAUAAUAUGAAUAAUCAAUAAAGAAAGAAACUUAAUUUUGAAUUUUUUAGUUAAUAAAAAAAUCAUUGUAUUUUAAAAAUAUAUAUUUUAUUAUAUGCAAAAUUUGUUUAUAAGGUUGUAAAAGUCAUUUGCGCGUUUUUAAUAAAAUGUAGGAAUCUCAUUGAAAAUUUUAUUUUAAUUUUAUAUUAUAUAUAAUUAUUUUUUAUUAUUAAUAAAUUAUUAUUUAUAAUCCUAUCAAUUUUACACCAAACUAAAACGCGCCAACAGAGCAACUAGUGUCAGUAUUAUUGAAAAUAUUUUUUUUAAUAUUUUAUAUAUUACAAUCAAGGCAAUCUCUAUCUUACAUGCAUGUAAGAUACAUUCCCCUCAUAUAAAUAGUAUAUGUGUGGGACCCAUAUACUAUUCAUGUAAGAUGAAUGUAUCUUACAUGUAUGUAAGAUAGAAGGACCCUACAAUCAAUGCCCAACACAUGGUAUCAAUGUUCAAUUAAUGCCUAACAUACAACUAAAUUUCUAAAAGCUCGAGAUAUGAAAAAAGUACGAUCAUAGUCAUUAGAAAAACUUAAAUCCUCCAUCUCAGGACUAACUCAAAUAAAUAGCUGUUGGCGGGGCCGGCCGCGUAUUUCAUACCUAAAUCAUAAUUGACUUUUCAAUUUAUUAUUUUGACCGGGAAAGACUAUUUUAACGCAGAGCUGAUUAAUUUUUAAAGGCCGGCAAAGACUAUUUUAUGUAAAUUUAAUAAAAUAUUCAGGUUUUGUUUUUAGUAGGAAAAAAAAAAGACACAAAGAAGGAAAUAAGUAGAAGUUACAGGUUUGAUCACAACACCAUCACAGUAUCAAUCCACUAGAUGUAUCUCUUUCUUCUCCAUUCUUUCUUUUUAACUCUCUUGCGGUUUUCAAUCUAGCUAGUGCAAUCUUCAAAGCGCCUUAAGGUACGUACAAGUCACAUGAUCAUUUUCUUAACAUUCUGAACUACUUGUUUGUUUACACUCACAAACACACACUUAAAAAAAAAAAAAAAAAAAUACUCCACCUGUAGUUUCUCUCUCCCCGUUUUCUUUAUCAAUUAGUUUGCACAAUCUUAAAAUAUUAAUUAUCUUUUUCUUUUUUUUUUCAUAUUGAUUAGUGAUGCACAGUAAAGAGUUUGAAGAAAUUCUAAUUAAAUUAAAAUUUAUAAUAUUUAGAAAUAUUUAAAUUAAUUUGUAUUUUAAUUUAAUUUAAUUUCUUAUUUAGAGUUUUAUUGUUUAGGUAUUGCUUAUUUGAGUAAUAUUCCUAAUUUAGAUAUAAAUCUUAGUAAAACAAAUUUUCUAAUCAGAUUACGGUAAGUAUUAAUUUGUAAAAAUAAGUGUCUUUUUAUCUUUUUAGAAGUUCGAUUUUAAUAAUAUUUUCAAAUCUCUUUAUGAGUAUUUGAACAAUUAAUUCUCAAUAUUCUGAUAAAUCAACGAGUGUUAGUCUCUAAAUUAGUGAUAUCUUUUUGAAUCAACAAGAAUUUAAUUAUUCUUUUAUUUCAAUAUUCUCUAAAAUAAAUGAAAAUUUUGAACAUUAACUUCUGCCGCAUCAGUUUUGUAUCAAACCCAAAACCCAGGUACUAUCAAUCUACUGCCAAACCUUUUCUUUCCCCCUUCUUUGAGUUUUCCCAUUAGCUUUAUGGAGUCAGCCACCGUCCACGGCUACCGUCGUUGAUUUUCCUUGACCUUUGCAAUGAUCCGCCUCCAUCAUCUGAGUCAGAACAAGCCGUCCAUCAAGACCCAGCCUUGAAAUCUGCCGUUCCACCGCUGAUAUCGCCGGAAAAUCGCCAUAACAGUGGCGCCGCCGUCGUUCACCAGUUUCCGCCACGUUUUGGCCAGCAAAACCACCACCAAUCAACUCCUCUCCACGAGCUCAACCUUCCUAGCCAGUUAGCACUGUCGAUCGACGCACCGAUCGCCGGAAAUCAAUACAACUACAAACCCGCCUCCUUUAUCUCGAAAUUUCGGCCAAACACCCCCACCAUCAUACUCACCGACCUGAAAUCUUUCAGAUCCGCCCAUCCUUGUCCAAAUUUCCGAUCACCGUCGCCGACAAACCUAUCUUUUGCUUAUUCACAGUUUUGACCCAGUGCUUUCAUUUAUACCAUUAUUGCCCUUUUGUUUUCUGAUUUAAAAAAAAAGACCCAAACAAACACCAAAAAAAAAAGGAAAAAAAGAGAGAAAAUACAAAAACAAGAAAAGAAUUGAAUCAUGAACCACAACAUCGCCGAGAAGAUUCUGUCUUGAAAGAAGUUUUAAUUAGGAUAUUGAGAAUUUUGCAUUUGAUUUCUCAAGAUUUAGAAAAAUCUCAAAAUAGAAAACUCUUUGCAUAUAAAGCAGACAUAUGUAUUUGAUGAAUUUGUUUGUGAUGACGUUAGUUAUGAGGAUAACAAGAAAAAUAGUAACUUUAUUUUACUUGACAAUAUUAUUCCUUUCGAGGAGAAUAUUAAUUGGUCAUUUAUGUCUACAACAAAUUCUCAGUAGAAAGACAUUAAUUUGGAUCAACUGCCGAAAUUUGAUGAGUAUUUUGAUAUUGUGGGACGAGAAGAGAUAAUUAUUCAUACGUCUUUUGUUCUUGUGGAGAAAAGAGAUACACCUUUUGAUCUUGUGGAGAAAAGAGAGGCAGUUGUCGAUACAAUCUCUUAUUGUUCUCUUGAUUUGCCACAAUGAGACAAAAGGAGUUGUGAUAUUUUUCAACAGUUAGUAAAUUAUGAGAAAAAAUCAUUUUUCUUCAACUAUGUUGAAGUUCAGCAUGAACAAUACGAGAAGACAUUAUUAGAGAAAUUGUUGAUAGAAGAAUUUAUUUUACGCCAUUGGAGUGAUUAGAUGGACAUUAUUACAAAAGUUGAAAAUUUUAAAGUUCGUUGUCUAUGUCGAACCUCCAUUUUGAAAAUUAUUCCUUAUACACAUGAAGUUGUUCUUGAAGACUACAACAUACAAAAUUUGAGGAUGAAUUUUCUCCACGCUAGCGAGGAUGAUGCAGAGCAAGGAAUUGAACAAAUCCUAAUUAUAUUGAAAUUUAUAAUAUUUAAGAAUAUUUUAAUUAAUUUAUAUUUUAGUUUAAUUUAGUUUCCUAUUUAGAGUAUUAUUAUUUAGACAUUGCUAUUUGAGUAACAUUCCUAAUUUAGAUAUAAGUCUUAUUAAAAUAGGUUUUCUAAUCAAAUUAGGAUAAAUCUUAUUUAGUAUAAAUAAGUGUCUUUUGUAACUUUUUACAAGCAGAGAUUCGAUUUCAAUAAUAUUUUUAAAUUUUUAAAUCUCUUUGUGAGUAUUUAAAUAGUUAAUUCUUGGUAUUUUACGGAAUCAAUAAGUCUUAAUCUCUAAAUUUACGAUAUUUUUUUAAAUCAACGUGAAUUUAGUUGUUCUUUUAUUCCAAUGUUAUCUAGAAUUAAUGGGAUAUUUUGAACAUUAAACUUCUAUUGCAUCAAUUAUUCAUGUAAUCUAUCUUUUUUUCUUCAAGAACUUUUGCAUUUCGGUUAGAAAAAUUAAUAAUAUGUGUCCCACAAUGAAUCCAACUUUAACUUUACCAAGGCAAACUUCGCGGUAUUUUUAUAUGAGGUUGAGGUGAAAUUAGAGUAAACUCUCUAUUAUUACUUUUCCUAAUAAUUGUUUAGCAUCAUUAUGUCACCAUAAAAAAAAAGGCAAAAUUACCAAGGAGGUAGAUGAAAAAAAUUAAUGCCCAAGGAGAAGCCUUGUUAUCAAAAAUUUUUUGACGAUGUUGUUUCCAGUCAUCAUACUGAGCUAGGUCAAUUUAUGGAUUAAUAACAUAACAUGUUUUAACAGUUAGCUUACUGAUUAUUUAAAAAAUAAUAAUAUUUUAAUAUUAACUUACUGAUUAUUUAAAAAUUAUAAUAUUUUAAUAUUAAGUAGAAUAUAACUGAAAAAUAAGAUUUAAAUGAGUUUGGAAAAAUGCUAAUAGUCUUACUCAUCGGCAAAAUUCAAUCUGUGAUCACUCUUACUCGAAAAAAAAUUUCAGCUAAGCCUACCAGGGCUAUCUUAAUCGGCCCAUGAGAGUCGUUAUUUUGGAUUGGACAAAGGAGAACAAAACGCUAGAGGAUCUUAAAAGUCUCAAAUCUGCCCCACAAGAGUACUAUGUGCUGGGGUGGGGUUAUUUGUACCUAAAUCAUGCUUUAAAAGCUCAUUUACUCAACAUACUGACGUGUUAAAUUUUUAAAAGAUUACUUCCACUCUAAACACGUUUUAGAAUCUUAAAAUUACACUAAAGUUAAUUUCUUUUGUUGAAGCUCUCUUUUUCAAAAGUCAACACCUACAACAUAGGAAUGAUAAUAAAAUCCGGAUUCGGUCUGCAUCCGCAAAGAUUUGACAAUCUGAAUUCAGAAAAAUCUAGUUAUAUAUAUUAAAAAUACGAAUCCAGAUGCUAAGAAUUAGAAUCCAAAUAGAUCUAAAUUUGGAUCCGGAUAUAAGUGCAUUUUAAAAAUCGAAUAUCCAGAUUAGGUUAAAUUAUAUAUUAAAUUAAAAUUAAAUUAAAAAAUUAUUUUUUUAUGUUUUAUUUAUUGUGGUAAAUUGUGGAUUUAGAUGUUGUUUUAUGUUAUUCAUGUUGAAUUGUUGAUUGUUAAAUUACAAUUAAAUUUUAUUUGAUAUUAUUAGGUCAAUUGUUGAAUUUUAACUUAUGUGGAUAUGAAUAUCCAGGAUAUCCGUACAGAGCUUGACACAUUUUUUUGUUAUGUAUAAAUCUUGAAUUAUUUGAUUUUCUUGUUUAUUUUUGGUUGAAUCAAAUUCAAGACUUUUCAAGUAGUGUUUGAAGGUAAAUACGAAGUAAAUACGUUUGAUACUCCAUAAAAGAUAAAGAUUUAAGAAAAAAAAAGUGGGUGAAAUAGGGUAUUUUUGUGAGGUUAUUUGAACCCAUAACCACUCUCUACAUUCAUAAUUUCAAAUAAUUUUUUGACUGCCUAAUUUCCUAAUAAUACUUCAUAAAUCUCUUUUAUAUAUGCUCCUUACCUUAUAAGUAAUUAAUUGAUAUAAUUUCUCCCUCUUCAACAUCAUGAAUCUAGGUCAUAAACUUCAUUUAAUCUUGACCAUCAUCAAUUAACCAUUAAUCUAAAGGCCACAAAAUCGUGUCAAUAGUUGUGGAAAAUUAAGGGGCCAUAUAUCGUUUCCAUUUAUAAAAGUUAGUAUUUACUGUUAAGUUUCUCAAUUGAAAAAGAAUACAUUUGGAUGUGUGUGCUUCUAGCCUAUGGGUGUUGAAGCAUAAUGAUGUUUCAUUAUAAAUCCUAAAAAAAAAUUGUUAAAUCUGUUUUUUUUGUUUCUGGCACAGAAAAGUAAAAUUUAGUUUAAUUCUUAACACCAACUUGGAAGAAGCCAGCAGUUCAUCAAGGCGAGAAGCAAAUGAUCAAACCAACGUCUGCAACUGCAAGUAAGAAAAUCAGUACUCUAUAUGUAUCUAAUAUUAGAUGUGUAGAAUUGAUUUAUUGUACUUUUGAUGUUACAUAAUUCAUUGAGGGAUUGCAUUUUGAUUCGUUAUUUAUAAUGAAAGUUAAAGCUUAAAGUCUUGAAUAUUUUGUGAAUAUAUAGAAAUUUUCCAAUAAGGUCCCAUACUUUAUUAAAGUGCGAAUUUAAUUGAGUUUUUAGAAGGCCUAUAAUUAAUUAAUGACAUUGAGCUCGCUCUAACCCCUCCUCAAACUCACACGGAAGUAAAUAAAAUUGAGCUAAUAAUAAAGUUACCCCAAAUUUUGAAUUAAUGAUAAAGUUACCUAAAAGAUUUGCUUUUAAUGGGAUUGAGGUGGAGUUUAUUGGUAAAUUGCAUAUAAUUUUUCGUGGAUCCACCUAGCGUAACUAGCUGAAAACUAUAUUCUCCUAGUGACCGUUGUUAAGAAUUAUCACUAUUACUGUUGUUUAAUCCUUAUUAACAUUUCAAAGUCUCCCGAGUCAGAAAUGGUGUGUGUAUAUUAUUUCACAAGAAACUCCUCACUUUAAAAAAGUGGGGUGAACUUAAAGGACAAAAACAAAAAUUUUAAUGCAAGUGUUUAAGUUUUUUUUAACAGAAAAAUUAUAUUAGAGUUCAAAUUAUUUUUCCUUUUAGCUCUAUCUCUUUUGGAAACAAAAUUUGCACCAUUUUUUUGACUAGGAGAAAUUAUCUCUACACUACCUUUCUUUUACCAUAUGUACAUUUGACUACUAUAAUAUUUUGACACAUAUUUUGUACUAUUUUUGUUUUAAAUUUGUAUCAAUUAAUCAUUUUGACACUCAAAAUAACUAUUUUACCCCUAAAUAAAUUAAAAUGUUAUUUUAUUCUAUAAAAUAUUAAAAAAUAUAAAAUUAUAAUUAUAAGAAUAUCCCUAACUUUGAUAAAACAAAUAAAUCUCAAAAUCUAAGAUAACAACUUUUAAAUGAAAUUAUAAUUAUAAAAAAUAUCAUCUUGUAAUUAUAAUUUUUUGUAAUUUUAAUUUCAUUUAAUUUUUGUAAUUAAACUAAUUAUAGGGAAGUUUACAAAAAUUAACAUGAAAAGAAAACUCCCUAUAGUUAUUGUAAACUUCCCUAUAAUUAAUAUUAAGAAACUUUCCUAUUCAAAUUGAAUCAAAUUAUGAUUACAAAAGAUUAACAUGAUAAUUUUUAAAUGAAAUUAUAUUUGUAAAAAAUUAACAUGAAAAGAAAACUCCCUAUAGUUAUUGUAAACUUCCCUAUAAUUAAUAUUAAGAAACUUUCCUAUUCAAAUUGAAUGAAAUUAUGAUUACAAAAAUUAACAUGAUAAUUUUUAAAUGAAAUUAUAUUUAUAAAUGAAUUAACAUAUUGAAUUUAAGAUUUAUUUAUUUUAUUAAAUUCAAGGGUAUUCUUAUAAUUAAUUUUAUUAUUUUUAAAAAUUUUGUAGAAUAAAAUAGUUUUUUAAUUCAUUUAGGGAAAUAAUGGUCAUUUUCAAGUGUCGAAGUAGCUGGUUGAUUUAAGAUUAAAAGUAAAGGUGGUGUAAAGUAUAUGUUAAAAAUUUUAUGGUGGUUAAAAAUACAUAUGACGAAAGAAAUGUGAUACAGAAAUAAAUUCCGUUUUGACGAGCCCCUCUACAAUUAAUUCUUGAGUCUACCACUGGCGAUCAUCUAGAUGACUAGAUUGUAAUAAUAAAUUCUCUGAUAUGUGAUCCAUUUUUGAGCUUAUCUGCAGAGACGAAAACGAAGAUGAAAUCACUGUGACGGAGCCAAAAAUACGUAAACAAACUGAAGAUUCACAGAGUUCAAUGGGUAAAUAAAUAAUUAGCAUAAAGAGAUUAAUUAAUUUUUAAUUUACUGAUUCAAUUUCAGUAUUAUUAAUUAAUUUUUCAAAAUAAUAAUAACAAUUAUAUAAUUAAUAGUUUCUGUUUUCGGGAUGAUUAACUCAGAUGAUCAAGGGGAGGAUGAGUAUUAUGCUCGUUAUUGGCCACUAUACAGAAUGAUACAGAAGAAUGAUUGGCGAGGUGUGGAAGAUUUCGUCACUAAUGAUCCCGGUGCCUUGACCGCCAAGACUGUUGCACCGGGUUCAACGACAAUAUUUCACGCGAUUGUGGAGUCGUUGGUUGAUGUUGAGUCUUAUGACGCCACAUGCCUCCUCGAUAAGCUGGCGUCAAGAGUCUAUCCGCCAACACUAGCACGAAAAGAUGUAUAUGGGUACACAGCUCUAUAUCAGUGUGCGGGAAAAGGGAGUCUAAGGGCCUUAAAAGUCCUAGUGAAAUAUAACCCUGAUUUAACAACCAUAAGGAGCACGGGAAACAAUCUUCCGAUUCAUGAGGCAGCGUAUAACGGUCAUAAGAAUACGUUUCAGUAUCUACUAGAGGUAACUCGUGGAGUAGACAUCUACAGCGGCAACGAUGGUGCCAAAAUGCUUUCAUGUCUCAUCGACGCUAGUUUAUACGGUCAGUAUUGUUAAGUUAUACGUUUCAAGCUAACACAUAUGAUUCACAUAUAAACCAAUUCUCAAGUUAUACUGUCCAUGUAAAGCUUGUCGGAACAAGUUUUUCUUUUAAAACCUCAAGGCUAGCUAACGCUAAACCAUAGCUCACAAUUAACAUAUGUUUUUGACAACUCUGAUAUAGAGGCCUUCUGUGGUGAAAAUGUCUGCAUGAAAUUCUGUACGGACUAGGAGUUUACAAUGUUAUAAAAGUUAUUUACAACAUUGUAAAAGUGGACAGCCUGUAUCUGAGAAUUUUACUCUGAAGCAUAUUUUUCAAAUUCUACGCACAUGAUUAUUAGUCAAAUAAAUUCUUAGUGCCCAUUCGUUAAUAAUAUUUUCAUUACUUUGAUGCCCAUUGAUAAAAUAUAUAUCUCAGAUAAAUAAAAUGAUUAAUUUUUUGUUUAAAAGAAAAUUACUCACAAGACAACCAACUUACUCAACCUACGAUAGAAAAUAUUGGGAGGGCAAAAUUUUUCGAAGAUGAACCCAUUAAUUAUCAUGCAAUGGUUAAGAACUCCUCACGGAAUCGAGCAGAACGACCUGUUCUUCCUGACUAUCCAACACCGCAUUAAUUUAAUCGGUUAUCCCAUUGUGUUAGCAAUUUUAUCGAAUGCACAUUUAAUUGUUUAAAUAUAUACACUUAAAUUUUGUUUGCCGCUUUCACAUAAUGUGCUUCGCUAAACCAAAUUCCUGUUUCCACUGUUGAUUGCUUGGUUAUUCUUUGGUUUUGUUAUCUUCAUUUAUAUAUGUCUACAUAUGAUGCUCGUAUUGUAUAGAUAUCAAAUACAUCGCCACCACUCUGACAUUGUUCAUGAAUCAGAUGUAGCUUUCGAUUUAUUGAAGCUUCAUCCAACGAUUGGCCGUGACAGCAUCGACUCUCGGAGAAUUGUUCUAAACACGUUGGCUCAAAUGCCUUACGCGUUUGCAAGUGGGAGUCGGCUUGGACGUUUGCAACGCUUAAUUUACAAUUGUUGGUGUCAACAGUCCUUUACGAACACACACACACACAGAGCUAUAUAGUGAUCCUCCAGUGAAGGAGCCCUCAUUUUAAUAAAAUGAGGAAGCACUAAUUGGGAGAUGACCCCAUAUAGAUGUGUGUAUAUAGUCUUUAUUUGUGUGGCCUAACAAAACCAAGUAAAUAAAUUUGCAGGCAUUCCUGUGGAAGAGGAACUUGUUUCUUCCAUUCAGACCAACAAUAAUCAAAAUGUGGAUGGAGACGUGAAGAACCUUAUCGUGACAUCAAAAAUCCACUCACAAAAAUCCACAGGUUUUGGAUCUGCUAAGCAAAUCACUACGACAUUUGGUCUGCAAAACUGUUAUAUACUAAGUCUUCUUGAAUUUAUGAUUCUGAAUUGAAAGGUAUUUCGAUUGUUUAUACGUAUGGCAGGUUCAAUGUGGCAUAAAUCGUAUUGGAUGCUCUGGAAUGCCCUCAUGCGCCUAGGUAAGUCUUGAGAGGCUGUGUUCAAUUAAAAUAUAGUUGUUUGAAAUCAAUUUAUUUAUCUCCUUUUUAUUGACCGAGUUCAAUUGCAGCCCCCAGCACCAAAGCUAUACAUGAACAAAAGUUAGCGCACAUGCAGACAGUUGAAAUUGUCAGAAUUAUCUGUAAAGAAGUGAUUUGGACCCGUCACAUUGGAAAAUUGCGGUGGGCAUUGUUCACAGCUGCAAGAUUGGGGAUACACGAGUUUGUCAAUGAAUUUAUUAUGGCCUAUAACAGGACUGCUAUUAUGUUGAACAAGGAUGGGCGUAACAUAUUUGAUGUUGCAGUUUUACAUCGUCGUGAAAAAGUUUUUAAUCUAAUACAUCGUGUAAAUUACACAACAAAUUUAUUUUUAAUAGAAGGCAAUUCUGGCAACAACAUCCUGCAUUUAGCGGCAAAAUUGGUACCUUCAAGUGAAGUGGCUGGUGCGGCAUUGCAGAUGCAGCGGGAGUUGCAAUGGUUCAAGGUGUGAUUGCUCAUCCGACUACUUAAAUAUACCUUUUUAUAUUUAAUAGUCACAAUUUGAUGUUUGUUGCACAAUAGGAUAAUUAAGUAUUGAUAUUAAGACCAAAAAAAUUGACAGAAGCAUAGACAAAAAUAACAUAUCAAGAAACAGUGCCGAUUUACACAAUUGAAAAACAAGGUAAACCAGCGCCGUUUUUAACUUGUUUCUGUAAGCAUUCUGUCACUUUGGCAUUUGCAGGACAUAUGUAAGCGUGAAAACGCAUAAAAAAUUCUUCAAAAUGAAAAUUUCCGACUAAUUUCUUAGUCCAAAUGCCUUUAGUUAUCGUCUUCCCAUUAAGUACAUUGGGCCUUUCUGCACCUAGAAAUCUACCUUAAUAGAAACUUUUAGUCCUCGUGUUUAUGACUUCUUCUCUGCAGGCGGUAGAAAAACUUAUCCAUCCAGACAUGGUAGGAGAUGAAAAUAGUUCCAACCAAACUCCUAGAGAGGUCUUUACUGAAGAACACAAGGAUUUAGUCAAAGAAGGAGAAAAAUGGACGAAGGAAACAGCUUCAUCUUGCUCAGUUGUAGCUGCACUCAUUAUCACUGUAGUGUUUGCUGCAGCUUUCACGGUACCUGGUGGCAGUGACAGCAGAGGAAUACCAAAUCUUUUACAUGAAAAAUCUUUCAUGAUUUUUGCCAUUUCAGAUAUGCUUGCGCUUUUUUCUUCCAUUACUUCAGUUCUAAUGUUCUUGGGCAUCCUCACUUCGCGCUACGCAGAAGACGAUUUUCUUGUGUCGUUACCAAGGAAGCUAAUUAUUGGCCUCGUCACCUUGUUCUUUUCUAUUGCAAGCAUGAUGGUAGCCUUUGGUGCAACUGUUCACAUAUCUCUUUCUCAUAAAUGGAAUCUAUUUAUCAUCCCAGUUGCCCUUGUUGGUUGUGUCCCUGUCACCUUAUUUGCAUUCCUGCAGUUUCCUCUUUUGCUUGAUAUGUGGUUAUCUACUUAUGGCCGCGGCAUCAUCAUAGACAGCAGUUGGAGAGAAUUAGCUAGCUGCGACUUGGUUGCUAAAGGUAACUAAAAAACACGGUCAUAAAAGCUGACUAAAUUGGGUUAUUGUCCCGCUGUGUAACUAAUUCAUUUCUUGUUGAUUUUUCCUGAUGCUUUUUCUGUAAUCAUUUUUGAGUGUUUUGAGCUGUGUACUUGAACUUGGUUUAUAAAAGUCCAUUCUGAGGCUGGUUCGAUUGAGGAACUGAACCUUAGAAAAAUUUGUUCUGUUUUUUUCGUUUUCUUUUUUGAUCUCAUUUAGAUAAUAAUUGAUCUCUGACCAUAUUUGUUUGAGUGAGAAGGAUAUAUUAAUCUGAUUCCAAUCAGGCCUUUCCCUUUAGGAACAAUAUUUAUUCCUAUGACCUUCAUUUGAUUUCUAUCAACUGGCAAUUACAAGUUGCGAUGAAAAUUUUUGGGCUCCCAACCUGUCUGGGAUGCUCAAAAUCCUUGGUCUUAAGGUGGCUAAUGGUGCCUAUUUCCUCAAUUGGAACCAGUCUCAACAAUGGCUUUUUGUAAACAAAAACCAAGAACAAAAUCCUAAAGCACUCAAGAAGGUUACGGAGAAACAAGGAUCGUAAAAAAUGAGGCUUAGAUCAAAAUAGAAUAAAAAAACCUCAUUUAAGGCUCUGUUUUUCACCUGCUGGACUAGUGAUUAAUUUUAAUUACAGGUUCAAAUAAAAAGUUCUAAACACUUAACAAAGAUUAUAGAACAAUCGUCAUGAAAAAUAUUGAAUUUAAACUCAGCAAAUAACCAAGUAAUCCCCCAAGAUCCACUUCCAAGCACUUAAAUCUCAGAAUUACAUCUAUAAAGAUCAACCUUAAUGCAAUUGACUCUUAAUGAUUCAAGAACGGUAACCAAAACAACAAGAACAGAAACAAAAUUACACAAUUUAACAGUAGAGAUUUAUAGUGGUUUGGCUUCAGGCAAACCUACAUCCAUUGUGAAAAGAGAAGCAAGAUUUCACUAAUUUGGGUUUUUCAAGAUACAAUGUUGCAGAGAGCGUGUGACAGAAUCACCAGAUUACAAUAACCACUCAUGAUGCCUUAUAUGCAGAGAGAUGUUCAUCUAGAAAUGCCCCUUAACAGCUAGCUCAUGUAUUUCUGGGUUUGUUAUCAAAACCCAGAAGCUUCCCGUACAUAUAACGACCUUAACAGCCAUAUGAACCCGUUGAUGGACACGUGUCAAGGCCUCAUCCAUUAUAUUACGCAAAACGGCAGGCAAAUCUAGCUAUCGUAUUUGACAAAUGAUGCACGUGAUAAUCACAUGUAUCACUUAAUCUCCCAGCGGACAAUACAUAAUCACAUGUAUCACUUAAUCUCCCAGCGGACAAUACAUAAAUGUCACACGUCCCUCCGGGGCUCUACGAAUGGCAUGUCAUACGCGUCUAGAGAAUGUAACCGACUUGUCAGUCUUGAACAUAAACCCAGAUUUGAGCUUCAUCCUUCAACAAAAAAUGACCAAGAAAUAGCUUAUUGGAAGCAUAUCUAAAAUGGAAAAAAUCAUAGAAGAUGAUUGAUCCAAGAAAUUGGGUAUUCUUUUGCUAUAUAUGUCUCUGCCACCUAGUAUAUUAAAAGUUGUGAUGGAAACUAUUGUGAUUAUGAGUGCAAAAAUUGAGCAACAUGAAAUUGAAAUUCGAUUAUUAAUAUGUCAUGAUAAAAAAAAAGAGGAUAAACUAUAGACUAAAUAAUCUUAACACCUGUGUGAAAUCAAUCCUCUUCUUUUGAGUAAAGCCUUUAACAACAAGCCUGACUUUAAAUCUUUUUGGUUCAACACUUGAUAUUCCUUCUUUAACAUUGUAAAUCCACUUACACCAUACUACUUUCUUGUUUGCAAGCCUCUUUAUUGGAUCCCAAGUAUGGUUUUUGAUCAAUGACAACAUUUCUUCAUCCAUAACUUCCUUCUAUUUUUAUGACCUAUCACUUUUAGCCGCCUCUGAGUAACUCUUGAGUUCAUCACUUUCAACUUCAUGUGCUACUUUAAAUACAAAUGCAAUCAGAUUUGUAUAUGCAUACCUCAUGGGUCAUCUUAUUACCCUUUUUCUCUCUAUCUCUCACCAAUUGAUAAUCUCUGAUUUCUUGAUCACCUGCUUGCUCAUCUUCUGAUUUAAAAAUGUCCAUAUUAAAUCCUAAUUCAGAUUCAGCUCUUGGUUUCUUCUUUGUAUUAGAAGUUGACAACUCCACCCCAAAAUGAGUCUUUUGAUCUCUCACAUUGGGUUGUGAGAUAUUAGGUUUACAAUGAGUUAAGUUUUAAAGCAUCUCAGACUCAUAUACUAGAGUUUGUACCCCUUCACCCUAUCAAAAUAGCCAAGAAAUACACAUUUUAAGGCCCUAAGUUCUCGCUUUCCUUGCUUAAUGUGUGCAUAUGAAGGCAAACCAAAGACCCUCAAACCAGAAUAGUUUGCUGGUUUGCCAAACUCAAAGUCCAAUGAGUGUUUUAAAAUAAAUUCUACAUGAGGGGCUUUUAUUCACUCUAUAUAAACUGUAGAUAAGACUUAUGCCCAUAAUGUUAUUGAUAACUUUGAAUGAACAAGCGUGCGUCUCACCUUAUCAAUCAAAGUUCUAUUCAUCCUUUCAGCUAAACCACUCUAUUGAGGGUAUAUAUCUCACUAUUUUGUGUCUUACAAUCCCAUUCUCGGUACAAUAGUCAUCAAAUCUCUUAUUACAAAACUCCAUCAUUGAUGACAAAACAAGUUACACAUGAAUUUAUGGAUUAACACAAAUCAUAAGCACUCACAGCAUUCAUUACCUUAAAAAACUAGAUUGAAAAAAGCCUAAAAUUAAAAAUCAAAGCCUUACAAUGCGAUAUGGGAGGAGAAUACAAAGUGUUUGAUUCAUACCUUAAACAUGAUGGGAUAUCAUUAAGAGACUCUUGCCCAUAUACACACCAAUAAAAUGGAAAGGCUGAAAGAAAAUACAGACAUCUUAUAGAAACUGGCCUAAUACUUCUUGUUCAAGCUGACAUACCUCUCAAAUUCUAGUGGGAAGCUUUCUCAAAUGCCACCUACCUCAUAAACAGAAUCAGUACUCAUGUUUUAAAUAAUAAAACACCAUUUGAAGCCUUUUAGUCAAAGAAACCAAAUUAUUCCUUUAUCAAAAUUUUUGGUUGUGAGCGUUAUCCUUUCUUAAGACCUUACAACAAUCAUAAAUUUGAUUUUCAUACUUCUAAAUGUGUAAAUCUAGGUUUCAGCCAUACAUAUAAAGGUUACAUGUGCCGAAAUUCAAAUGGAAGAAUAUACAUUGCAGCAUAUGUUAACUUCAAUGAAAGCUCUUUCCCUUUUCAAACAGAUCCAAAAUUUAUGAGCUCCAAACUAGCCCAAUCGUCUAUAAAUUCAUCACAAUGUCUUCUCCUUCUUAGAGUUAUGGCAAUGAGGUAACAACAUCUGGUUCAAACUCAUCUGAUAAUCCAAUCCAAGAAAUUACUCCUUCUAAUGAUCAAGGUUCUAACAACAACAUGAUCAUAUUAUUCUAGUGCCCAAUAAUGUUUCAAAUACACACUCUGAAACUCAAAAUUCUUCAAACCAUUGAAUUAAGCCUUAAAACAAUGAACUUCAAAACCAAAAUCUUGAUCUAAACCUUCACAUCCUAUGAUAACUAGAGUCAAAGCUGAAAUUUUUAAACUUAAAGUCUACAAUACAGAAAAAGUCUUGUCACUAGAUACACCCUCAAGUGUUGUUAAAGCUUUAAAUGAUUAAAGCUGGAAACUAGCAAUGCAGGAUGAGUUUAAUGCUCUAAUGAAAAACCAGACUUAGUGCUUAGUUCCCCGGAGCAAAAUAUAAAACUUGUGGGAAACAAAUGGAUUUUUAGGGUAAAACAAAACUUUGAUGGAUCAAUAAAUAAAUAUAAAGACAGACUAGUAGCAAAGGGUAGAUUAUCAGGAAACAUUCAGCCAUGUAGUAAAGGCAGCAAUUGUAAGGAUUGUAUUGAGUCUUGCUGUUAUGAAUAGCUGAAGGUUGAGACAGAAUGAUAUUAAUAAUGCAUUCCUAAAUGGAGAGCUGACUGAAAUUGUAUAUAUGCCUCAGCCAGAAGGAUUUGUGAAUUCAGAUCACCCAAAGCAUGUUUGUAAAUUGAAGAAAGCUCUCUAUGGUUUAAAACAAGCACCUAGAGCUUAGUUUGACAAAUUGAAAUUAGUUCUUGAAUCAUGGCAGUUCUGUUGAGCUAAAUUAAACACAUCCUUAUAUUUCAAACAAAAUAGGAAUGAUCUAAUCAUCUUACUAGUUUAUGUUGAUGAUAUUAUAGUCACUGAGAGUAAUCAUGUUGAGAUUGAACAGCUCAUUCACAACUUAGGAAAUACCUUUGCUCUUAAGAAUUUGAGGCAACUUAAUUUCUUUCUUGGCAUUAAAGUUACAAAAAAUCAAAAUACUCUAGUACUGUCUCAGGCUAAAUACUUAAAGGAAUUGCUUACCAAAUUUGAUUUAAAGAACUGUAAUGGAGCAAACACUCCACUUGCAACAACUGAAAAGUUAAGCAAAUACAUGGGAAAGAAAUGCCCAACUCAAUAUAGAAGAGCUAUUGAAGGGCUGCAGUAUGCUAUGCUAACUAGACCAAAGAUUGCACAUGUAGUAAACAAAUUAAGUUAGUUUAUGGCAAAUCCUUUAUAGCCGCAUUGAAUAGCUUGCAAGCGAGUAUCGAGAUAUCUAAAAGAAACAAUUGACUACGAACUAAGUUUCAAGAAGUUUGAUUCCCUUGAUCUGAUAGUCUAUUCAUAUGCUAAUUGAGGGAGUGAUCCUGAUGAUAAAAGAUCUACUAGAGGUUACUGUGUGAUAAUCUAAUUAGCUGGAGUUCAAAUAAAUAGAGUGUGGUAUCUAAAUCAUCAGCAAAGUCCAAAUACAGGGCUAUGGCAUUGGCUUGUGCAGAGAUAACAUAGAUAUGUUAAGUUCUUAAAGAACUAGGUGUAAAACUCAGCUGCACACCUUUGUUGUUAAGUGACAAUACAAGUGCAACUACAAUUGCCAGAAACUCAGUUCUUCAUUCCAAAACUAAACACAUAGAAAUGGACAUUCAUUUUUUCAGAGAUAAAGUUGAAAAGAAAGAAGUUGAAAUUGCAUUUGCAUCAAGCAAUGACCAAAUUGUUGAUGUUUUAACUAAGCUAAUUACUUAUUUCCAAUUCAGCUUCUUCAGAAACAAACUUAAAGUCUCUGCUAGAGAUUUAAGUUUGAGAAGGGAUGCUAAAAUUAUGGAUGAAGCUGAACUUAGAUCAAGUCAUGGGGGAGUACCAGCUGGAGCCUACUUGUAAACCAAGGCAGUUGCUUACAAGACUGAUGAGCUAAAAGUCACACGCACAAAGCAAGAAGAUUCUAGAUGGCAAAAUAGCUACACAGAGAUUCCUCAAUUGUUAUAUGAUGUAAUAAAUUAGUUAUUAGUGAAAAACUGAGUUCAAAGUAUAAAAUUUACAUUUAGUUUUGAGUUUGUUAUAAGUAUAACUGGAAAUAUUACUUGGAUGCUGAGUUGAGCAGCUAUAAAUACCAGCAAGAUAUACAAAGAAGCAUGAAUGAAACAGUUACAAAUUCUCUCUCUAUGUGAUCUCCAAAAUUCUUCACGAGUGACUUGAUAAUGUAAUUUAUUAUGCAUUAUGCAUUGUUUGUUUUAUUUGCAGCGCCUGGUAUCAAGCAGGUUCAGGAUGCAAAAUUGACACAUAAAUUGGCCCUUGAAUUGACCAAACAAGCUUUUAAAGCAUUUUCAAAUGUUUAUAAUGUAAAGGAAUAUGUAUCUUUCCAGUCAAACACCAUAACUGCUGCAGCAAGCUCUGGCAUUGUUAAAAUCGUAAAGAUGUGUCUUCAAAUGUUCCCAUAUACUAUUUGGCUUUCGGCUGAUAAACAAACCAUACUGAAAGUUACUGUUCAACAUCGACAGGAAAAGAUUUUGAAUCUUAUGCAUAAUAUGGUCGUAUAUAAUAAGUUCACAUCUCCCCAACUAAUUAAUGAAUCUACUGAGGACACUAUCUUGCAUUUGGGAGCAAAGUUAGCACCUCCCGCUCAUUUAAGAAUUGUGCCUGGUGUAGCUCUACAAAUGCAAAGGGAGGUGCAGUGGUUCAAGAUUUUAACCCCUCUUAAACCACAUAAAUUAUCCCUGCUGCUUACUCUUCCAAUUAGUAAUAUUAUGCCUUAACAAUUUUGAUAUAUGUUCUUGUAGGAGGUAGAGAAAUUGGUGCACCAUUUUCUUAAGGAAGCGCAAAACAUAGAUGGAAAACAGCUCGGGAUAUAUUCACCAAUCAACACAAAGAUUUGCUAAAGAAUUCAGAGAAAUAGAUGAAGGAUACAUCAAAUCCUUGCAUGGUUGUCACUGCUCUCAUUGCUACUAUAAUGUUUGCGGCAGCUUAUACCGUGCCUGGAGGCAACAAUGAAAGUGUCAUCCCAAUUUUCUUUGUUAGGAAAUUGGUGGGUGAAGCAGACACGCAGCUAAAAUGAAAUUAGAAGAAAAGUAAAGAACAAGCACAAUAGAGGACACUAGAAAUUACGUGGUUCGGCUUUUAGCCUACGUCCACGGGCAAAGACAGAAGGAAAUAUUUUACUAGUGAAAAGGAGUUACAAGUAUUGUAGUAUUUUAGCUCUCUACCCAAAACCCUAAUACACCCAAACUCUCAAAUCACUAAAAUAAGAGCUUAUAAAUGCAAGCUCUUAAACUCUCUCUCAACUCCCUAAAUUGUUCUCUCAAGAUUGGAUGAAAAAUGAGGGUGGGAAGCCCUCUUUAUAUAGCCAAAAUUUUGGCUCUUUUUUUUUUUUUUAUUGGAGUCAUUCAACACGGCACUACCAACAAUGGCGGGCCGUGUUGAAUGUUGAAUGGUUGGCACCGGCCAUCUAGAUGGCCGGCGCCAGCCAUGACUUUCAACAUUCUCCCACUUGGAGAUUUGAUUGAGGACCAAUCAAUCUCCACACCAUCCUUUCUGCUUCGCCAUAGUCAUGUUGCCUACGUUGCUGCUAGGCCACAGGAGGAUCUACUCCAGACAAACUUAUCAGUAUUUAUCGGCUUGGUCAAAACAUCUGCUAGGUUCUCCUUCGUAUGGAUUUUCUGUAAAUCCACACUUCCAUCUUCCACUACUUCUCGAACGAAGUGAUACUGAACUCCUAUGUGCUUUGUCCUGGAAUGAAAAGCUGGAUUCCUUGCAAUGUGCAAGGCACUCUGACUGUCACAAAACACAGGAAUUUUCUGUUGUUUGUGCCCGAGCUCCUCCAAUAAUCUUUGUAUCAAGAUAGCUUCCUUGCAAGCUUGUGUAGCUGCCAUUUAUUCUGCUUCUGUUGUAGAUAAAGCCACAACGGUCUGCAGUUUCGAAACCCAGCUUACAGCUGCUCCCGCAAGUGCAAACACAUAACCAGUAGUGGAUUUCCUUUUAUCAAGAUCUCCUGCAAAAUCUGAAUCCACAUAACCUCUGACAGUAAACUCUGAUCCUCCAUAACAUAAUGCAACAUCUGAGGUUCCUCUGAUGUAUCUCAGAAUCCUCUUCACAGUUAUCCAAUGCUCUCUACCAGGAUUCGCCAUGUAUCGACUGACUGCUCCCACUGCUUGUGCAAUGUCCGGUCUUGUACAUAUCAUAGCGAACAUUAAACUUCCCACUGCUGAUGCAUACGGUACUCGAGACAUCUCCUUCCUCUCUGCUUCAUUGCUAGGACACAUACUUGAGGAUAAUUUGAAAUUAACAGGAAGUGGGGUAGAAAUUGACUUACAAUCUUGCAUGUUGAAGCGCCGCAAGAUUUUCUUCAAAUAAUUCUUCUGUGAGAGCCAAAUCUUCCUGUUAUUUCUGUCUCGGUGAAUUUGCAUCCCUAGAAUCUUGUUUGCUGGUCCUAAGUCCUUCAUUUCAAACUCCCUAGCCAACUGUGCCUUCAAUUCUUGGAUUCGAUCUUUGUUGGGACCUGCUACCAACAUGUCAUCCACAUACAACAGCAAAAUGAUGAAAUCAUUAUCUUCAAACCUCUUGUAAUAUGUACAAUGAUCUGAACUGAGUCUGUUGUAUCCAAGGCUCAUGAUGAAGGAAUCAAAUCUCUUAUACCAACACUUCGGCGCCUGUUUGAGACCGUAUAGAGAUUUGUUCAACCUGCAAACCAAGUUCUCCUUUCCUUUUUCUGUAAAACCUUCUGGUUGGAGCAUAUAAAUUUCUUCUUCAAGUUCUCCAUGAAGAAAUGCAGUUUUAACAUCUAACUGCUCUAGAUGUAGGUCAAAUGUAACACACAUUGCCAAGACUAUUCUGACUGUUGUGAGUCGAACCACCGGAGAAAAUAUCUCGUUGAAGUCAAUACCUUCUUUCUGAGCAUAUCCUUUCACUACCAGUCUCGCACGAUACCGCUCCACUUGGUCAUUGCCAUCACGUUUGAUCUUGUAGACCCAUUUGUUUCCAAUGGCUUUUCUUCCACGUGGUAGUGGUACAAGUUCCCAUGUCUUGUUCUUGUGUAGAGCUUCAAUUUCUUCCUGCAUUGCUGUCAUCCACAAAGCAACAUCUGAGCUGUUUAAAGCUUCAUGGAAAGUUGAAGGCUCUCCAUCCUCUGUUAGAAGACAGUAUGCAACGUUGAUCUCUGUGACAUACUCCGAGUGCCACGUUGGCGGUCGUCUCUCACGAGUUGACCGACGAACUUCUGGAGCCUCGGACUCAACUGGUUCUUGUUCCUCGUGCUCUGAUGCUGCUUCAGAAGAAUCUGAAUCUUCUGGAUUAUUUUCGACAUAUACCGGCACAAUCUCUGACUUUUCUUUUACAGUGCCAUCAUCUUCAUCUUUUCUUUGCAGUUGAUCUUCUACAAAAAUAACAUCUCUGCUGAUGACGAUCUUGUGGGCAGUGGGGUCCCACAGACGAUACCCCUUUACUCCAUCAGCAUACCCCAAGAAGAUACAUCUUCUAGAUUUUGCAUCCAGCUUUGUUCUUUCUUGGGCAUUGUACAUCACGUAUACAGGACAUCCAAAUGCAUGUAGGUAGGAAUAAUCAGCUGGCUUUCCAGUCCACAUCUCCAUCGCCGUCUUCAACCCAAUAGCUGUAGAUGGCGACCGAUUUACUAUAUAACAGGCAGUUUUGGCUGCUUCUGCCCAGAAUGAAUUGGGUAGACCAGCAGUCCUCAACAUAGCUCUUAUUCUUUCUGUAAGAGUUCUGUUCAUCCGUUCUGCCACUCCAUUUUGUUGAGGAGUGUAUGCCACCGUGAACUGUCUCUGAAUACCUUCUUGCUUACAGAAAGCAAGAAACUCGCCGUCUGUAUAUUCUCCACCAUUAUCUGUCCUCAAGCACUUGAUCUUUUUACCAGAUUCAAGUUCCACCCGCGCUUUGUAUUCUUUAAACACAGGAAAUACAUCUGACUUUUUCUUAAUUGGAUACACCCAACAUCUUCUGGAAUAAUCAUCAAUGAAAGUCACCAUGUACUUUGCACCUCCCAUGGAUAUAUCCGAUGAUUCCCAAACAUCAGAAUGAAUCAAGUCUAGAAUGCAUUUACUUCUAGCAAUAGAUCUACUGAAUUUUAAUCUAUGCUGCUUACUUAUAACACAAUGCUCGCAAAAUGGUAAACUUACCGAUUUGAGCCCCGGAAGCAAUUUUCGCUCAGAGAGAAUCUUCAAGCCUUGUUCUGACAUGUGGCCGAGUUUGAGAUGCCACAUCAUCGUUGAUUCUUCUCCAUUUGACGCGACACACGCAUCAGCCUCCUGUAGUGUUUCUCCUUUAAGCAUGAAUAGAUUAGCACUGAUCUUUUCUGCCUUCAUUAAUACAAGCGCGCCUUUAACGAUCUUCAUAAUUCCAUUCUCCACAUGAGUUUUGUACCCAUGACUAUCCAUUUGUCCCAAAGACAAUAGAUUUUUCUUUAGGCCGUUGACAUGUCGUACCUCCCCAAUUGUGCGAAUUGUACCAUCAAACAUUUUUAUUUUGAUAGUACCAAUACCAACGAUCUCCAAGGCAUGAUCAUUACCCAUAUAUACAGAUCCUCCUGAGAUAGGUUCAUAUGUGUGGAACCAUUCUCUCCUAGAGGUCAUGUGCCAGGUAGCUCCUGAGUCUAUAAGCCAGACAUCAGACAGUCGUUUUCUGCCUUCUGAAACAGUUGUUGCCUCACUGUAGAGUAUUUCGCCAUCAUCCGAGGUACUUGCUACACACCCCUGAGCAUUUGAUGACUCAGGUUCUUUGCCCUCUUUUCUCUUCUGGUUACUCCAACACUCUUUCUUGACAUGCCCUUUCUUGCCACAGUUGUAGCAUUUAACAUUUUUCUUACUUCUGGAUUUUGAUCUACCAUGACUUUGACUCCCACUGGGGCCACGUUCUGUUGAUCUCCCUCUCGUCACCGAUAGCGCCUCCGCUUGCUGCGAACUUGCUUGUCUGUUUUCCUUAUUUUUCCGCCUGCUCUCCUCAUUUAAUACGGAGGCUGCAACAUCGUCGAAAACUAGACUGUCCACUGGAUUGUUGUUUGUCAGGUUGAUGAUGAGUUGAUCAUACGAAUCUGGUAGACUUUGAAGUAGAAGUUCUGCACGUUCAUUUUCCUCUAUAUUAUGACCCAACAUUAUGAGUUGUGAAAAUAGAGUCUUCAAGGUGUUGAUGUGGUCGGUCACCAUUGUAGAUUCUGCCAUUCGAAGAGUAUAGAGUUUUCUCUUCAAGAAGAUUUUAUUGUGAAGUGACUUGGCCUCGUACAAUUUUGUGAGAGUAUCCCAUAUUUCCUUCGCUGUAUUUUUCUCUGCCACACUGGAUAAUACUCCAUCUGCAAGUGCCAAGUGUAGAUCAGAAAUGGCGUUGCCGUCUACCUCGUUCCACUUGUCAUCAGUUAUCUCCAUGGGCCUUUCUCCAAUUGCUACCAAGCAAUUAUUUUUCCUCAAUACAGCUUUCAUCUUCAUUUUCCACAACGAAAAAUUAUUUCCGUUAAACUUCUCAAUUUCAUACUUUGCCUCCAUUUUGUUGAUAAAUACCGCACACAAGCUAGUGUACCACCUUGAAUAGUUGUGAGUAUGUGUGAGAAUGCACACCAGGAAAGUUCCCAGGAAAGACUGGAGGGGUCACAAUGGUCCCACUUAAAACCCAGACUCCUUAAUCUCUUAUCGCCUUUGUGACAGAACUUUCCUAGACAUGUACAAAACCACACAGUUGCUUUACUCACACCACUAUUCCCUGCUUUGCACCGCAAAAUUCUUGGAUUGCUUCCACCGUUUCACGUGAAUAGUACCGUAUACGUGAAUAGUACCGUAUACGUGAAUAGUACCGUCUAUGUAAACAAAACCGUAUAUGUGAACAGUAUUGUAUACGUGAACAGUAUUGUAUACGUGAAUAGUGUCGUAUACGUGUACAAUGCCGUAUAUGUGAAUAGUACCCCUUACGUGAACAGUUCCCGACUCCAAAAAUACAACCAAUAGCUCUGAUACCACUGUUAGGAAAUUGGUGGGUGAAGCAGACACGCAGCUAAAAUGAAAUUAGAAGAAAAGUAAAGAACAAGCACAAUAGAGGACACUAGAAAUUACGUGGUUCGGCUUUUAGCCUACGUCCACGGGCAAAGACAGAAGGAAAUAUUUUACUAGUGAAAAGGAGUUACAAGUAUUGUAGUAUUUUAGCUCUCUACCCAAAACCCUAAUACACCCAAACUCUCAAAUCACUAAAAUAAGAGCUUAUAAAUGCAACCUCUUAAACUCUCUCUCAACUCCCUAAAUUGUUCUCUCAAGAUUGGAUGAAAAAUGAGGGUGGAAAGCCCUCUUUAUAUAGCCAAAAUUUUGGCUCUUUUUUUUUUUUUAUUGGAGUCAUUCAACACGGCACCACCAACAAUGGCGGGCCGUGUUGAAUGUUGAAUGGUUGGCACCGGCCAUCUAGAUGGCCGGCGCCAGCCAUGACUUUCAACAUUCUUGAGAGAUCUUGAGAGACAAAUUAUUCAUGGUGUUUGCUAUCUCAGAUGCACUAGGGCUUAUUUUCUCUUCUACUUCACUUUUGGUGUUCUUAUCUAUCCAAACUGUGCGGUAUGCAGAAGAAGAUUUCCUCGAGUCACUGCCAAAAAAAUUAAUAAUAGUUCUUGCUUCUCUCUUCCUCUCUAUCGUGAACAUGAUGAUAUCUUUUGUGGCAACUUUUUCAAUUGUUCUCCAUGAUAGAUCGAAAUGGUUAGCCGUUACAGUUCCUAUCCUGGCGUCUCUCCCUGUGACCAUAUAUGUAUUACUGCAGCUGCCAUUGUCUGUUCAAACGUAUCAAUCGACGUAUGGAUCCGGCAUCUUUCGACUUGUUAAGAUUUAGUACUUCUUGUAUGUUUAGUAAUGUGAGUCCCAAUCCUAAUGUGGAUUCUUCAUGAACGAUGUUGUAUUAAAGUCUUUCUUUCAUAUUUAAAAUAAUAAAGUUUGGUGUGUGACAUUGUUACUUGGAUAUGCUAUCUUGCUGCUGAAAGUUUAAGGCAUAGUUCAAAGUUUUGGUCAAACUUAUAGUUGUCUGAGAAAAAUUUAAUUAAUUUUAUGUGGAAUCCGUGCUAUAAUUUAUCCAACAUAAGAAUUAAUGCAGUGGAGUGUCGAGAAACUAAGGACUGAACUGAACAAAACUGAAACUAUUUAAAAAUAGAAGAAUCUUGCUAAACUAAAGGAUUUUAUUGAUAUUUUACCAGAAACAUUACAACGGCUCACUCUUCUUUCUCUCUUCUAAUUUUUUACUUUUCACUUAGAGCAUCUCCAAAAUACUCUUAAAAUAAAAUUCUACAUCUUAUUUGAAGAGUUAUAUCAAUAUUAAACACUUCAAAAAACACGUUAAUUUACAUUCUUCAAAUAAGAUUUGUUUCUUACUCUUUAAUAUUGCCGAGUGAGUUUCUCCCUCUUCUAUUAAUAUUUUAUUAUUAUUUAUUGAAAAGAUAAGACUGCAAUAAUUAUCAUUUAUGUUUCCUUUCAAAAACAUAACAGCAAUUCAAUUUAAUAGUGGAAAGAUUUGAUUAAAAUAAUGUUAACUUAUACUUAUUUAAUGAGUCUUUUCGAGGAGAUUGUAUUUUUCUAUCCACUUAUUUGCCACAUCAUUAAGCAAAUUGAUAUUUGAAGAGUAAAAUGUAAAAAGUCUUUUGGAGAUGCUCUUAAUACCUACAACAAAGAGUUUAAGAAUAUUUAUAGUAACUUAGAACUAAUAUAAACCAUACAAAUAUUAAAUUACAAAGAUUUAACAACCACAUUUUACAAAUAUCUCAAAUAUUCAAGAAAUAUUUAAACUUAGAUAUUUCUACCACCAUUAAAUAUUAAAAUCAAUAUACAUCAUUUAUUCUCUUACUAUUUCUCUAAUACCCUAAAACUCUCCUUGCACUAAAACAUUUAAAGGAAAGUAAGUAAAAGAAAAAUAUCUUCUUAUUCACCGAAACACAUUUUUUUUAAUACUUAAUUUUUAUGUAAAUGCUGUUUAUAUAAUUUUAUUUAAUUUAUAAUAAAUAAAAAUAAAAAUAUAUUUAAAAAUAAAGGUAAUGCGGUUAGACGUUAUUGAUCAUUAUAAAAAUAAUAAAAGAUAAAUGAUAGUACGGAAAUACUGACAAUCACCCCUAAAAUUAAUGAUACUCUUUUUUCAAAUUACCGAGUGUUCAAUAAUCAACGGAAAAUUGUGAGUUGUUUAAUUUUUUUAUUUUCUUACUUGUAGGUGCCAAAAGCUUUGAUCUUUUGCUAGUCGUCUGAUGGGAAACCAUAUCAUGGGUCAACCAUGAUCCAUGUGUUUGUUACAAAUCCAACUAAACAGAUAAAUUUACUUCAUGAGUUUGUUAUAAAAAUAAUAAAAGAUAAAUUUACUUGUUUGUGAGGUAGUAAAACCAACUAAACACAUGAGUUUGUUACAAAUCCUCAGUGAAUUCAAAAUUUGACCAAUUUAGUAAACGAAUUAAAUCUAAAUCUCCGUUCUGAAUUGUUAAGUUCGUUGUACAGAAUUAAUAAACAAAGAAUCAAAUCAAAGAAUUAAUAUAUGUUGAUGGCUGACGAACUUUCAGGAAAGCCAACAUGGAAGUUGCACCAUAAAUUUCAGCAAGAUAUUUCGACAUGUGCCGAUGUAAAAUUCUUAGAAUUGAUAAUUAAUUCUACGUGGUAUAGUCUUUAUGGUGGAGUAUAAUAAUUCUUUGUAUUGAGGAUUAUGACUAUAGGUGAAGACGAUAAGGAUGGUGUGGAGAUUGAUUGGUUCUCAAUCAAAUCUCCAAGUGAGAGAAUGUCAAAAAGGUAAAGCGGUAGGCACUGUUUGUCCUCCUCUUUUCUAUAUCCAAUUCUCAGUUUCUCUUCUUCAUUUAGAGAGUGCUUUUAAAGAGUUUAGUGAUUUGAGAGUUUGGGUGUAUUUGGGACUUGGGUGAGAGAAAUUAUUUCUGAGAGUAUGGUUGUAAUAAUUUCUCUCAUAGUCAAUACUUUUCUCUAGUUGUCUUUUGAUAAUGGCCAUGGUUUUUCUCCUGAUUUCGAAUUUUCCACUUAAAUCUUGUGUGUGUGGGAUUGAUAUUAUUCUCAAUUUAAUUUUUCUAUUGAUUUGUUACUUGAUAAAUUACUUGGAGUGGUCUUGGAAGGAAACUCAAUUUCCUAACAAUCAAAACCUACAAAAUUGUACCCAAGUUCAAACAAACACUUUCUUUUGGAAAACUACACUUUCGAAUUAAAAUAUGUAUAGCUCGUUUGUUAAAAUAAGGAUUUCAAGCAAUAUACAGUAUUUCUUUGUCGCAUAAAAACAAUUUAUUGCAUCAAAACAGAGUAAAACGGUAAUCAAAGCACACGCAUAUUUAUAUAUUUUACCUGCUUCAAUGGCAUUAGGAGCAGCAAGUCUAAAAUCAUUGCCAAUUUGGGGGAUUUCUUCUGUUCUCAACGGUCGAGGAGAUGACCAAUAUUGCCCAUCUAGGCCAGGUGUCACUCCCUUAUUGGUACUUGAGAUCAGAACUUUUCCAUUUGGCUGAAAGCCUAUGUUUAAAUAUUACAAGUAUCAUUUACAAUUAGAAUUAUCGGAGCCAAAUUCUAAAAAAUAGUUGUUAACUAAAUAAAUCAUUACGUAGAGAAAUUAAAAACAUUGUAUUGAUUUAGAACCAUUUCAGAUGAAUGAUUCAAUCUAUAUUUAAAAUAAGGAUCAAUUUAUUGGCAAGAUUAGGUUUAUCUUGAAAAGAAAAAUUGCACAUUAGUAUUUUUAGUUUUUCGCAUUCAGAUCAAGCUUAAAAUAUAAAUCCAUGUCAAACUCACAAAUUGGCAUUACACUAUAUAAAUAUUUUAGAAUAUCCUCUCUUUUUUUUGUAGUUUUUAGUUAAAAUAAAGAAAAAUGUUCUAAUUAGAAAAAUUUGUCAACUACUUUUUCGUUUUUAAUGGAAUUCACUUAAAAAUAAAAAAUAAAAAGUCUUUCUAAAUUGGAUUUGGGUUUCAUACCAAAGGUAGAUACUCGGCCUACGUGCCGAAGCUGACAAAAGAAGAUUCCACCCUUCUGAUGAACAGCAUCCACAAUUGGUUUCCAAGCUUCCACUUGCUCUUUUGUCCAAAUUCCAGGAGUGUUUGGAUACCUUCAAUUUAUUUAAAUUAAGUGGUGAUUGUCAAAAUUGAUUCUCCAAAAUGUGCUUCUUUUGAUACAUGCAACGUAAAAUGAAUUUCUAAAUUUUAAUUGAGCAGUGGUAUCCAUCUUAAAUUUUUUAACUCAAAAAAUUAUUCUAAAUGAUGUGGCAUUCAUCAGUUUGUUAGUGAGAUCAUAUAAUUAAUUUAUUUGGAUCUCAUAAAAAAUCACUAAUUACUCAAAAAAUGACACAUCUUAGUCAUACAACCCAUUUUCUACUUUAACAAAGGAACGCUGAGAACAUCCAUAUUGUGUUUUACAAUUUUCAUGUCAUUGCAAUUUUCAUUUUUCUUGUGUUUAAAUUUAUAUAAUAUAUUGUGCUAAAAAUAGUUAAUUAAAAAAGAAAUUACAUAAAUUAAUUUAAAAUUAUUUUCAGUAAAUCAGUACAUUUUAAUUAAAGUGUUAGCAAUUAAAAAUUAAUUAUUUCUUUAUUAAAAAAUAAAUACAAAGCCAUUUGAAAAAUAAUACUAAAGGCACAUUAAAUUUUUUUAUGAUUUUUUUCCUUUGCUCUGUUUUUCGAUCGUCUGAUUUUUUCUUUUUUAACUUUUCUCUGAAUUUACAAACUCCUUUUUCUGGAGACAUUUUUUUGGACAUCCAAAUAAAAACAAUUGGCAGAGCCUUUUCAAUCACACUUCAAAGAAAAAUCGUUUUGCAUCAUCUAAAAGUAGGGCAUCAACCUAUAGUUUACGAAAAAUACAUAACAUAACUAAAAUUAAAAAAUCGAUCGUAUGGCAUUUAUUUUGAUACAUUAUAUUUACAUACGAAAAUGACAUGCAUUUAAUUUUUUUUAAAAUGAAGAUAUAAUUACAAAUUACCCUUGAGCGGUAUCAAAGACCCCAGUUAAAUCCAAUAUUUCAUGUUAAUUAAAAUAAAUUCUCAAAGAAAAAGUUAAAAAAUUACUAACAAGUAACAUUUGUGACUAAGAUCUUUUCUCCAAAGUUUCUCAAAAGAGUAAUGUUAGGUAUUCGAACAUAUAAGUCAUAAUUUAAAUCCUAACUAAUAUGAUAUUCAUCCAUUGGAUAACAGUUAAGUAAUUUUAUAAGUUAUGAAAAUCUAUCAUUUAAUAAAUUAAUGACACAGCAAUAAGACUCAAGUUGGGAGUCCAAUGUUUAAGAUCCUUAGCAUUAUUGUCCUUAAAGAUAUAAAUAAUGAUAUUCUCAUAAAAAUAUUAGAAGAAAAAAAUAGUAGCCAAAAAAUUAAGUAAACGAAUAAUUAAUCUUCGAUAAAAAUAUUAUUAGGUAAAUGGCAGCUGCUCCCAUUGAUGCAAUCUUUCAACUCUGUCUUGCCUCAAUCUCUUUCUCUGCUUAUAGCUUCUUCUCCCUUCAACAUCUGAUUUUACAGAAAAGAUGAGCAAAUAAUUCAAAUUAGAAAAGUCUAAAUUUGAAUCUCCUGGUCUAAAAGUAAAAGAAAAUUUAAAGAGAGGAGUGAUUCAAAUUGAUGUGUGCACUUAACUUCCAUCUGGCGUGUAAUUAAUAAGUCCAAAUUAUAUAUCAAAUGGUCAAUUAUGAAACGCGAACUAAUUAAUACAAAAAUUGAAAUUUCUGGGAGUAUAAAAUUAAAUGACGGUCUCUUUUUUCCAUAAGAUUUCCACCACGUGAAUAGAAAAAAAAAAGAAGGUAAAUGUUCGUUAGGCUUUAUAUUUUGAAUUAAGUGUUUAUUUAAUUUUAUUAUCUAAAAAAUACCAUAAGAUACCUUUAUUAUUAAAUAUAUUACACUCCAAUCCAUAUGUUUUUCUUUUCUUUUCUUUAUAGUAAUAUUUUUAGGGAUAUCAAUUAAAAGAAAAAAAUGAUAAUUUAUCAAAUCAACCUUAAAAGUAAUAUAAAAAUUUACACAAAUUUUUAUAUUAUUAUUUUAUUUCAAGAUUAAUUUGAUAAAUUAUUUUUUAUGAAAUAAGUAUUAGUAAGAUUGUUAUAAGGAUAUUAAAAAGUGCUUUAAGUUGGCUUGUAUUAAUUUAUUUAUAAAUAAUUAUUAGUAAAAUUGUUGCACAGCUACAAAAAAUAUUAGUUGUUUUACACUGAUAUUUAUUCUUUGAUUUACUAAUAAAUAAUUAUUCAUUAAUUUUCCAAUUAAAUUUUUUGUUGAUAAAUUAAUUAAUGUCAAAAAUAUUGUCGGAAAGAUAUAAUUGAAAAAGAAAAGAAAAAGUAAGGGUAAGAAUGUAACAUAUUUUACUAUAAGAAUGUUUUGAGGUAUUUUAAAAAAUAUAGAGACUAAAUAAACACUUAAGUCAAGAACAAAGGGAUUAAACGAGCAUUUAUCCUAAAAAUAUAUUGAAUAGUAAGUUAUGAAACACCCAACUAAUAUAUUUAUUUAAAUUUUUAGAGGACUAAAAUUGAGGGGGAUUGUCAAUUUUUUCCUAAAAUUAAUAUACAUCAUUUACUCUCUUUACUAUUUCUCUAAUACCCUAAAACUCUCCUUGCACUAAAACAUUUAAAGGAAAACAAGUAAAAGAAAAAUAUCUUCUUAUUCACCAAAACACAUAUUUUUUUAAUACUGAAUUUUUAUGUAAAAGCUGUUUAUAUAAUUUUAUUUAAUUUAUAAUAAAUAAAAAUAAAAAUAUAUUUAAAAAAUAAAGGUAAUAGGGUUAGACGUUAUUGAUCAUUAUAAAAAUAAUAAAAGAUAAAUGAUAGCUUAAAAAACUUAAGCUAAUUUUAGGAAAGGAUAAUCUGUGUACCCAACAACAGGAUCAGGAAUGUAAAACGUGCUUCUGUUGUACUUGUUCAAAGGUGCAUUCAGCUCAAAGCGCUUCGGCAAAUCCGGAUUAGCUAAAAACAAACGGCCAAAAGCAACCAAAUCUGUAUAAUUCGCUGCAACAGCUUUGUUGCCUUCAUCUCUAUUAUAUCCUCCAGCAGCAAUGAAAGUUCCCUCAAAAGCUCUUCUCAUCGACAAUAAGCUGUGUUGAGUUCAGACUUGUGAUACGAAUGAAUUUAGAUAAGAAGAAGUAGAAGUCGAAGAAGUUAGUGAUAGUUUAGUUUCCAGUUUAGAAAGGGAAGUCAAAGAAUUAGAGAGAAGAAUAUGAAUUGAUUAGAGGGGGGAAAGACAACUUCAUUCCAUUCCCUCCCCAUUACNNNNNNNNNNNNNNNNNNNNNNNNNNNNNNNNNNNNNNNNNNNNNNNNNNNNNNNNNNNNNNNNNNNNNNNNNNNNNNNNNNNNNNNNNNNNNNNNNNNNAUAACCUUUUGAAGAAACUGGAACCCAUAUCAACUUGUCAGUGAGUUGAACCAUCCUUGGCUCGAUUACGUGUAGAUAAAGAAGCUUAAAUUUGUUAAGUGCUUUCGCCAUGUACAGGCCAAGUGCUUCGGGAUUUGAGUCUACUGCCUCCGCGCACUCAGCAUAAGGCGACAGUCUCAUGCCAACUCUUUACUUAUUGUGAGGAAACUAGAAGUAUGAAUGUUGACGAUAAUUAAAAUGGCAUUUGUUUUUUAUUUGAAAUUUGAAUAAAUUUGAAUGGGUUUAAAUUUUGAAUAUAGGUGAAUGUUUGAAUAUGAAUAAUAUAUUUAUUUUUUUAAUCUAAAUCACCUAAAAUAAAUAUUAAAUUAUUUUUAAAAUAAAUAUUAAAUUAUUUUUAAAAUAAAUAUUAAAUUAUUUUUUAAAAUAAAUAUUAAAUUAUUUUUAAAAUAAAUAUUAAAUUAUUUUUUUAACUUAAAAAAUUUGAAAACUAGUUGAUGCAAAGUAAGAAUCCAUAUUAUAGCAAGAUUAGUUUCCAUAUUAACUAAGAUUGAGGACUUUUAAUUUCCUUUCUAAUUUAGAAUUUUAAUUUCCUUUCCAAUUUAGAAUUUUUUCUUUUUAUUUCAUGAUUUAAGAUAAUUUCUACUAAUAUAAACAGCUCCCUCUUAUAGCCUUUGAAGGCAGACUCAAGUUUAAUAGUAUUUUCAAUUUCUAAAUCUUUAUGUGAGUAUUUGAGUUUAGUUAAUUCUCAGUAUUGUACGGAAUUAACGAAUCUUAACUCCUAAAUUUACAGUUUUUAAAUUAAUGUGAAUUUAUCAUAUUUUUUAUUCUGAUAUUCUCUAAAAUUAAUAAAAUAUUAUGAACUUUAAACUUUCGUUGUAUCAACUUGGUAUAAAAAACAAAACUCUGGUAUUACCAAUCGGAAAAUGAUGUUUGCCCCGGGUCAAAUCCCGAAAUUUAAACGCAGCGUUUCAUUAAAGGCAAAAACAAUGGCGUUUUCGCUUGCCAAAUAUUUCCCUCAGUCUUUGUCGAUGGAGCUCCACCCAAGUAUUUUCCCUUGCCUUUCCUCCGUUGAUCGAGCUCCAGCCACAUCCAAAUAUUUUCUCUUUCAUUUCCUUCGUCGAUUGAGCUCCAGCCACAACCAAAUAUUUCCCCUUUCUUUUGUUAAUCGACCUCCAACCACCAGCUCCAGCCACAGCCAAAUAUUUCCCCUUUCCUUCUUCGAUCCAGCUCCAACCGCAGCCUAAAAUUUCCAUUUGCAAUCCACAAUCUGCACCUGAAAUUGCCAUUCGUAAUCCACAACUCACAGCUCAAGAUUCAAAUUGAAACAGCUCAGAAUUCAAGCAAAAAACAUCGCAACAUAAGCUUAUUAUCCAUUAUAUUAACCCAAUUUAACAGGAUUUAUGAAGAGUUGCUACGAUUUUCAAGCAGCAAGCCUCGGGCAUCAUCGAUGGUAUAAAACCCAUUUAUAACUCCAUCUUAUGAAGGAUAGCUGAAGUUAUUUUUACCCACCGAUGUGAACCCACCACUGCAAUUGAAGAAUAUGUUGAGGUUUCGAACGGUCUCACUGUAACUAAAGAGCGUGUGAUUGAUAAUUUUUUUCGGCCAUUCGACUGAAGGACAAUAACCACCAAGCAAAUUAAGUCCAACAGGAGUAAUAGUCAUCAUUUGACGACCGCCAUCAAUUCCUAAAACUUGAAAACUUUCAUUUUCCAUAUCUAUUGUAGGACUCCGACUCGGAUUCCCAUAACAAUUGAGAUAGAAUAUGUGCUGGGAUGAUACUUUUGCUCAUGAUUAACUUUUGCAAAAGGUCAUGGAGAGAGAUUAGUGAAGACUUGGUAUGUAAAAUAUAGAUUGAGAUUACUUUAAGCAAACGAUGAAAGUGACUACGAAGAAAAACAGAGCAGCAAGGUAAGGCAUUGGUGGGGGAAGCUUCAAGCAAAACGACGUAGUAUUGGUUAAAAAAAAAAAAAAUUACAAAACGCGUCGUUUUUUGUAAGGUUUCGGGGUUUGACCCAGGGCAAAUAUCAGAACUCUUACCAAUCAAACCGCAUCAACCACCAAACCUUUUCUUUUCCACUUUUUGAUUUUUUUCCUGUUUAGCUUUAUUAAACAAAGUUUUAAAAAAAAUCAGCGACCCGAAGGCCGCUGCAGUAGCCGCCGUCCACAGCGGUCACAUUCAUUCCCGUCAUUCUUUUGACAAUUAGCCACCGCCACCACGUUCAGAGGAAGCCACCCAUCAAACCCCAAGCAAGGAACACCGCCGAUUAGCCAUAGAUCGCCAGAAAAAUAACCGAAACAGCCACACCAACCGCUGCCAUCGUUCGCCGGGUUCAGUCGCGCGUUGGCCAGCACCACCAUCAUCGAUCCACUCCUCUCCAUCAGCUCAACCUUUCUCAUCACUCCCCGGCGCCGAUCGACUAACCGGUCGCCAGAAUCAAAGCCCACACAAAACCACCACAUUUUUGUCCAAUUUCCAGCCAAAGCACCACCUUUCUUGGCAAACCACCACCACUAGCAUACUCAACGACCAGAAAUCUUCGAAAUCCACCAAUUCUUGCUCGAUUUCCGACCACCAUCUCCGGAAACCUAAGCUUUAACUUAAUUGCCAGUUUUUCCCAGAACUUUGUUCAAUUUUCAGUUUAGCCCCAGACAUUUUUUAAGCCAAAGUGAGAAAAUGCCGCCAAGAAAAGCCUGUGAGCAUGGCCAUCAUGGAGUAACUUAUGACCAAGAUUAUGUUCUUAGAGAUGAAGCCAUGGCUACACAUGAUAACUAGAAUUAAUAUGUUAACUGCACUAAUGACACAAAUGGCAACUUACUUGCCGAACAUCAUCGUACACCAGAACACAAAGACAAGUCAAGUGAAAGCUUCGCUAAUCCAUUCUCCGAGCAUUGGCAUAGAUCUGAGUCUAUUGAUGAUAGAAGAUGAGAAGCUGGGUUGAGAAUUGACAUUUCUGAAUUUCAGGGAAGUGGACGACCUGAAAAACUAUUUGAUUGGAUUAAUGCCAUUGAGAAAGUUUUGAAUAUAAGGAAGUUCCUGGAAAUAAACUAGUCUCGCUUGCCGUAACUUGAUUUCAUGGAAGGGGCUUGAUGGCAACAAAUUGAGCUCACAACAAUUAGGCAAUUAUGUGGAGCAUUCUUACCUCACAAUUGUACUAAGCUAUUAUACCAACAACUACAGAAUUUGAGGUAAAUUAAUCGAUCAGUAGAUGAUUACACCACAUAAUUCCACUAGUUGGUAGCAUGCAAUGACUUGACAGAGAUAGAGGAACAACAGGUUUCCCACUACAUUGGAGGCCUAUGAUCCCAGUUUCAAGACCAGUUGAAUUUACUUGAUCCAUACUCUAUCUUAGAAACACACCAACAGACUUUGCUAUUGGAGAAGCAAUUUAAACGACGUAUUAGUGACUCAAACUUUGGGGGGCCCUCGAAGUGUUGUUUGUGAUAAUUUAAACUUGACUUCCCAAUUUCAAAACUUCACUCCCUCAAAUCCUCCAAAUAAAACUAGUAAAUCUAGUGAAAUCGGUCAAAGCAGCAAAACUCAAUCCUUGUGUUUAGGAUUACGUUGUUUUAAUUAUAGAGAAAGUGGGCACUGAAUGACAAUGUAAAAAGGGAGGAAAAUACAGUAAAGGCAUAGUCAUAGGCACUGAGGAAAGUGAAGACUACUAAAAGGAAGAAAUUAAAGAAUUCGUUGAAGAACCAACUUUUGAUAUUAGUAGUAGUACACAAUCUGUUGAAGAACAUGGUGAUAGUAGACCAAUGUUGAUCAUAAAUCGUGCAUUCUUCGCUCUUAAAGGUCAAGAUAAAGACAAGUGAUUGCAACAAAAUAUUUUUCAGAUUACUUACACAAUUGGGGAAUAGUAUGUUGUAUGGUCAUAGACUCGGGUCGUUGCGAGAAUGUUAUUUCAGAAGAAACUAUAACGAAGUUAAAUUUAAAGAUAGAACCUCAUCAAACUCCAUUUAAGAAUUUCUUCAACAUUUCCCAAGAGUCGAUCUUCUUUUUGCCUUGCCUAAUCCUUGUAAGCUUAGUUUGUUGCCACCAAGUUGCUACCCUUCUACAAAAUUGACUUGCCGUAAGUGAGAUUGGUUUAUUAUUAGGAACUUCCUUAUAUUUAAAAACUUCUGUUAAUCUCUCUGAUACCAAUAUGAUGCAGCAGAAGUUUAAAGAUAGAAAUAUUCCGUUGAUUGUGGAGAAUACCAUAAUAAAAAAGAAGAUAAAUUUACGUUGAUUCAAAUGAAUAUUGCGAACUUAGGAGUUAAGAUUCGUUGAUUCCGUAAAAUACCGAGAAUGAGUUUCAUUAUUUUUAUUGUUUGCCUUCUCAAUAAGGCUUAGUAGAAAGCAUAUGCAUACGCAUAUAUAUAAGCAACUACAAUAACGAACAUACUGUACUAUGUUAAGCGAAAUGAUCAAAAGCUAAAACCUAUGAUUAAAAUAUGAAAAAAGAGAAUGAGAGAUGAGGAAAUAACGAGGUUAUAAUAACAAUACCAAUAUUAGUGAAACAAAUAAAGGCUUUUUGUAAUAUUAUGAAACAAACAUAUUAAAAAUAAUUUAUUUCAUUUUUUUAUCGUCAAAAAACUGAGAAAUUUAUUAAGUUAAAACCACAUUACACUUAAUGGGGGACAUAAUAAGAUGGCGGAAGAAAUUGAUACAGUAAAACAAAAGAUUGAAAAGAACUACUGGACAGCUACUGAAAAUGGCAAUAUAGGGAACAACAUAAGAUUUAUUAUCAAAGGAAAAUAGUCAAGCCAAGUAAAAUCACAAAAAUCAACGGCCAAAUUAACUUAGGUAGUCAGUAACACUAUCAACCUCCUGAUAACAGUGAAAAACCUAAAAAUGUAUCCUAUCAACCAAAUAAUAACAAUUCAACAACUUAUUUCGGAUGGUUCAUUAAGGAAGCAAUGAUCGAUCUAUUGUUGAACACGUGCACAACAAGCAUUGAAUCAGAUACAUAAGACCAGCUUCUCUCAUGAUCAAUCUUCAUUGCUAUAAUAGCGGCAAAAAAUUCAGCCUAGAAGGCAGUGUUUAUGCCCAAAGGAAUGUUGAAACUAAAACUGAAACCAAUUUCAUGUUUGUAAACACCAACAUCAGCAUAAUGCCACCUAACAUUAAUUUUCCAUGUAAGACGCUAUUCUAAUUUCCGAUACAAUGAAUUAAUUCAUGUAAUAUAUGUUUAGUUGAAUUUUAUACGACCAUUAAUUACAUGCUGACAUUUUAAAAUAAAUAUAAAUAUAUUAUAAUAUUAUUUAUUUAUUAUAUGAAUAACAUGGUACCUAUAUUAUAUAACUUCUUCUAAUUUCGGCACAAAAAGCUAAAAACUACAGCAUCAAAUGGGACCAGAGACUUUUGUCACGGGAUGAGUAUUUUGCGCAGCUAACCCGUGCGGCACUUAGACAACUUUGCCAAAUGUUGCUAAGUAAGCCUAGAACUUCUUGAACUAGAGAAGAGAGCAAUGAAGUCGAAUGAGAAAACUUGUAUUACACAAAGAGAGGUUACAAUGCUUGAGUUGGUUACAAUGCUUGUUGUUGUGUUUGUUGGAUGUAAAUGCUAAAUGUCAUAUCCUAUUUAUAGGGGAGGCUUGACAAGCUUUAGAGAUUCUAGAGAAUUCUACAAUGUACCUAGAAUUCUAGAUAUUUACAUGUGCUGGAAAUGUAUGGAGUAUUCUAGAAUAUUUACAAGCUCAUUUGUGCUAAAGUUGCCUGGAAGUUUCCAGAAUUGGGCCAAGCUAGCACUCUUGGCCUUGUGUUGGCUCUCUAGCCCGAAAUUGUGGGCAAUUGGGCUAGCAUCUUGGGCUGUCCGUAACAUCCUCCCCCACCUAAGCUCGCGGCGUCCUCGUCGCGAUCUCGUCCUUGGUCCUUUAGGGACUUGUUCCACGAUUUGCCGUUAGUCUUCUUGUGCUUCACUCUUGGGGAGGUUCCGCCACUUACUCUGCAUGUGGUCAUUUUUUUCUUUCGGUUGGUGUUGUGGCGUCCCUUCUUGUGUUUCCGUAACUCGUCAUGCUCGGAUGGCUAUGUGCAUUGCUCAACUACUCGUCUCGGUGGGAGCUUCGGAGGCAUGACGUCUUUGCCUUUAUCAUGGACGGUUCGUGCUUGUUGUGGGACUUGGCUUGGAGGGCUUUUGGAAUCCUCUCCCUUGUGGUGUUGCCGGAUAGAGACCAAGUGGUCCAGAUUCUUCUUGAAUCCUCGUCUGCAUUGCAUGACCGAGAGCGCCUUUUCUACGAGUUGUGCGCGCUCGACCGGUACCACGCAUGCCUUACUCCCAUCGAAGAUGCUAAGGGAGUUCGUUGCGGGAAGUGGGAAGGCAUGUAUCUUGUCGAAGAAUUCCAUGCCAAGGAUCAUUGCAAAGUCGUCCAUCGGCAUAAUCGAGAAGUCGAGCUUCCCAUUCCAUGUCCCAAGCGUAAUGUGUACGCCUCGUGUAGUUCCCGUAAAUGGCUUGGCGGGUGAGUUUACAACCUUAAUGGUGCCUCUGUGUUGCGUUACCUUGAGGCCUAGAUACUCAGCCUCUUCUUCGGAGAUGAAGUUGUGCGUUGCUCCGGUGUCAAGUAGCGGCGGUUGGCUCACGAGUGUGCUAAGGCGUUGGAGCGAACCCAAGUUGUGUUGAGGUUCCUCCGCAGUCGGUGUGUGUUGGUCCUUGAGUUGUGCCAUGAGGGCAUUAAGCGACUUUUUCUCCGAGCAGUCGUGCACCCAAUGAGGGCCAUUGCAAAUGAAGCAUGGGAGGCUUGGGUGGCUUCUCAGACUUACUUUGCCCGCCCUUACCGCUUGGAGGCUUUUUCUUGCACCACUCUUUGCAAUUGCGGUCGUUGUCCUCAUGGCUCUCUCCCCCACCUUGGUCAUAGCUAGACCUCUUGUCCUUGAGCUGGGCGGAGUAUUCGGUGAGCGACUCCGCAACGGCAAUGGCGUCGUCAAGUGUUUGAACACCACGCCUAUCAAGCUCGAUCUUGGCCCAAUCCUUGAGGCCAUCUUGAAAAUAGAAGAGUGAAUCUUUAUCGAACAUGUUGCUUAUCUCCAAUAUAAGGGUAGUGAACUCGUUGAUGUAGUCCCGCAUGCUACCCGUUUGCUUGAGGCGACAUAAGCGCGCUCGCGCUUCCUUCUCCGCAUUGCUUGGGGUGAACUGCUUUCGGAGUUCUUGCUUGAAGUCGGCCCAAGUAUCGAUGGUGCAAAUGCCCUUGCCCAUCUCUCCAUGCUUGUGACGCCACCAUAGUUGUGUGGCGCCUCUAAGAUAGGUGGGUGCACUGCCCACUUUCGAUGCCUUAUCUCGUACACCCAUGGCAUCGAAGUAUUGAUCAAGCCCAAAUAGGAAGUUGUCCACGAUUGUGGCAUUGCGUGUGCCAUCAUAGGUGUCGGGCUUUGGCACGUGAAUGCGGCCCGCAUCACUCGAGUUUGCGGAAGUUGGACUAGCUGAUGGUUGUCAAAGCCAAGAAAAAUAAAUUCCUACUCUAAAUAAAUUGUGUAUAGUGAUUGAGCAGGGUCGUGUCCACAGAGAUCGGUAAUUAUUUAAAUCCUUUUGAAACGUAAAACGUAAAAUGGGGGAAUUGUUGACAAUAAUAAAAAUGAAAUUAAAAUAACAAGAAUGCAAAUUAAAGUUGUAAUUCAAAUUGGAGAAAGCUCUGGUUAAAGGAAUUAACUCAGCUUGAUUCGACUACUGAUCAUUGAUUCAAAUAUAGAUUAUUAUUACUUAUGAAUAGACCGGUUAUAGCUAUUGAGACCCUCUAAUAGCCAAUCUCUCCUUAACUAGUCGAUAACCAAGGUACGACCGUUGGAUAUUUCCCUAAUCAAUAGACAACCCUAGAUACGAUCAUAGGAUUUAAUCAACUGACAGCCUGAAAAACUAGAGAGACCAAAAUCCUAAUCAACACAUAUGAUGAUUCAUUUAAAUUAGAUUGUUUAUUCUCAUAACACAACUCCCUGCUAUGUUAUUUGUCACAAACAUUAAAAUCUUCAUACGAUGAAUCCUUUAAUUGAAAAUAGAUUAAGUUGAUAAUUAAAUAGUGGCCAAUUACCUAAUUAACAAACAUAAUCAUGAAAAUAAUUCAGACAAUAAACAAAUAUCCAAAAAGCAAUAAAACAAUUAAAGCAUAAGAAAGAUCUCACAGUAGUGAUGAAUCAAAGCUUCAUUAUCCUUCAACCAGAAAAAUAGGUUUAGUUCUUCAUAGAGAGAAGAGAAAAGUUUAGAUCUAGGGUUUCUUUCUUUUUCUCCAAUCCCCAUUUUUCACAAUAAAUUCCUCCUUAAAUACCCUCUCUCUUUUCUCUUUUAGAGUUCUAUUUAAAAUAAAAUACUAAUAUCUGAAUAUUAAAUUCGUAAUUACAAAAAUAACCAAAAAUACAAAACACGUUAAACUAAAAACUGCAGGUUCGCAGUUGACAGCAGGCGCCCACGCCUUAUCAACAAAGUUUUUCUGCCGCUCAUAAUUUCUCCAAGAGAACAAUCAUCCUUAAACAUCAUCUUGUAGCUCAAUUUUAUCAUUAAUCAAUAGAAUUGCACCUACAAAAGUAAAACACAAGUAAAUCACUAUUAUUAAGUACAAAACAUCGAUAUUAAGUACAAAACAAUGCAAAACUAGUGCAUAAAUUGCACUCUAACACUAGCGGAGAGUGUGCGCUUGUGCCAUGCCCAAUCCGAGCGGACUUCAUCCACUUUCGCACGGACAACGCGUAGUUCGUCCUGAACAAAACUACGAAGUUUGAGCAACUCAUCACGAAAAGAACGAAACUCACCUCGGAGAGUGUUCGCUUGCUCGUGGAUGAGAGCUUUUGUUGCCACUGUGAACUCGGCAUAUUCCCCCUCGAGACCGUCCACUCUUUCCUCCAAUCCCUCGAGGCUAUCUUGAGCGGGGAACAAUGUGAUUUCGAGAGUGGUCACACGAGGCUCCAACGCAUCCACGGAUGGGGCCUUGGACUUGCCGUGAGUCUUGCCUUGGGCCCGUUCUCCCUCUCGGCCGCGGCUUGGUUCCAGUGGAACAUCCACACCAACAACACCCUCUUGUGCUACGUUCGAAGGGUUGGCCAUUGCUUCGUGAGCUAACUUGCGUGCGUGCAAACCUUAGCUCUAAUACCACUUGUCACGGGAUGAGUAUUUUGCGCAACUAACCCGUGCGGCACUUAGACAACUUUGCCGAAUGUUGCUAAGUAAGCCUAGAACUUCUCGAACUAGAGAAGAGAGCAAUGGAGCCGAAUGAGAAAACUUGUAUUGCACAAAGAGAGAUUACAAUGCUUGAGUUGCUUACAAUGCUUGUUGUUGUGUUUGUUGGAUGUAAAUGCUAAAUGCCAUGCCCUAUUUGUAGGGGAGGCUUGACAAGCUCUAGAGAUUCUAGAGAAUUCUACAAUGUGCCUAAAAUUCUAGAUAUUUACAUGUGCUGGAAAUGUAUGGAGUAUUUUAAAAUAUUUACAAGCUCAUUUGUGCUAGAGUUGCCUAGAAGUUUCUGGAAUUCAGCCAAGCUAACACUCUUAGCCUUGUGUUGGCUCUCUAGUCCGAAAUUGUGGGCAAUUGGACUAGCAUCUUGGGCGGUCCGUAACACUUUGCUCAGGUCCACAUAAGCUCAGUUGCUUUGCUUUUUAUACAUACGUACUCACGAGCUCAGUUGAGAAGUUAGCUGUACUGAAUAGAAGCUGAAGGCAGAAAGAGAUUGGACUAGGCAAAUAUAUUACAAAGCUAAUAAACAUGGCCGCUGCCGCCAACACCACCAUUCCAGCUGCUUCGUGGCCCCCACCGUCACCAUUCCCUUUCACGUUCACAGGUAUUCGUGUGUAUAUCAAUUUUUCUUCUUUUGUUUUAUUUUUUUUUCCUUAAAAAGCUUAACCAAUUUAUGUAUUUAUUAUUAUUAUAAAUUUGAGAUAACUAAUAAUAUUUCACAGCGAGGUCCGAUUGGGGAUUUGGCUUCUGCCCUUGCAAAUGCUUCCCCGAAGCAGCAGAGGACGAUGCUGCGAGGGAAUCUUUACCCACAGCUAAGGUUACGGAAAUACUUUUGGAGAUGGAUCAGACAGAGAUUUUGCACUUGCUCGAGUCACCAGAAGAAUCCGGCAGGUAAUCCAGCUGAUCAACUAGCCUCUUUAUAAUUGAAUGAUAACUUAGUUUGUUAAGUUGCGAGCUGCGAUAUUUGAAAAAUGCUAGUUUUGAAUUUAUUCUGGAUUUGGCUUGGAUACAGUUACUAGACUUUGAAGUGAAUGAUCUAAUAGGUUAGGCUGCUGCUUUGGUAACUUAACAUAAAGAGAUUGGGUUACGCAUUAAUUUUUAAUUAAUUUCUUAAUUUACUGAUUUGAUAUUAUUAGUUUUCAAAAGAAUAAUAACAACUAAUAUAGAUUCUGUUUUAAUCGAAACACUUACAAAGUCUUCAACUUCUCAUCAACACUCAACUCAAGGAUUUAUAUGCUUCUAAACAAGAUCAAGAGAACUCCUUUUAUAUGCUUCCAACUGAAAAAGUGCUUUAUUUCAUACAAACCUCAAGUUUCUUGCAUUGAUCCGUGCAAUUCCAGCAGACUCUUGAGUAACUAUUUCAAAUCAGGAAAAAUUAAAGAAGCAAAGAACCUGUUCGAUGAAAUUCCUGAGAAGAAUGCAGUAUCAUGGUCCAUUGUGAUUCAUGGAUAUUCUAUAAAGGGGUUUCACGAGAAAUCCAUGAAAGCUCUCUCCCAUGCCCAAUUCUUUCAUUAUAGUUGGUGUUCUUGUUGCGGCAGUAGGCUUGAAAAACUUGGAACUUGCGAGAUCUAUUCACGGACUAAUGGUGAAAUUUGGGUUGGAAUCUGAUGUAGUAGUUGGUACUGCGAUGCUUGAUGCAUAUGCAAAAUGGGGAAAUGUAUUUUAUUCUUGUAAGUUGUUUGAAGGACUAAAGAACCCAUGUGUGGUUUCUUGCAAUGCAAUUGUUGCUGGGUUUAUAAGUAAUAAACUUUUUGAACAGGCUGUUCUCUUAUUUAAUUUCUUUCGGGGGUAGUUUGGUGCCUAAUGCUGUGACAAUGUUGACGGUUAUUAGGGGUUAUGUUGCACCAGGGUCAAGGGCACUUUGUGAACUAAUCCAUUGUUUGACAAUUAAGCUGGGUCUUAUUUUGGAUAUAUCUGUUACUAACUCUGUACUUGACAUGUAUUCAUGUUUGAUGGAUUUAGAUGCUGCUAUCCAAAUAUUUAGAGAGAUGGAAUGCAAAGAUAUUGUCAGUUGGACGAGGAUGACGAGUUUGUUUGUCGACUUUGAAUAUGCCGGUGAUGCUCUAAAGAUUUUAGCGAAAUGAAAAAGAGUAGGAUCAUUUGUGAUACGGUUGCUCUAAUGAAUUUAAUCUCAGCUAAUGCAAUUUUGGGAGAUUUGAAGAGGGGAAAACAACUCCGUGCACAAGUUGUUUUGGGAGGCCUUCAAUUAGAGCUACGCCUUUCGAACUCUAUCAUUGCAAUGUAUUCCAAGUGUGGUGAUUUAGAUUCUUCCAGGUCUGGAUUUAAUCAAAUAACCGAGAAGAGUCAUUUUAGGAUAUGUGCAAAAUGGGUGUGCAAGAGAGGCUUUGGACCUACUCAUUAAGAUGAGACAAGAAAAAACCGAUUCCGUUGAUUCAAUAAUGUUAGUCAGUAUUCUCACUGCUUCUGGUGAGCUGGCUGCUUUAGAGAUCUGCCUGCAGCUCCAUUGUCUUGCUUUUGAAGCUGGUUUCUCACGGUAUAGAUCAGUUCAAAACAGUCUUAUAUUGUCAUAUUCAAAGUGUGGGAAUGUGGACCUUGCCUACAUUGUUUUCGAGGAGAUGGGUUUUCUUCAAGAUUUUGUAUCAUGGAAUGCUAUUAUAAAUGGGUAUGGGGUCAAUGGCCAUGGGGAAACUGCUCUUGCUCUGUACCAUACAAUGACGGAGAGUAGGGAAGUCCCCGAUAAUUCAACCUACUUGAGCAUUUUGAAUGCUUGUAGUCAUGCAGGGUUAACAAAUGAUGGAUUGGUUAUUUUCAAUCCAAUGAUAGAAGAAAACAAAGUAAAGCGAAGCCAAGAGCAUUAUGGGUGUGUGGUUGAUUUGCUUGUUCGAGUGGGCUGCUAUCAGAUGCAAGUGGGCUUGCUGGUAAACUUUUGGAAGGGAUGGGUGCAAAUAUUUGGAGGGCUUUGCUUAGUGGAUGCGUGCUCUAUGGUAACAUAGAGCUAGCAGAACUAGCAGCGAAAAAGGUAUCUGAGCUUGACCCUGGAGAAUCUGGUCAAGUUUUGCUCCUUUCAAAUGUUUAUGCAUCAGUUGGGAGGUUUCAGGAUGCUGAAGCUUUGAGGUCAGGCUUACAGAAGAAAUGGAUAAUUAAGAUUCCAGGAUUAGCUUUAUCAAUAGCACAUCAUGUGACUUCGGUUGAUUAUUCUAUCUUUUUAGAUUAGAGGAGGAUUUCUUUCUUCUUAUGGACAUUCACUGUGACUCAAGACAUGAUGAAGUUUCUGAGAUAUAAGCGCCACCAGAACAUCCCCGUAUUACUGGCAACUUGAUUAACCAGAUGAUGGCUGAAUCUUUAUCAUUCAUUAUAGUUAAAACGUAUCAAUUAGAGAAGCUUUGUAUAGAAUUCCAGAAUUACGAAUUUGAAGAUGAUUCCAUCUGUUCUUCUUUAAUGGAUCUGAUAUGGCUGAAAUUAAUUAUCAGCAUUUGUAAUCAUAGCGAUGCUAACUUUAGCAUAUCCUGCUUCAUCAUGAAUGUAUUCUAAAAUCGUUAAAAGCAAUAUAGAUUCUGUUUUACUGAUGAUCCGAUGCUCAAGGGAAUGAGUAUUGUGGUCGUUAUUCGCUGUUAUACCGAAUGAUAGAGAAGAAUGAUUGGCAAGGUGUGGAAGAUUUUGUCACUGAUCAUCCCGAUGCCUUGACCGCCAAUAUUGGUGAACUUGGUUUUAAGUCGAUAUUGCACGUGAUUGGAGAGUUAUUAGUUGAUGUUGAAUCUGAUGAGGCCACUUUUGGUAGAGAAAGGAAAUCUAAAGGCCUUAAUCACAACUGUUGGCAGCUCUUCAUGGACUCCAACGUUAUCACCAAUUUUGUUUUUUAACAAGGAAACAUGAAAAACUGGAUAGAUCUUACAAUCCUUGGGUAGCUCCAAUUUGUAAGCAACAGCUCCAUUUCUUUUGAACCCUGAACGGCCAAAGUACUUAGGAGACGGCUUAAGAUUCUUCCUCAUUGAAAUCGAAAUUUGUCGAUAUGGCUGGAGCCUAAAAUAAACUCACACCCUCUCUUCAAAUUGUCGUUCUCUAUGAUUCUUGUCAUACACCUUCUUAAUGCGUGCUUGGGCCCAAGCUAGCCACUUACUCCACUCCUUAAGCCUUGAACUAGUAAAGCAUCGCAAAUACAUCUCAACCGUAUGAUUCGCAACUUCGCUUCGUCCAUCAGUUUGAGGAUGGUAUGCUGAACUAUAAUUGAAGCUUGUCCUAUUCAUUUUGAAUAAAGUAAACUUAUAAAGGUUGAGUCUCCAUCACAAACAAUAGUUUUUGGCAUUCCAUGCAGCUUGAAAAAUAUUAUCAAAAAAUAUUCUUGCAACUCCGACCGUUGUAUAAGGAUGAGACAAAGGAAUCAAGUGUGCAUAUUUUGAUAGUCUGUCAACAACAACCAAAAUAGCAGCUUUUCCAUUUGACAUUGGCAGUCCAUCAAUGAAAUCUAUAGAAAUAUCUUCCCAUGCCUGUUGUGGGAUAGGAAGAGGCUAAAGAAAUCCAGCAGGAGCAAGCUGUUCCACCUUGUGUCGUUGGCAAAUGUCGGAUGCUGCAAUAAAUUUGCGUAUUGCACUUCUCAUGCCCUUCCAAAAAAAAAUUGACUCUUAUACUCUGAAAUAUCUUAUGGUACCCUUCAUGAGUGCUAUUAUGGAAUUGUUCUAAAAUGUCUUUAAUUAAAGAAGAAUUUUCCUCAAGAUAAAUCUUUUUCUUAAAGAAAAUUACCCUAUCCAUUAUUUUCCAUGGAUCUAUUGCUUCCCCAGCCUUAAUUCGUUGGAGUAGCCCUUGUAAUUUGUAAAGCCACACUAAAUUCAAUUUCUUAUUUAAUAGCCCCCACCCAACUAGGAACAGGUUGGGUAAUUGCUGCUAGUCUCCCACUACUCUCCUUGUCAUUAACUUCCCUGUCUCUUCUCUCUUUGAAAGAAAGUCAGCCACAACAUUUUCUUCCCACUUUUUUAUACUAAAUUAUGAAAUCAAAUCCCAUCAGCUUGUACAACCAUUUUUUCUGAGUUGUAGUAGUAAUUCUUUGGCUCCAUAGAUACUUCAAGCUUUGGUGGUCUGUCUUGACAAUGAAUUGACGACCCAAUAAAUAUAGACGCCAUCUUUGCACUACUAGGACCAAAGCAAGGAUUUCUUUUUCAUAUGUUGAUAGCAACAGAAUCUUCCCUUGUAAGGCUUGAAUGAAAAAAGAAAUGGUUAAGACAGCUAAUGUUCCCAAUCCACUUGCAUCGCACUCCACAAUAAACUUCUUUGAAAAAUCAAGAAGAGCAAGUAUUGGAGCCUUUCUGCCUUUGUCAUGGCUUCCUUUAAAUUUUGAAAUGCCGCUUUAGCCGAUGACGUUCAGGAGAACGAAUCUUUUUUCAACAUCUUCGUAAGUGGUCCAACUAUUUUAACAAAAUUUUGAAUAAAUUUUCGGUAAUAGCCAGUCAAUCCAAGGAACCCUCUCAAGGCUUUAAGCGUACUCGGCUUUGGCCAAUUCAUCACUGUAGUAAUUUUUAAGCGUAUCUGCAUUAGAAAUUACAUGACCUAGGUAUUGUAUCUCUUUUUGGCCAAAUUGACAUUGUUUCUUCUUGACAAAUAGCUGGUGAGAUCUUAAUUAAUACAGCCAAUAUAAAUUUUAAAUGAUGCAAAUGCUCACUCCUAGACUUACUUUACACAAGACUGUCAUUAAAAAAAUACAAGAAUAAAUUUACCCAAAUAGUCUUGGAAUACCUCAUUCACUAGAGCUUGAAAAAUAGAUGGAGCAUUGGUAAGGGCAAACGGCAUGACGAGAAAUUUAUAGUAACCAUGGUGUGUUCGAAAAGCUGUCUUUGGUGUGAACUGGAUGCUACCCGAAUUUAAUCAUAUCCAUUUCGUAAGUCCCGCUUCGAAAAAAUAGUUGCCCCCUUUAAUUCAUCCAAUAUUUCAUCAAUAACUGGAAUUGAAAAUUUAUCUUUGAUAGUAAUCUUGUUUAGAGCUCGAUAAUCGACACACAUUCACCAAGACUCAUUAAGCUAUUUAACUAAGAUGACAGGUGGUGAAUAAGGAGCAUUGCUGGACUUAAUAACACCUGAGGAGAGCAAAUCAGCAACAAUCUUUUCUAUCUCUAUUUUUUGAAAAUGAGGAUAACGAUAUGACUUAACAUAUACUGGCUCACUUCCUACCUUUAAAGGAAUUUUAUGAUCAUGGAGUUGGAAUUUGAAGAUUAAAAGAGAGAAAAUGGAGAACUGUAAUUCAUUUCAUAUUAUUGAAUCACACUAUACAGAAAUUAGCUUAGCUCAGUAUUUAUAGUGGAAUCUAGAUAGUUCUGAUUCCUUGCUAAGCACUUUGUUACAGCUAACCAAUAUAACUGCAAAGUAACAAACUCUGAUCUAACUAAUUUCAAUACAAUUAAUAAGUGCUGAAUUAGUAACUAAUUGUUUCAUAAUCCAGAUGCAUGGGAAUCUCUUCAUAACAGUUUUGCCAUCUGGAACUUUCUAACUUCUCACGUGCACCUUUCACUUUCAUUCCCAGAUUAGCUACUGAAUUUACAGUUGGAUUGAUUCCAACUGGCACUCCAACGUGUGUUGAAUUUGGUUCAGCUUCAUCAGUGAAUUCAACAAUGGGUACGUGAUGGUAGUAAGCCUUUGAGCUCAUCGAAGACAUCAUCAAGUUCUUCUAAAAGCUUUUGCAAUGAUGGGGAUUGUUGACUCUUCAUGGUAAUAUCUUGAAAUAAGUUAUUCAUUGAAGAUAACUAAAGCACCAUCCCUUUUCCGCACUUUCUUAUUUCCCAAUUCAACUCCAAUUUCCCCACCAAUUUAUCAUUUGCAAUAGACUACCCUCUUAAGAUAAUCUCCUUAUUUGCUAUUCUAAAGCUCAUCUGUAGUUUUUCAAAGUCCCAUAUUAUUUGGCCUAAUGUUCGUAGCCAUUGAGUUUCUAACACUAUAUCAUAUACCUCCAAUAGAAGAAUAUAAAAAUCAACAAAAAUAAGAAAAAUUUCCUGUAAUAAUAACUUAAACAUUAGUGCACUUACUACGACUGGGAAGUCGUUUUUAUGAUACCACCACCACUUUGAAUUGCUCUUCAACUUCGGGUUGUAAUCCCACCUUCCUGCAAUGUCUUCACUGGUGAAAUUAUGGGUGCUCCCUAAGUCCACCAAAACAAUUGUGGUAAGUGACCCAAUAGUCCAUUUUACUUGCAUUGUACCUCUAGAAAUUGCGUGUAAAGAGAUCUCUGGCACCACGUUGGAAUCUUCUAUAAUAGCCUCAUCCUCGUCCGUAACCACAUUAUUGUCACCGUCAUAACAUGCUUCAAUAAAAAAUAAUUGUUUGCGAUGGUGCCCCGAAGUGAACUUUUUAUCACAAUUGUAACAUAAUUCUUUAGCUCGUCUUUCUUGCAUUUCCGUUGGUGCUAAUCGCUGAACUGGAAGGGUUGAAUUGCCAUGAAUUAGUUCUUUUUUCACCGAAUAGUUCUUUUUUACCUCAACAGUGGUAGUGUUGCGUCGCUGUGAGAUGUUUUGAGCUUCAUACAAUCGGGCUCGUCCAAUGGCUGAUGUAAAUGUGGUUGGCCUACAGGCAAGAAUGUCUACCUUAAUGGUGUCUUUCAACCUACCAACGAAACAGCUAACUUGUCGAUCUUGUGAAAGACGUCCCACCUUAGGUAACAACUUCUCAAAUUAGGUCUGGUAAUCACAUAUAGAGCCAACCUGUUGUAGUUUGAUUAAUUCAUCAAAAAAGUCUUGAAAUUGAGUGGCGUCAUAACUAGCAUGUAAGCCUUCACAAAACUCUUGCCAAGUCAUAUUGUUUCCCUCCUGUUUGAUCAAUUGGAACCACAGUUGAGCAUCUCCUUCUAAAUGGAAUGAAGCCAGUGCCACACGUUCUUCUUAUAGAGUUUGAUAAAGUGAAAGAACUGUUCAUCUCUACAAACCCAACUAGUCGUGUCUUCACUGCCAUUGAACCGUGGAAAAUCAAGUUUGAUCAACCUUGGAACAUAUGACUGUUAUGUGCUACUUUGAUGACCGCCCAUGGUGUUUCCCAAUCGCCCCUGAUCGUGGGGUGGGGCAUUAGAGCAGUCUUCUUCCUCUCGUUCCAUUUUGGUCUCCGGCAGGGAAUUAUUUGAAUUAAGCAAUCCAAAUAGUUCAUUGAUCUUCUCCAAAAUCUGUAGUUGACCAGUCAUGAGAGAACUUAUAUCCGACACUAACUUCUCUACCCUUUGAUCCAUGCCUAUGCUUUGAUACCACUAUUGUAUGUACUGGGGUUGUUCCUGUUUUGUUUGUUGGAACAUAUUGUGAAAUUUUUUAAAUAACAGAAAUUCGUCAGGUUGAUCGACGACCUUAGGACCUUUGUACUUGAAUUAUUGAAUGAAACUUGUCUGAUCUCUUUUAUUCACUAGUGCUUGGAAUAACUAGCCAAAAAUUACAACGUUUAUGUCCGAAAAAAUAGCUAAAGUGUUGCCAUUAACCUUCUGCAACUACUUCCUACGAUGAAAUAGCAACAGAUUGCAUUAGAUUAGGACUAUGAGAUAUCUACUAACGACAGCCAAUUAUUUUUUUAAAAAAAGAAACAAUAAGACCAAAUAUGUAACACUAUGAAGGAGUGAUUUGGACUAACUAUCAAAACGCAAAACAUUUGUCGGCGGCAAUGUUCACAGCUACAAAAUUGGGGAUUUCUGAGUUUGCCAAUGAAUUUUUUAUGGCCUAUGAUUGGUCUGCUAACUAGACAAACAGAAAUGACCAUAACAUAUUUGAUCUUGCAGUUUUACAUCGCCGUGAAAAAGUUUUUAAUCUCCUACGUCGCGUAACUUUCACUACAUUUUGGUGACUUUAGGAGACAAUUCUGGCAACAUCCAGCAUUUAGUGGGAAGAUUAGGACCUUCAAGUGAAGUGGUUGGUGCAGCAUUGCAGAUGCAGCGGGAGUUGCAAUGGUUCAAGGUGUGAUUGCUCAUCCGACAACUUAAUAUACUUUUUCAUAUUUAAUAGUCACAUUUUGAUAUUGGCUGCACAAUAGAUAAGUAAUGAUAUUCACACAGAAAAGUUGACAGAAUCUUGACAAAAAUAAGGUAAUAACAGUCAUGCCGGUUUACAACUUAAUAUAUUAUUGUAAUUAGUAUCAUUAUUUAUUAUAAUAUUUGUGACAUUAUUAUUAGUUAAUAGUUAUUGUUCAUGAUAAUAAUAGUAUUAUUAACAACAACAACAACAAUAAUAAUAAGGGCCAUUCAAUAAUGCGGUUAUAAAAAUUAUAGCAUCAAUACUUGCAUAAAUAUGUAUCGUUAGGUUUAACUAAUUGUUCACAAAAUUAAAAAUUAGAUAGGAUAAUAUUUUAAUUAAUUUCAAAUAUAGUCUAUUUAAACUUCUAUAUUUUUCUUUUGAAAAAAUGUAUUUUAAUAACACAACUUAAUAUUAGAAAACAAAUUGCUCCGAACUCCAAGGGCAAGCCUAACUAGUUCCAUCUAACGUAACUAAAUAAAAUCAUCAAUAAGUAUCUUCCCGAAGAAAUUUUCCAGAAGCUCUCCUAUAUUUUUGACAUUUUUAAGCAACAAAUCUAUAAAAUAAGCACUCCUAAAAUAACCCAUAAACUUAAUGCAGUAAAAUCCGUAAAAAUCAAACCCCAGAAGAGGGUUGCAUCGCAUUACAAAUGGGAAAAAAAUUAAAAUUAAGAAUUUUUACAACAUUUUCACUCAUGAUUUCAUAUCACCCAAUCCAACACCAACAAAUCGACCUGACAAUCAUCGUUCGAUGCCAUCAUAGUGUUGUACGACACCAUAGCCAAUUAGCCAUUGCUCCAUGAAGACGCAUUCACUGUGGAGAAGAUGAAUCCCAGAGAAGAAGAAGAAGAAAGAAGGAGCAAAAGAGGAAAAUAAAAAUGGAAAACAAAUUGAAGAAGACAAAGAAAGAAGAAGAAAAGGAGGGAAAAAAGAAAAGAAAAUGACACGAAGACAAAGAAAGAGAAAAACAAUGAAUGAAGAAGACAAAGAUUGGGAGAAGACGAAGGGAGGAGAGAGAGGAAGCAGAUAAUGAUACAUUCAACAGCAUCAUCCAAAGAAAAUAAAAUUUUGAAAAAAAAAGAGAGAGGAAAUUAAAAAAAAGUAAAUAAAUGAAAUAAAUAGGUUCCUCUAAUAAAUAAACAAAAAGUUAAUAAAUAUUAUUUUUCAAAUAUAAAUAUAUACACACACACACAUAGAGUAAAACUUCUGUAUAGUCAUAUUAUUGGAACUAAAGAAAUUUAUUUUUAUAAAGAGGUUAUAACUCAAUAGAGAUAUAAUACAAAAAUUAUUAUCUUUGGUUAAUUACCCCUAAUGCAAGUGAUAUAUGUUAGCCUAAAAGGCUACACAUAAUGUAAUUUUGAUGAUAACUAACAUGUGUCUUAAGUGAUUUAAUAAAUAUUGUAUUUCACAUUUUCACUAGUUUUUUAAGGAUAAUAUUUAUGCAAGCGAAUCAAGUGAAAUCAAGUUGAAGACACUCAACGGACAACGGUAAAAUCAAGAAUAAAGUUUAGAGCUCAAAGGAUAAAUUAUUGUGAUAAAUUCUCAUAAAACCGGUAUAAUUUAAUUGAUGCAUGAUUUAGUAUUUGAGAAGCUCAAGAGAUUAAUUUAAAUAAUUGUUUUUCAUAAACUAAAAGGCUUUAUUUUUAUAAGGUAUAGUAUUUUGUGGAUUUGAGCAAUUUGGACUUAAAUGAAAAGUUUUGUAAUCUUUGAUUUUAAUAAGUAUUAUUUUGAAUUUCGGAGUUGGACCUUUUUGCAAACAUUUGAAAUGUUUGGGCCAUACUAUAAUUUAGGACUACAGCGAAAGAUUUUGAGAACUUUGAGAACUUUGAAAAAUAUGGGUAUUAUGUUAAAUUUUAAAAAGGACCUCUUUGAAAAAUAAUAAUAUAUUUGGGGCCAUAUCAUAAUUUUAAAAAGUUUUGGAAUGACAAUUAUUAUUUAAAAAUCCUAAAAUUAGACAUAUUUGUAAAAUUUUAGGACAUUUUGGGUCAUAAUAUAAUUAUAGAAAAUUUUGGGUCAAAGUAUAAUUUCAGUGAACAAUAUUACUGUAGCAAAAUUCAAAAAUAACGGUAAUAUCACUGUUACAAGCGGCUAGCCGGAUAAAUCAAGCGGCUAACCGCUUGGUUGCAGAAAUUUGCUUAUAACAACUAGUUUUCGUGCUUUAAAUAUAAAAAAUUAACUCCAACUUCAUUUUAAGGACUAAUGCAAGUAUAAACAAGAUCAUAUAACAUAAAUUAAGCUUCUAAAUCGCAAAUCAUCAUAGAUUGAAUCAUUAUUCUGUUAUUAUUUGCAAUAUCCACUCUUAAAGAGAGUUUUUAUUGUAAUUUUCAUUUCUUAUCAAUUGUGAGUGUACAAGUGUGAGAAACACUUGGGGUGAAGAGAUUGAGGAGAUAAUCUCUUGAUUUUAAAGGUUCAUCAACACCUUGGAAGUCAAUUGUAAACAUUUGAAGCCUUGGGAGGCUUGAAUAGUGAAAUCCUCAAGCCGGGUGAGCUUGGAGGCAUGGACGUAGGCGGAGAUUGCUAAACCAUGUAAAAAUCCUUGUGUUUGUUUUCUCUUCCCUUACUCUUUUAUUAUUGUGCUAUAUUGAAUUUACUAUUUUUGAAUUCCAUUAAGGCAUUAGAUUGAAUUGUUGCAUGAAUUAUUUAACAUAAAAUUUGAAAUCCCAAUUCACCCCCUCUUGGGUUGCGUAACUUGCAUUUCAAUUUAGAGGUAAAUUAUGCCAUAUAUUAAUAAAUUAAUAAGUGAGUCAAAUUCAAUGUAUAGACAUUAAUAAAUUAAUUAGUGAGUCAAUUUCAAUUGAUAGAUAUUAAUAAAAAUGAUAUAUAGUUUUUAAAAAACUAAUAUAAAAAGCUUCAUGCUAGAAAGCUACGAACAUACUUGAGAAGCUAAAAAUAUUUUGGUUUCAACCGAUGUCUAUACUGACCAAUUAAUACAUACCCACAAGUUGAAAGAUGUAAUUACAACUUUAAAGAACAAAUCAUUGUCACAAGUAACUUUAGAAAGAUAUUUUGUUCCAUCUUAAUUAUUUAAUGUAACAUAGCAUAUAUUUUUGAAAAUAUUUUUGAAAUAUUAUUACUAUGUGGAAGUAAGUUUAUUAAGAUGGGACCUACAAAAAAUAUAACUUAUUACAAUGUGAAGUUUAUUCCUAAUUGUAAUUGGUCUUAGGUUGGGACUACAAUUUUUUAUUACUAUGAAGAGGUUAUUCCUAUAUAUAGUAUUCAUAUAUUAUGGAGCAAUGCUUCAUGCGAUGCUCCAACAAUCUUUUGAGUAUCACUUACUUCCAAAUACGAGGAUCUUCCGAUGGCAGCCUAUUGAAUUGUCCCACUGUCUGCAACAUCUGAAACAUCACGAGUUUAAGCUUAAAAUUAUCAGCUUGCACUUCGGGUUUAACUAUUUCAGGAUUUAUCGCUUGAGGAGUCAACACUACAUAGUCUCUAAUGGCUUUGUCUCAAUCAUUUUCCAUGUAAAUAAUAUUGUUACGGCUUGGUUGCCUAUGAAUAUUCUGUCCAUUCUAACCUUUUUUACCUCCUUGAGCAAUUACUGAUUGUAUUUCUCCUUAGGGGUUCAAAUUUCCCAUAUCUUGCAAAUCAUUCAUUGCUACAACAACUUUUGAAUUUUUGUGCCCUUUUCUAAAUCUCCUUACAUUUCUUUCAAUUUUUGGAUCAAGAUGAAAUUCAACUAGUUUAUAUUUGCACAUGCAAGGGUUGUUUGCCAACAAAAUAAACAAACGAAAAAUAAAAAUAAAAAUUAACACCGUUCAAGAUUAAUUUCAUAAAUCACAAUAAACAAUCGAUCCCCGACAACGACGCAAAAAAAUUGGUGUGUAAAUUCUAAUUCUAUGGGAGUCAAUGUUCAAGUGUACACAACAAGUAAUAUAAUGAUGAGUAAUCAAGAUCGUCUCCACAGGGAUGGAUGUUAUCAAAUUUGCUACAGAAAUUCUGUCAGUGCAAUUUAGAUUAAAUUAAAAUAAAAUAAUUAAAUUAAAAAUGCAAUAAAGGAAAUCUUAAAUCAAACACGAAUAUGCAAUCAACAAGAAAUGAGUAGUUGAGUUAUUAAACUCACUUAAUGGUUUUGACUAUUUUUCUAAUUAAGAACAUGUUGCUACAACAUUUUCUACUGCACUGGGCAGAAUCCCUUAUGCAUCCUCAGCUAUCACCUGUUGGAUAUCUUAUAUCUAUAUGCAAUCUAACAGUGAUAAGUUGUUAUGCUAACAUUGGAUAUAGUAUUAUGCGUUCUGGGUUCCAAUUACUCUACAAGGUGAAUCCCUAUGUUUAGUUCUUCACUAAUCUUAGAUCAAACAUAGCCCUAUUCAAAUCAAGAUUAAUAGAACUUUAGAAACCCAAUCUAAAACCAAGUAUUAUCUUAAUUUGUUCCACUAAGUUACCUUUUUUAGGAUCAUUUUUUGCUAGUAUCCACUAAAUGGGUGAUAAACUGAAAUAAAAAAUUAAAAUAAAUACAAUUAAGACAAAAUGCUGUAGCAAACACAGAGCAAUACGUAUAUAUCAGUCAAAUAUCCAUUUAGAUUGUUUAUCACUCAACUACAAUCAAAUUCAAUUUAUAAUUUGUGAAAAAAAUAAAUAAAAUAGUUUUAGUCAUCAAAACAUCCUCAUGAAUAAAUAGAAAAUAAGAAAGAACAAGAAGGACUGAUUUUAGAAAAUAUAACUAAAAUGCAAUGAAAACAUGUCAGUUACUUUCUAAGUAAUCUUGAUUUAAGUAAUGAAAACAUGUCAGUUAGUUUUUAAUAUGAAAUGAGAGUUAUCAGUACUCCUCUGCUCGUUUUCGUGAAAUACUACACUUAUAUAAAGGGAAGUAUUUUACAUAUUAAAAACUAGCGAAACAAUAUCGUAUUUCACACAAAGAAGCAGCCAACUAGCAAAAGCCAAAGAAAGCCUCCCUAUUUCAUAUAUUCUUGAUGUUUUAGUUUUCGUACCUUCAAUAUAUAUAGUCUAUCAUUAGACAUCUUUGAUGAUUACUAUGGUCUCUUUAGGAUGAAUCUUUAGGAUGAAGGGUCAUUUUCUAUAUUGAGGAGAUUUCAAGGAAGCAGUAAACACAAGUGAAAGUGAGUGGUGCUCGCGAAACAAGUUCGACUGGUUGAUUCAACUAAGAUGUGGCAUAAAUAGUAACUUAUGAAUAGUAAAUGAACAGUGAAAUAAAUAGUAACUUAUGAAUAAUAACUAGUGAACAAUAUCAUAUGAGUAGUAAUCUAUGAACAGUAAUUACAAGAAAAUUAAUUUUAUUUAAUUAAUUUUCUAGUGUUUAAAUUUACCUAACUUUUAUUAAAAUAUAUCUAAAUUGUUAACCAUUCUUAAUCAAUAUGAAGAGCCAAACUAAAAAGAUAAUAAGCAGAAGUUCCUUGAUUAAAGGUCCAUUCUUCAUUAAACAAUAUAAAGAGGCAAUAUAAAAAUACAAUUUACAAAAGUUCCCCGAUUAAAGGUUUAUGAUGUAAAUGUCUCUAGCAAAAAUACAUUUUACAGGAAAAUGUAACAUUGUUCCUUAUAGUCUUUCUUUUUUCUUCCUUUGUUUUUGUAAUUUCCAUUCACACAGUCUUUCUUUAAUUGAUCAACUCAUGCAUAAAUAUAUUUAAAUAUAUUCUAUGAAGAAUAAAUAUUAAAAAAAGUUUAUCUGUCCUUUUAGUAGUUGAGCCGUCUUUAAACUUUUUUAACCUUUUAUAUUACUUUGCUUUCUCAAAAAAAAAAAAAAAAUUAAUGUAAGGAUAGUCGCCAAGUCUCUUUGUAACAAGAGGUAGAAAUUUGUUAUAUAGUUAUUGGCUUUAAAUUAAUAGACCAUAGGGUUGGACUAUUUUAAGUCCAAUUCCAUGUUUGGACAAUGAUAGCUUAAAUUAAAAAAGAGAAUUAAUUGGAAUAAGUCCCAUAUAGGAACCACCAUAAAAUGACCAAAUUAUAGAUGAUACCUCAACUUGGGAUAAGUUUAUUUCAAGUAAUUAAAUUGUAAUUACUUAAUUAUUUUCUAAUUAAUAACCAUACUAGUUAAUCAAUAAAAUAAAAAGAAAUUUUUUUAAUUAUAAAAAUAAAAAAUUAAUUAUUUAAUUUUAAUACCAAUAAUAAUUUAAAUAUUAUAAUAUGAAUAAUCAAUAAAGAAAGAAACUUAAUUUUGAUUUUUUUAGUUAAUAAAACAUAAAAAAAUAUCAUUGUAUUGUAGAAAUAUAUAUUUUAUUAUAUGCAAAAUUCGUUUAUCAAGUUGUAAAAGUCAUUUCUGCAUUUUUAAUAAAAUGUAGGAACCUCAUUGAAAAAUCUAUUAUAUAUAUAUAUAUAAGCGUGUGUAAUUAUUUUUUAUUACUAAUAAAUUAUUAUUUAUAAUCCUAUCAAUUUUACACCAAACUAAAGCGCGCUAGCGGAGCAAACACUGUCAGUAUUAUUGAAAACAUUUUUUUAAUAUUUUAUGUAUUACAAUCAAAGCCCAACACAUAGUAUCAAUGUUCAGUUAAAAAAAAAAAACAACUAAUUUCUCAAAGCUCGAGAUAGGAAAUAAAUUUAAUACCAAUAAUAAUUUAAAUAUUAUAAUAUGAAUAAUCAAUAAAUAAAGAAUCUUAGUUUUGGUGUUUUAGUUAAUAACAGGGGCGGACCCGGGACUUUAAAAUACACUGGGUUAAAUUUAAAAAAAAUAUUAUAUUGUAAAGUGAACAUAAAAUUUCAUAAGUAAUAAAAUAAUAUACACCUAAUAAGUUGAAAAUAAAAAUUUAAUUCAAAUAAACACUACUAAAGUUGUAUUUUUCAUGGCUUCAAAUAAUGGAAUUAAUCAAUUGUAGAAUCUAAGUCAAUUGUAUCUGCAAUUUCUCUUUCUGUAUAGACAACCAUACGCUCUGAAAGAAAUUCAUUUUCUAUCUUACUUUAGGAAUCUGCUAAACUUAGAGUAAGGAAUUCCAUAGUUUCCUUUCGAAUUUUGUGUCGCACUUUAUUAGCAAGAAUAUUCAAUAACUCCUUUUGAUUUUUAGGUGCUAUGUAUUGGACAUUUUUAAGAGCAUUUUCUAACACAACUUUAUUAAUCUCCUCAUUCAUUGUUGCUAACAACUUGAUUAAUUCAAUGAAAUUUCCAUGAUUGAGAGAAUUAACUGACUCAUCAUGACCUCUAAAAGCACAAGCUUGUUUUUGCUAACCACUUGGUAGCUACUAUUGAGGUUUUUAGCCACAAUCUUUUCUCUAAAACUUGCUGUGAAGAUUGUGCAUUCAUUCUUUGUUAGAGUGCAAUUUAUGCACUAGUUUUGCAUUGUUUACUUCCCUUAAUAUCGAUGUUUUGCACUUAAUAAUGAUGAUUUACUUGUGUUUUACUUUUGUAGGUGCAAUUCUAUUGAUUUGUGAUAAAAUUGAGCUAUAAGAUGAUGUUUAAAGAUGAUUGUUCUCUUGGAGAAAUUAUGAGCGUCAGAAGAACUUUGUUGAUAAGGCGUGGGCGCGUGCUGUCAACUACGGACCUACAGUUUUUAGUUUAACGUGUUUUGUAUUUUUGGUUAUUUUUGUAAUUACGAAUUUAAUAUUUCAGAUAUUAGUAUUUUAUUUUAAAUAGAAUUCUAGAGGAGAAGAGAGAGAGAGUAUUUUAAGAGAGGAAUUUAUUGUGAAAAAGGGGAUUUUUGGAUUGGAGAAAAAGAAAGAAACCCUAGAACUAAUUUUUCUCUUCUCUCUAUGAAGAACUAAACUUAUUUUUCUAGUUGAAGGUUAAUGAAGCUUUGAUUCAUCACUACUGUGAGAUCUUUCUUAUACUUUAAUUGUUUUAUUACUUUUUGGGUAUUUGUUUAUUCUCUGAAUUAGUUUCAUGAUUAUGUUUGUUAAUUAGGUAAUUGGCCACUAUUUAAUUAUCAACUUAAUCUAUUGUCAAUUGACGGAUUCAUCGUAUGAAGAUUUUAAUGUUUGUGACAAAUAACAUAGCAGUGAGUUGUGUUAUGAGAAUAAACAAUCUAAUUUAAAUGAAUCAUCAUAUGUGUUGAUUAGGAUUUGGGUCUCUCUGGUUUUUCAGGCUGUCAAUUGAUUAAAUCCUAUGAUCGUAUCUAGGGUUGUCUAUUGAUUAGGGAAAUAUCCAACGGUCGUACCUUGGUUAUCGACUAGUUAAGGAGAGAUUGGCUAUUAGAGGGUCUCAAUAGCUAUAACCGAUCUAUUCAUAAGUAAUAAUAAUCUAUAUUUGAAUCAAUGAUCAGUAGUCGAAUCACUAUACACAAUCUAAACGAUUUAAAUAAUUAUGAAUCAAUAUUCAUAAGUAAUAAUAGUUGAAUCAAUUUACUUAUGAAUCAAUAAUCUAUAUUCAUAAGUAAUAUUUGAAUCAAUUUAAAGGAUUCAUAAGUAAUAAUAGUCUAUUAAUUCCUUCAACCAGAGCUUUCUCCAAUUUGAAUUACAACUUUAAUUUGCAUUCUUGUUAUUUUAAUUUGAUUUUUCUUAUUGUCAACAAAACCCCUAUUUUAUGUUUUGCGCUUUAAAAGGAUUUAAAUAAUUACCAAUCUCUGUGGACACGACCCUGCUCAAUCACUAUCCACAAUUUAUUUAGAGUAGGAAUUUAUUUUUGUUGGCUUCGACAACCAUCAUUCUUUUAUCAAUAUGUCUAGAUGGAUCCUUUAAAUUGCUCCACUUUACCAUGGCAGCAUUGUGAAAAGACCCGUGACUCCCUUCAUGUAGUGCAAAAGGACAUUUUUUGUCACAAGAAACAUACUUCCAAUUUUGACAACAUCAACAAUAAAUGCAACAAACUUAGUUGACGUAUCAUAAAAAAGAAAGUAUGGAAAACAAAAUGCUUUGUCUUUUGAUAUGGAAUACUCAAGCCAAGGAAAAUUUGAGAACCAAGAAAAUUGAAAUCGUCGAUUUUGCAUACCAUGUUUAGUUGAUGGGUAGUUUUGUAGCUCGGGUUGAAAAUGGUUCCAUAUUUAUGUAUGCCAUUCGCACAUCUUCCCCUUUGUCAAUGGGAUAAGUUUUGAUUGAAAUGCGCAAUCCAGGAUCAUGUUCUAAAUAAGGGGUGUCAAUAGUGGAUGAAAUAUCGACUUUCUCAAAUUCAACCCUUUGAGACGUAGAAGAAUUUGAGGCAUCAAUAUUGCAUGGAGAGCUUGCCUCAUUUGAUGAUUGGCCACCAUCUACUUUGGCAAAGAAUGAAAGGAGAAUUUUCUUUGGCUUGGAUUUGUGGGACAUUAUAACCUAUAAUAACAUGAAAUUAUGUAAGAAUUAAUAAAUUAAUUAAUAAUUACAAGCCUAAUUAGCAGACUUACAUAAAAUAAGCAAUUAAAACUUGUUCAUCUUUUCAAUUUAAAAAAAAUGUUAUAAUUGAAACAGUAACAAGAAUAAAUAUUUACUUAAAAUGCUCUCUUGCAAUUGUUCCAACUAUAUAUAUAUAUAUAUAACUCCAAUUUUUGACCAACACAUUGUACUAUUGCAUAGUUAUUGAAUUCAAUUUACUUGAGUUUUACUAACUAACUUCCACGACACAACAUUGAGUUAGAAUAUUUAGACAGAAAUCAAAAUUGAUAUUUUACAAAAUAAUGAAUCAAAAUAAAGAGCCACCAGUACAAAAAGCCAUAAAACCAAUAAAAAAUUUAUAAGUUCUGAAAGGAAUUUAUAUAGGCUUUGAAAGCAUACCAGUACAAAAAAGUAUAAGCCAACCAAAUUGGAAAAUCAUGAAGAUGAGGAAUCAUGAAGGGGACCACCAACCAAAUUCUUGACUUUAGUAUUGUUGUCUGUGAAAGGGAAGGAAAAGUGGAUUACGUAAUUUUUUUUUUAAAUUUUCAAUGGCACUCUAAUAAUUAAUUGUUGGUGGCAUAUUAGUAAAUCAACUAACAUAUUUGAUUUUUUUUUUGUUUUCUAUACCGGGCUACAGUGGAUCCGCCACUGGUUAAUAAAACAUAAAAAAAAUAUUUUUGUAUUGAAAAAAUAUAUAUAUUUUAUUAUAUGCAAAAUUCGUUUAUAAAAUUGUAAAAGUAAUUUCCGUAUUUUUAAUAAAGUGCAGGAACCUCUUUUAAUAAAGGGUAGGAACCUCAAUUAAAAAAUCUAUUUUAAUUGUGUAUAUAUGUGUGUGUAUAUAUAUAUAAAUUUUUAUUAUUUAUAAAUUAUAAUUUGUAAUCCUAUCAGUUUUACACCAAAUUAAAACGCGCCAACAGAGCAACCACUGUCAGUAUUACUGAAACAUUUUUUAAUAUUUUAUAUAUUACAAUCAAAGCGCAACACAUGGUAUCACUGUUCAAUUAAUGCCUAAUAUACAACUAAAUUUCUCAAAGCUCGAGAUAUGAAAAAAGUACGGUCAUAGUCAUUAGAAAAACUUAAAUCCUCCAUCUUAGAAUUAAAAGGUAUGCGGACUAACUCAAAUAGAUGGCUGUUGGAGGGGCUGUUCGCGUAUUUCAGAUCUAAAUCAUACUUGACUUUUCAAUUUAUUAUUUUGACCGGGAAAUCAAGAAUCCCGUCAUGUUAUCCUACGCAAAGCUGAUUAAUUUUUAUGUGCGGGCAAAGACUAUUUUAUGUAAAUUUAAUAAAAUAUUCAUGUUUUGUUUUUAGUAGGGAAAAAAAACAUAAAGCAGAAAGUAAGUAGAAGUUACAGGUUUGAUCACAACAUCAGCACAGUAUCAAUCCUCUAGAUAUAUAUCUUUCUUCUCCAUUCUUUCUUUUCAACUCUAUUCGGUUUUCAAUCAAGCUAGUGCAAUCUUCAAAGCGCCUUAAGGUACGUAUAGUUCUCACAAGUGACAUGAUCAUUUUCUUAACAUUCUGAACUACUUGUUUGUUUACACUCACAAACACACAAAUUGAAAAAAAAAAAUUAACUCCACCUGUAGUUUCUCUCUCCCCGUUUUCUUUUGUAGUUGUCUUUAUCAAUUAGUUUUCACAAACUUAAAAAUAUUAAUUAUCUUCUUUUUUAUUUACUUUUCUCAUAUUGAUUAUUCAUGUAAUCUAUCUAUUUGUUUCAAGAACUUUUGCAUUUCUGUCAGAAAAAUUAAUAAUAUGUGCCCACCAAUGAAUCCAACUUUAACUUUACCAAGGCAAACUUCUCGGUAUUAAUAUAUAAGGUUGAGGUGAAAUUAAAGUGAAAUCUCUGUCUUUACUCUUCUUAAUAAUUGUUUAGCACCAUUGUGUCACCGUAAAAAAAGGCAAAAGUACCAAGGAGGUAGAUGAAAAAAAUUAAUACCCAAGGAAAAGCCUUGUUGUCAAGUAAUUUUUAACGAUGUUGAUUCCCCUCAUCAUACUGAGCUAGGUCAAUUUAUGGAUUAAUAACAUAACAUGUUUUAACAGUUAGCUUACUUAUUAUUUAAAAAAUAAUAAUAUUUUAAUAUUAAGUAGAAUAUAACUGAAAUAAGAUUUAAAUGAGUUUGGAAAAAUGCUAAUUGUCCAACUCAUCAGCAAAAUUCGAUCUGUGAUCACCCUUAGUCGAAAAAAUUUUCACCUAAGCCUUCCAGAGCUAUCUUGAGCGGCCCAAAGAGUCGUUAUUUUGGGUUGGACAAAGGAUAACAAAACGCUAGAGGAUCUUAAAAGUCUAAAAUCUGCCCCACAAGGGUACUAUGUGCUGGGGUGGGGUUAUUUGUACCUAAAUCAUGCUUUAAAAGCUCAUUUACUCAACAUACUGACGUGUUAAAUUUUUAAAAGAUUACUUUUACUCUAAACACUUAUUAAAAUCUUAAAAUUACACUAAAAUUAAUUUCUUUUGUUGAAGCUCUCUUUUUUAAAAGUCAACACCCUAUGACAUUGGAAUGAUAAUAAAAUCCGGAUUCGGUCUGCAUCCGCAAAGAUUUGACAAUCUGAAUUCAGAAAAAUCUAGUUAUAUAUAUUAAAAAUANNNNNNNNNNNNNNNNNNNNNNNNNNNNNNNNNNNNNNNNNNNNNNNNNNNNNNNNNNNNNNNNNNNNNNNNNNNNNNNNNNNNNNNNNNNNNNNNNNNNNNNNNNNNNNNNNNNNNNNNNNNNNAUUAUUUUUUUAUGUUUUAUUUAUUGUGGUAAAUUGUGGAUUUAGAUGUUGUUUUAUGUUAUUCAUGUUGAAUUGUUGAUUGUUAAAUUACGAUUCGAUUUUAUUUGGUAUUAUUCAGUCAAUUGUUGAAUUUUAAUUUAUGCGGAUUUGAAUAUUCAGAAUAUCCAUACAGAGCUUGACACAUUUUUUUGUUAUGUAUAAGUCUUUAAUUAUUUGAUUUUCUUGUUUAAUUUUGGUUGAAUCAGAUUCAAGAUUUUUCAGGUAGCGUUUGAAGGUAAAUACAAAGUAAAUACAUUUGAUACUCCAUAAAAGAUAAAGAUUUAAGAAAAAAAAAAGUGGGUGAAAUAGCGUAUUUUUGUGAGGUUAUUUGAGCCCAUAACCACUCUCUACAUUCAUAAUUUCAAAUAAUUUUUUGACUGACUAAUUUCCUAAUAAUACUUAAUAAAUGUCUUUUAUAUAUGCUCCUUACCUUAUAAGUAAUUAAUUAAUAUAAUUUCUCGCUCUUCAACAUCAUGAAUCUAGCUCAUAAACUUCAUUUAAUCUUGACCAUCAUCAACUAACCAUUAAUCUAAAGGCCACAAAAUCGUGUCAAAAGUUGUGGAAAAUUAAAGGGCCAUAUAUAUAUCGUUUCCAUUUUUAAAAGUUAGUAUUUACUGUUACGUUUGCCAAUUAAAAAGGAAAUACUUUUGAAUUUGUGUGCUUCUAGCCUAUGGGUGUUGAAGCAUAAUGAUGUUUCAUUAUAAACCCUAAAAAAGAAUUGUUAAAUCUGUUUUUUUGCUUCUGGCACAGAAAAGUAAAAUUUAGUUUAAUUCUUAACACCAACAUGGAAGAAGCCAGCAGUUCAUCAAGGCGAGAAGCAAAUGAUCAAACCAACCUCUGCAACUGCAAGUAAGAAAAUCAGUACUCUACAUGUAUCUAAUAUUAGAUAUGUAGAAUUGAUUUAUUGUACUUUUGGUGUUACAUAAUUUAAUUGAUGGAUUGCAUUUUGAUUCGUUAUUUAUAAUGAAAAUUAAAGCUUAAAAUCUUGAAUAUUUUGUGAAUAUAUAGAAAUUUUCCAAUAAGGUCCCAUAAUUUAUUAAAGUGCGAAUUUAAUUGAGUUUUUAGAAGGCCUAUAGUUAAUUAAUGAUAUUGAGCUCGCUCUAACCCCUCCUCAAACUCACACAGCAGUAAAUAAAAAUUGAGCUAAUAAUAAGGUUACCCCAAAUUUUGAAUUAAUGAUAAACUUACCUAAAAGAUUUGCUUUUGAUGGGAUUGAGGUGGAGUUUAUUGGUAGAAUGCAUAUAAUUUUUUGUGGAUCCACCUAGCGUAACUAUCUGAAAACUAUAUUCUCCAAGUGACCGUUGUUAAGAAUUAUCACUAUUACUGUUGUUUAGUCCUUAUUAACAUUUCAAAGUCUGCAACGCACCCGAGUCAGAAAUGGUGUGUGUAUAUUAUUUCACAAGAAACUCCUCACUUUAAAAAAGUGGGGUGAAGUUAAAGGACAAAAACAAAAAUUUUAAUGCAAGUGUUUACGUUUUUUUAACAGAAAAAUUAUAUUAGAGUUCAAAUUAUUUUUCCUUUUAGCUCUAUCUCUUUUGGAAACAAAAUUUGCAUUAUUUUUUUGACUAGGAGAAAUUAUCUCUACACUACCUUUGUUUUACCGUAUGUACAUCUAACUACUAUAAUAUUUGGACACAUACUUUACACCACUAUGUUUCUAAACUUGUAUUAAUUAAUCAGUUUGACUCUCAAAAUAACCAUUUUACCCGUAAAUAAAUUAAAACACUGUUUAUUCUAUAAAAUAUUAAAAAAAUAAAAUUAUAGUUAUAAGAAUACCCCAAACUUUGAUAAAACAAAAAAAAUAUCAAAAUAUAAUUUUAAUUUCAUUUAAUCUUUGUAAUUAAAUUAAUUAUAGGGAAGUUUACAAAAAUUAACAUGAAAAGAAAAACUCCCUAUAAUUAUUUUAAACUUCCCUAUAAUUAAUAUUAAGAAACUUUCCUAUUCAAAUGGAAUGAAAUUAUGAUUUCAAAAGAUUAACCCGAUAAUUUUUACAUGAAAUUAUAUUUAUAAAAAAUUAACCUAUUGAAUUUAAAAUUUAUUUAUUUUAUUAAAUUUAGAGGUAUUCUUAUAAUUAAUUUAAUUAUUUUUCAAAAUUUUGUAGAAUAAAAUGGAAUUUUAAUUCAUUUAGGGAUAAAAUGAUCAUUUUUAUGUGUCAAAGCGGUUGAUUGGUACAAGAUUAAAACAAAUGUGGGGCAAAGUACAUGUUAAAAUUUUAUAGUGGUUAAAUAUACAUGUAAUGAAAAAAAGGUGAUGCUAAGAUAAAUUCCCUUUUAACUAGCCUCUCUAGAAUUAACCCUUGAGUGAUUCAAUUUCAGUAUUAUUAUUAAUUUUCAAAAUAAUAAUAACAAUUAUAUAAUUUAUAGAUUCUGUUUUCAUGUAGGUGAAAUCACUGUGACGGAGCCAAAAAUAACUAAACAAACUGAAGAUUCACACAGUUCAAUAGGUAAGUAAAUAAUUAACAUAAAGAGAUUAAUUAAUUGUUAAUUUACUGAUUCAAUUUCAGUAUUAUUAUUAAUUUUCAAAAUAAUAAUAACAAUUAUAUAAUUUAUAGAUUCUGUUUUCAUGAUGAUUAACUCAGAUGAUCAAGAGGAGGAAAUAACUGAACAAACUGAAGAUUCACAGAGUUCAAUAGGUAAAUAAAUAAUUAACGUAAAGAGAUUAAUUAAUUGUUAAUUUACUGAUUCAAUUUCAGUAUUAUUAAUUAAUUUUCAAAAUAAUAAUAACAAUUAUAUAAUUUAUAGAUUCUGUUUUCAUGAUGAUUAACUCAGAUGAUCAAGAGGAGAAUGAGUAUUAUGCUCGUUAUUGGACGCUAUACAGAAUGAUAGAGAAGAAUGAUUGGCGAGGUGUGGAAGAUAUCGUCACUAAUGAUCCCGAUGCCUUGACCGCCAAGACUUUUGCACCGCGUUCAAAGACAAUAUUUCACGCGAUUGUGGAGUCGUUGGUUGAUGUUGAGUCUGAUGACGCCACAUGCCUCCUCGAUAAGCUGGCGUCAAAAGUCGAUCCACAAACACUAGCACGACAAGAUGGACAUGGGCACACAGCUCUUUUUCUUUGUGCCGGAAAAGGCAAUCUAAGGGCCUUAAAAGUCCUAGUGAAGUAUAACCCGGAUUUAACGAACAUAAGGAGCCAUGCAGACACUCUUCCGGUUCAAAAGGCAGCGUAUGGGGGUCAUAAGGAUACGUUUCAGUAUCUACUAGAGGUAACUCAUGGAGUAGACAUCUACAGCGGCAAGGAUGGUGCCACGGUGCUUUCACGUCUCAUCGACGCUAAUUUAUACGGUCAGUAUUAUUAACUUUAACGUUUCAAGCUAACACAUAUGAUUCACAUAUAAACCAAUUCUCAAGUUAUACUGUCCAUGUAAAGCUUGUCGAACCAACUUUUUUCUUUUAAAACCUCAAGGCUAGCUAACGCUAAACCAUAACUCAUAAUUAACAUAUGUUUUUGACAACUCUGAUACAGAGGCCUCCUGUGGUGAAAAUGUCCACAUGAAAUUCUGUAAGGAAGAGGAGUUUAUAACGUUCUGAAAGUUAUUUACAACAUUAUAAAAGUAGACGGCUUGCACCUGAGAAUUUUACCCUGAAGCAUAUUUUUUAAAUUCUCUAUGCACAUGAACAUUAAUCAAAUAAAUUCUUUGUGCCCAUUCUUUAAUAAAAUAAAUAUUCCAGAUAAAUAAUAUGAUUAAUCUUUUGUUUAAAAGAAAAUUACUCAUAAGACAACCAACUUACUGAAACUCCGAUAGAAAAUAUUGGGAGGGCAAAAUUCUUUGAAGCUGAACCCCUUAAUUAUCACUCAAUGGUUAAGAACUCUUGAUGAUAUCGAGCAGAACGACCUGUUCUUCCUGGCUAUCCAACACUGCAAUAAUUUAAUCGGUUAUCCCAUUGUGUUAGCAAUUUUAUUGAAUUCACAUUGAAUUGUUUAAGUAUACACACUUAAAUCUUGUUUGCCGUUUUUGUAUAAUGUGCUCCUCUAAACCAAAUUCCUGUUUGUACUGUUGAUUGCUUGGUUAUACUUUAGUUUUAUUGUUUUCGUUUAUAUAUGUCUAUGUAUGAUGCUCGCAUUGUAUAGAGAUCAAAUACAUAGCCACCACUCUGACUUUGUUAAUGAAUCAGAUGUAGCUUUAGAUUUAUUGAAGCGUCAUCCAACGAUUGGCCGUGACAGCAUCGACUCUCGGAGAAUUGUUCUAAACACGUUGGCUAGAAAGCCUUACGCGUUUGCAAGUGGGAGUCGGCUUGGACGUCUGCAACGCUUAAUUUACAAUUGUUGGUGUCAAUAAUCUUUUACGAACACACACACACACACACGUCUAUAUAGUGAUCCUCCAAUAAAGGAGCCCUCAUUUUAAUAAAAUGAGGAAGCACUAAUUGGAAGAUGACCCCAUAUAGAUGUGUGUAUAUAUAAGAGUGUUUAUUUGUGUGGCCUAACAAAACCAAGUAAAUAAAUUUGCAGGCAUUCCUGUGGAAAAGGAAUUUGUUUCUUCCAUUCAGACCAACGAUAAUCAAAAUGUGGAUGGAGACAUGGAGAACCUUAUCGUGACAUCAAAAAUCCACUCAAAAAAAUCCACACGUUUUGGAUCUGCUAAGCAAAUCACUACGACAUUUGGUCUGUAAAACUAUUAUAUACUAAGUCUUCUUGAAUACAUGAUUCUGAAUUGAAAGGUAUUUCCUUUGUUUAUAUGUAUGGCAGGUGCAAUGUGGCAUCAAUCGCAUUGGAUGCUCUGGAAUGCCCUCAUGCGCCUAGGUAAGUCUUGAGAGGCUGUGUUCAAUUAAAAUAUAGUUGUUUGAAAUUAAUUUGUUUAUAUCCUUUUUAUUGAUUGAAUUCAAUUGCAGCCCCUAGCAUCAAAGCUAUACAUGAUCAAAAGUUAACGCAUAUGCAGACAGUUGAAAUUGUCAGAAUUAUCUGUAAAAAUGUGAUUUGGAACUGUCACAGAAGAGAAUUGAAGCCGGCAUUGUUCACAGCUGCAAGAUUAGGGAUACACGAGUUUAUUAAUGAAUUUAUCAUGGCCUAUAACAGGAGUGGACAUUUGUUGAAUAAGGAUGGGCGUAACGUAUUUGAUGUUGCAGUUUCACAUCGUCGUGAAAAAGUUUUUAAUCUAAUACAUCGUGUAAAAUACACAAUAAAUUUAUUUUCUACAGAUGGCAAUUCUGGCAACAACAUUCUGCAUUUAGCGGCAAAAUUGGUACCUUCAAGUGAAGUGGCCGGUGCAGCAUUGCAGAUGCAGCGGGAGUUGCAAUGGUUCAAGGUGUGAUUGCUCAUCCGACAACUUAAUACACCUUUUUAUAUUUAAUAGUCACAAUUUGAUGUUUGUGGCACAAUAGGAUAAAUAAGUAUUUAUAUUAAGACUAAAAAAAAUUGACAGAAACAUAGACAAAAAUAAGAUGUCAAGAAACAGUGCCGAUUUACACAAUUGAAAAACAAGGUAAACCAGCGCCGUUUUUAACUUGUUUCUGUGAGCGUUCUAUCACUUUGGCAUUUGCAGGGCAUAUGUAGGCGUGAAAACGCAUAAACAAUUCUUCAAAAUGAAAAUUUCCGACUAAUUUCUUAGUCCAAAUGCCUUUAGUUAUCAUCUUCCCAUUAAGUACAUUGGGCCUUUCUGCACCUAGAAAUCUACCUUAAAAGAAAGUUUUAGUCCUCGUGUUUAUGACUUCUCUGCAGGCGGUAGAAAAACUUAUCCAUCCACACAGGCUAGGAGAUGAAAAUAGUUCCAACCAAACUCCUAGAGAGGUCUUUACCCAAGAACACAAGGAUUUAGUCAAAGAAGGAGAAAAAUGGAUGAAGGAAACAGCUUCAUCUUGCUCAGUUGUAGCUGCACUCAUUAUCACUGUAGUGUUUUCCGCAGCUUUCACGGUACCUGGUGGCAGUGACAGCAGAGGAAUACCAAAUCUUUUACAUGAAAAAUCUUUCAUGAUUUUUGCCAUUUCAGAUAUGCUUGCGCUUUUUUCUUCCAUUACUUCAGUUCUAAUGUUCUUGGGCAUCCUCACUUCACGCUACGCAGAAGACGAUUUUCUUGUAUCGUUACCAAGGAAGUUAAUUAUUGGCCUCGUCGCCUUGUUCUUUUCUAUUGCAAGCAUGAUGGUAGCCUUUGGUGCAACUGUUCACAUAUCUCUUUCUCAUAAAUGGAAUCUGGUUAUCAUUCCAGUUGCUCUUGUUGGAUGUGUCCCUGUCACCUUAUUUGCAUUCCUGCAGUUUCCUCUUUUGCUUGAUAUGUGGUUAUCUACUUAUGGCCGCGGCAUCAUCAUAGACAGCAGUUGGAGAGAAUUAGCUAGCUGCGACUUGGUUGCUAAAGGUAACUAAAAAACACGGUCAUAAAAGCUGACUAAAUUGGGUUAUUGUCCCGCUGUGUAACUAAUUCAUUUCUUGUUGAUUUUUCCUGAUGCUUUUUCUAUAAUCAUUUUUGAGUGUUUUGAGCUGUGUACUUGAAUUUGGUUUGUAAAAGUCCAUUCUGAGGCUGGCUCGAUUGAGGAACUGAACCUUAGAAAAUUUGUUCUGUUUUUUUCGUUUUCUUUUUUGAUCUCAUUUAGACAAUAAUUGAUCUUUGACCAUAUUUGUUUGAGUGAGAAGGAUAUAUUAAUCUGAUUCCAAUCAGGCCUUUCCCUUUAGGAACAAUAUUUAUUCCUAUGAUCUUCAUUUGAUUUCUAUCAACUGGCAAUUAAAAGUUGCGAUGAAAAUUUUUGGGCUCCCAACCUGUCUGGGAUGCUCAAAAUCCUUGGUCUUAAGGUGGCUAAUGGUGCCUAUUUCCUCAAUAGGAACCAGUCUCAACAAUGGCUUUUUGUAAACAAAAACCAAGAACAAAAUCCUAAAGCACUCAAGAAGGUUACGGAGAAACAAGGAUCGUACAAAAUGAGGCUUAGAUCAAAAUAGAAUCAAAAAACCUCAUUUAAGGCUCUGUUUUUCACCUGCUGGACUAGUGACUAAUUUUAAUUACAGGUUCAAAUAAAAAGUUCUAAACACUUAACAAGGAUUAUAGAACAAUCGUCAUGAAAAAUAUUGAAUUUAAACUCAGCAAAUAACCAAGUAAUCCCCCAAGAUCCACUUCCAAGCACUUAAAUCUCAGAAUUACAUCUAUAAAGAUCAACCUUAAUGCAAUUGACUCUUAAUGAUUCAAGAACGGUAACCAAAACAACAAGAACAGAAACAAAAUUACACAUUUUAACAGUAGAGAUUUAUAGUGGUUUGGCUUCAGGCAAACCUACAUCCAUUGUGAAAAGAGAAGCAAGAUUUCACUAAUUUGGGUUUUUCAAGAUACAAUGUUGCAGAGAGCGUGUGACAGAAUCACCAGAUUACAAUAACCACUCAUGAUGCCUUAUAUGCAGAGAGAUGUUCAUCUAGAAAUGCCCCUUAACAGCUAGCUCAUGUAUUUCUGGGUUUCUUAUCAAAACCCAGAAGCUUCCCGUACAUAUAACGACCUUAACAGCCAUAUGAACCCGUUGAUGGACACGUGUCAAGGCCUCAUCCAUUAUAUUACGCAAAACGGCAGGCAAAUCUAGCUAUCGACCCGCAGCAGAGGCCAGAGCCAGCUUCACAACGUAUUAGCCAACAGGUUUUGUUUUGGUCCAUAAUCACAUGUAUCACUUAAUCUCCCAGCGGACAAUACAUAAAUGUCACACGUCCCUCCGGGGCUCUACGAAUGGCAUGUCAUACGCGUCUAGAGAAUGUAACCGACUUGUCAGUCUUGAACAUAAACCCAGAUUUGAGCUUCAUCCUUCAACAAAAAAUGACCAAGAAAUAGCUUAUUGGAAGCAUAUCUAAAAUGGAAAAAAUCAUAGAAGAUGAUUGAUCCAGGAAAUUGGGUAUUCUUUUGCUAUAUAUGUCUCUGCCACCUAGUAUAUUAAAAGUUGUGAUGGAAACUAUUGUGAUUAUGAGUGCAAAAAUUGAGCAACAUGAAAUUGAAUUUCGAUUAUUAAUAUGUCAUGAUAAAAAAAAAAAAAGAUAAACUAUAGACUAAAUAAUCUUAACACCUGUGUGAAAUCAAUCCUCUUCUUUUGAGUAAAGCCUUUAACAAAAAGCCUGACUUUAAAUCUUUUUGGUUCAACACUUGAUAUUCCUUCUUUAACAUUGUGAAUCCACUUACACCAUACUACUUUCUUGUUUGCAAGCCUCUUUAUUGGAUCCCAAGUAUGGUUUUUGAUCAAUGACAACAUUUCUUCAUCCAUAACUUCCUUCUAUUUUUAUGACCUAUCACUUUUAGCCGCCUCUGAGUAACUCUUUAGUUCAUCACUUUCAACUUCAUGUGCUACUUUAAAUACAAAUGCAAUCAGAUUUGUAUAUGCAUACCUCAUGGGUCAUCUUAUUACCCUUUUUCUCUCUAUCUCUCACCAAUUGAUAAUCUCUGAUUUCUUGAUCACCUGCUUGCUCAUCUUCUGAUUUAAAAAUGUCCAUAUUAAAUCCUAAUUCAGAUUCAGCUCUUGGUUUCUUCUUUGUAUUAGAAGUUGACAACUCCACCCCAAAAUGAAUCUUUUGAUCUCUCACAUUGGGUUGUGAGAUAUUAGGUUUACAAUGAGUUAAGUUUUAAAGCAUCUCAGACUCAUGUACUAGAGUUUUUACCCCUUCACCCUAUCAAAAUAGCCAAGAAAUACACAUUUUAAGGCCCUAAGUUCUCGCUUUCCUUGCUUAAUGUGUGCAUAUGAAGGCAAACCAAAGACCCUCAAACCAGAAUAGUCUGUUGGUUUGCCAAACUCGAGUACAAUGAGUGUUUUAAAAUAAAUUCUACAUGAGGGGCUUUUAUUCACUCUAUAUAAACUGUAGAUAAGACUUCUGCCCAUAAUGUUAUUGAUAACUUUGAAUGAACAAGCGUGCGUCUCACCUUAUCAAUCAACGUUCUAUUCAUCCUUUCAGCUAAACCACUCUAUUGAGGGUAUAUAUCUCACUAUUUUGUGUCUUACAAUCCCAUCCUCGGUAUAAUAGUCAUCAAAUCUCUUAUUACAAAACUCCAUCAUUGAUGACAAAACAAGUUACACAUGAAUUUAUGGAUUAAUACAAAUCAUAAGCACUCACAGCAUUCAUUACCUUCAAAAACUAGAUUGAAAAAAGCCUAGAAUUAAAAAUCAAAGCCUUACAAUGCGAUAUGGGAGGAGAAUACAAAGUGUUUGAGUCAUACCUUAAACAUGAUGGGAUAUCAUUAAGAUACUCUUGCCCAUAUACACACCAAUAAAAUGGAAAGGCUGAAAGAAAACACAGACAUCUUAUAGAAACUGGCCUAAUACUUCUUGUUCAAGCUGACAUACCUCUCAAAUUCUGGUGGGAAGCUUUCUCAAAUGCCACCUACCUCAUAAACAGAAUCAGUACUCCUGUUUUAAUUUUUAAAUAAUAAAACACCAUUUGAAGCCUUUUACUCAAAGAAACCAAAUUAUUCCUUUAUCAAAAUUUUUGGUUGUGAGCGUUAUCCUUUCUUAAGACCUUACAACAAUCAUAAAUUUGAUUUUCAUACUUCUAAAUGUGUAAAUCUAGGUUUUAGCCAUACAUAUAAAGGUUACAUGUGUCGAAAUUCAAAUGGAAGAAUAUAUAUUGCAACAUAUGUUAACUUCAAUGAAAGCUCUUUCCCUUUUCAAACAAAUCCAAAAUUUAUGAGCUCCAAACUAGCCCAAUCGUCUAUAAAUUCAUCACAAUGUCUUCUCCUUCUUAGAGUUAUAGCAAUGAGGUAACAGCAUCUGGUUCAAACUUAUCUGAUAAUCUAAUCCAAGAAAUUACUCCUUCUAAUGAUCAAGGUUCUGACAACAACAUGAUCAUAUUAUUCCAGUGCCCAAUAAUGUUUCAAAUACACACUCUGAAACUCAAAAUUCUUCAAACCAUUGAAUUAAACCUUAAAACAAUGAACUUCAAAACCAAAAUCCUGAUCUAAACCUUCACAUCCUAUGAUAACUAGAGUCAAAGCUGGAAUUUUUAAAACUAAAGUCUACAAUACAGAAAAAGUCUUGUCACUAGAUACACCCUCAAGUGUUGUUGAAGCUUUAAAUUAUCAAAGCUAGAAACUAGCAAUGCAGGAUGAGUUUAAUGCUCUGAUGAAAAACCAGACUUAGUGCUUAGUUCCCCGGAGCAAAAUAUAAAACUUGUGGGAAACAAAUGGAUUUUUAGGGUAAAACAAAACUUUGAUGGAUCAAUAAAUAAAUAUAAAGACAGACUAGUAGCAAAGGGUAGAUUAUCAGGAAACAUUCAACCAUGUAGUAAAGGCAGCAAUUGUAAGGAUUGUAUUGAGUCUUGCUAUUAUGAAUAGCUGAAGGUUGAGACAGAAUGAUAUUAAUAAUGCAUUCCUAAAUGGAGAGCUGACUGAAAUUGUAUAUAUGCCUCAGCCAGAAGGAUUUGUGAAUUCAGAUCACCCAAAGCAUGUUUGUAAAUUGAAGAAAGCUCUCUAUGGCUUAAAACAAGCACCUAGAGCUUAGUUUGACAAACUGAAAUUAGUUCUUGAAUCAUGGCAGUUCUGUUGAGCUAAAUUAAACACAUCCUUAUAUUUCAAACAAAAUAGGAAUGAUCUAAUCAUCUUACUAGUCUAUGUUGAUGAUAUUAUAGUCACUGGGAGUAAUCAUGUUGAGAUUGAACAACUCAUUCACAACUUAGGAAAUACCUUUGCUCUUAAGAAUUUAAGGCAACUUAAUUUCUUUCUUGGCAUUAAAGUUACAAAAAAUCAAAAUACUCUAGUACUGUCUCAGGCUAAAUACUUAAAGGAAUUACUUACCAAAUUUGAUUUAAAGAACUGUAAUGGAGCAAACACUCCACUUGCAACAACUGAAAAGUUAAGCAAAUACAUGGGAAAGAAAUGCCCAACUCAAUAUAGAAGAGCUAUUGAAGGGUUGCAGUAUGCUAUGCUAACUAGACCAGAGAUUGCACAUGUAGUAAACAAAUUAAGUUAGUUUAUGGCAAAUCCUUUAUAGCCGCAUUGAAUAGCUUGCAAGCGAGUAUCGAGAUAUCUAAAAGAAACAAUUGACUACGGACUAAGUUUCAAGAAGUUUGAUUCCCUUGAUCUAAUAGUCUAUUCAAAUGCUAAUUGAGGGAGUGAUCCUGAUGAUAAAAGAUCUACUAGAGGUUACUGUGUGAUAAUCUAAUUAGCUGGAGUUCAAAUAAAUAGAGUGUGGUAUCUAAAUCAUCAGCAGAGUCCAAAUACAGGGCUAUGGCAUUGGCUUGUGCAAAGAUAACAUAGAUAUGUUCAGUUCUUAAAGAACUAGGUGUAAACCUCAGCUGCACACCUUUGUUGUUAAGUGACAAUACAAGUGAAACUACAAUUGCCACAAACUCAGUUCUUCAUUCCAAAACUAAGCACAUAGAAAUGGACAUUCAUUUUUUCAGAGAUAAAGUUGAAAAGAAAGAAGUUGAAAUUGCAUUUGCAUCAAGCAAUGAUCAAAUUGUUGAUGUUUUAACUAAGCUAAUUACUUAUUUCCAAUUUAGCUUCUUCAGAAACAAACUUAAAGUCUCUGCUAGAGAUUUAAGUUUGAGAAGGGAUGCUGAAAUUAUGGAUGAAGCUGAACUUAGAUCAACUCAUGGGGGAGUACCAGCUGGAGCCUACUUGUAAACCAAGGUAGUUGCUUACAAGACUGAUGAGCUAAAAGUCACACGCACAAAGCAAGAAGAUUCUAGAUGGCAAAAUAGCUACACAGAGAUUCCUCAAUUGUUAUAUGAUGUAAUAAAUUAGUUAUUAAUGAAAAGCUGAGUUCAAAGUAUAAAAUUUACAUUUAGUUUUGAGUUUGUUAUUAGUAUAACUGGAAAUAUUACUUGGAUGCUGAGUUGAGCAGCUAUAAAUACCAGCAAGAUAUACAAAGAAGCAUGAAUGAAACAGUUACAAAUUCUCUCUCUAUGUGAUCUCCAAAAUUCUUUCAUGGGCAACUUGAUAAUGUAAUUUAUUAUGCAUUAUGCAUUGUUUGUUUUAUUUGCAGCGCCUGGUAUCAAGCAGGUUCAGGAUGCAAAAUUGACACAUAAAUUGGCCCUUGAAUUGACCAAACAAGCUUUUAAAGCAUUUUCAAAUGUUUAUAAUGUAAAGGAUUAUGUAUCUUUCCAGUCAAACACCAUAACUGCUGCAGCAAGCUCUGGCAUUGUUAAAAUCGUAAAGAUGUGUCUUCAAAUGUUCCCAUAUACAAACCAUACUGAAAGUUACUGUUCAACAUGGACAAGAAAAGAUUUUGAAUCUUAUGCAUAAUAUGGUCGUAUAUAAUAAGUUCACAUCUCCCCAACUAAUUGAUGAAUCUACUGAGGACACUAUCUUGCAUUUGGCAGCAAAGUUAGCACCUCCCGCUCAUCUAAGAAUUGUGCCUGGUGUAGCUCUACAAAUGCAAAGGGAGGUGCAGUGGUUCAAGAUUUUAACCCCUCUUAAACCACAUAAAUUAUCCCUGCUGCUUACUCUUCCAAUUAGUAAUAUUAUGCCUUAACAAUUUUGAUAGAUGUUCUUGUAGGAGGUAGAGAAAUUGGUGCACCAUUUUCUUAAGGAAGCGCAAAACAUAGAUGGAAAACAGCUCGGGAUAUAUUCACCAAUCAACACAAAGACUUGCUAAAGAAUUCAGAGAAAUAGAUGAAGGAUACAUCAAAUCCUUGCAUGGUUGUCACUGCUCUCAUUGCUACUAUAAUGUUUGCGGCAGCUUAUACCGUGCCUGGAGGCAACAAUGAAAGUGGCAUCCCAAUUUUCUUGAGAGAUCUUGAGAGACAAAUUAUUCAUGGUGUUUGCUAUCUCAUAUGCACUAGGGUUUAUUUUCUCUUCUACUUCACUUUUGGUGUUCUUAUCUAUCCAAACUGUGCGGUAUGCAGAAGAAGAUUUCCUCGAGUCACUGCCAAAAAAAUUAAUAAUAGUUCUUGCUUCUCUCUUCCUCUCUAUCGUGAACAUGAUGAUAUCUUUUGUGGCAACUUUUUCAAUUGUUCUCCAUGAUAGAUCGAAAUGGUUAGCCGUUACAGUUCCUAUCCUGGCGUCUCUCCCUGUGACCAUAUAUGUAUUACUACAGCUGCCAUUGUCUGUUCAAACGUAUCAAUCGACGUAUGGAUCCGGGAUCUUUCGACGUGUUAAGAUUUAGUACUUCUUGUAUGUUUAGUAAUGUGAGUCACAAUCCUAAUGUGGAUUCUUCAUGAACGAUGUUGUAUUAAAGUCUUUCUUUCAUAUUUAAAAUAAUAAAGUUUGGUGAGUGACAUUGUUACUUGGAUAUGCUAUCUUGCUGCUGAAAGUUUAAGGCACCUCUUAGUUCAAAGUUUUGAUCAAACUUAUAGUUGUCUGAGAAAAAUUUAAUUAAUUUUAUGUGGAAUCCGUGCUAUAAUUUAUCCAACAUAAGAAUUAAUGCAGUGGAGUGUCGAGAAACUAAGGACUGAACUGAACAAACUGAAACAAUUUAAAAAUAGAAGAAUCUUGCUAAACUAAAGGAUUUUAUUGAUAUUUUACCAGAAACAUUACAACGGCUCACUCUUCUUUCUCUCUUCUAAUUUUUUACUUUUCACUUAGAGCAUCUCCAAAAACCUCUUCAAGUAAAAUUCUACAUCUUAUUUGAAGAGUUAUAUCAAUAUUAAACACUUCAAAAGACACGUUAAUUUAGAUUCUUCAAAUAAGAUUUAUUUCUUACUCUUUAAUAUUGCCGAAUGAAUUUCUCCCUCUUCUAUUAAUAUUUUAUUAUUAUUUAUUGAAAAGAUAAGACUGCAAUAAUUAUCAUUUAUGUUUCCUUUCAAAAACAUAACAGCAAUUCAAUUUAAUAGUGGAAAGAUUUGAUUAAAAUAAUGUUAACUUAUUCUUAUUUAAUGAGUCUUUUGGAGGAGAUUGUAUUUUUCUAUUCACUUAUUUGCCAUAUCAUUAAGCAAAUUGAUAUUUGAAGAGUAAAAUAUAAAAAGUCUUUUGGAGAUGCUCUUAAUACCUACAACAAAGAGUUUAAGGAUAUUUAUAGUAACUUAGAACUAAUAUAAACCAUACAAAUAUUAAAUUACAAAAAUUUAACAACCACAUUUUACAAAUAUCUCUAAAUAUUCAAGAAAAAUUUAAACUUAGAUAUUUCUACCACCAUUAAAUAUUUUUAACUUAGAAAUAUCUUGCAUUCUCUACACUAUUCUUAAAUCUUCCAUGUAUUGAGCUUUAAACUUAGGUUUUAUAACACCCCAAAAAUUACCCAUGAAAAUACAAGGGUAAAAUUGAAAUGAAACUUUACAUCAUUUAUUCUUAUUAAUAAAUCUCAAGAUAGACAAUCAUUAUUCAUACUCCAACUGAAUCCUUACAUAAAACAUCUGAAAUAAAGUCCCCAAAGAAAAGUCUCUAAUCCAAAAUAAAAAGUCUAGCCAAAUUUAAUCUUUAAAGCAACUCUAAAGAUCCACUAAGAAAAUUCUCCAUCUAAGAACCCAAGCCACAUCUCUAAUCAAUCUGUAAAAUAUUGGAGACGAGGGGUGAGCCGUCAACUCGGUAAACAAAUCCAUGCACGAUAUUUGAAAACCUUGUCAUUUUACCCUUAAACAUUUUAUAACAACAUCUUCAUUUAGCAUAAAGGGUGGAUUCAUAUAAAAGCAUUAAAAGCAUUAAAAACAUUAAAACAUUCAUAAAAACAUUACAACAUAAACAUUUGGUAGCUCAUGCCUCGUAGUCAUCAUCAUUCAUCAUUCAUCAUUCAUCAUUUAGGGUGUUAUACCCCGCAUUGUUCCUCAUUCAGGGUACUAUACCCCGCAUUGUUCGUAACAUCCUUAUGGACAAGAUCAUCAUCAUACUAGCAAGCUGGCCAUAACAUUACAUAACAUCAUAACAUUUGCAUUAUAUACAUUACUAUGGACUAUGAGCCAAAACAUUUUUGAAUCCACCUUACAUCCUUUCAUAAAUAACAUUUAAAGUCUUCUAAAACAUUUAAGACCCUUUCUUUGAUCAUUUAAUUCUUUCAGAAAUUCUUUAAGAAAACACUUUGUUUAAGAAAACUAAUUUCUUAAGAAAAAUUAAUUUUAAAACACAUUUUUAUAAAUUCAUUUUAAAGUGCUUUUAUUUUACAAAAUUCAUUUAAAUAUUUUAGAAAUCAAUUUUGUAAAAAUUUUCAUUUAAACAUAAAUUGCAUUCAUUAUAAAGCGCAUCAUGCAUUAAUCUACUUACCUCGAUCCAUAGCAAUCAAUUCAAUACCUCGAGAACAACCAACGAGCUCACCCACCUCCUAUAAUCAUCAUAAAAAUAUUCAUAUCAAUAUAAUCUCUAACCUUAAAUAUAAUCUCAAUCAUCCUUAAAUCAUAGGCACUUAUACUAGCUUAAUACUUAUACAUAUUCUAGAUGUAUCCUAUACUUAUGAGUAUCCUGCACAUGCUGAUUUUUAAUAACCUAUACACAUGUCGGAAAACCAUGCAAAUUUACAGAGGCACUGUGAACAUGCAUAGCAUUGCAUACAAUAUUUCACAAAAAUCAGCACAAGUCAAAAUCGAGUCAGAAUAUUGACCUUUCACCAAAGUAACAAAACUGUCCAGCAUUGACCAAAACAGACCUUUACCACUUAAGCAAUUCAUAAAAUAUUCUUUAGUACUCGAAAUAAUAUGUUUAUUUUUUUUAAUUACAGAAGACCCAUUCAGAAAGCAUGUAAUUAAAAUUCAUAAUUUUUGGACUCCUUAAACUAUUUUAAAACGUUUUAUUUUCAAGAAGAUUUAACCCGUCCAGAAAAUUCCAGAUUUGAAAACAGAAUUUCAAAAAUUCACAUCUUUUAUUUUACACGCCCAAAAAUCGUGAUUCCAGUUUUUAAAGAUAGAGGAAAUAUUGAAAUUUCAUUAUAAAAUCCUAAAAUGGCAUGUAAUAUUCAUAAAUUAGCCCAACAGUUACAUGUUUCAGCUUCUGAAAUUUUGGAAAACAGUUUUUAGAUCUGCAACAGCCGCAUGUUACGAUUUUUAAUAAUUUAACCAUACUGAAUGAAAUUACGAAAUUAGACACGCAAUCAUAUUAGACAUAGACCUGUUGAUACAAAAAUCGCCAUAAUUUUUGAAGGAUGUGUAACCUUAUGGAAAAUUUUCCCAAAGUGAGGUUUUCAACACAGAACCUAUCAAUGGAAAGCUUAGGAUGUCUAGUUCCAUGAUAUGUAAGCAUAUUCACGUGAUUCUAAAUAAAGAAUAGAGACUGUUCAUAUCAUCACACCAUUACAAACACACAUAUAUUACCCAAAUCACAGUACAAGUAAUUAAAGGCAAACAAUUCAUAAAAAUAAAUCAUAUAAGUCAAAGAAAUACUCAAUACCUUAAGGCAAACACUAAGAAAAGAAGUUAUAAAACCUUCUUUUCCUUCUCCAAAGACUUAUGUUUCUUUCUUUUCUUUCUAGGGUUUGUAACGGUAUAGAAAAUAAAAGAUGGCUUCUUAAAAAAAUGGCUUCCUCUUAAAUAGUUAAAAAUUAAUAAAUAUUUUUAAAAAAACUAAUAACUCAUGUAACUUAUUUAAAGCAAUUUGAUAAAUUUUACUCGCACACAAACACUCAAUAAUAAUUAUCCUACUCAAUUUAAUAAGGGUAAAAGAGGAAAAAUAAAUAAAUAAAUAAAUAAAAGUGGGCGUUACAGGUUUGGACAAAUGAAGUUGGAUUGGAUCAUAAAAUUGGUGUUGGACUUUUAAUACUCCCCCUCAACAUCGACAUUCAUGCUUUGAUCCAUAUAAAGCUACUGGCAAAACUCUUCAAACUUCUCGGGUACUGAGACCUUUUGUAAAUAAGUCCGCAAUUUGACUGUUCAUCUUGACGUAUGUAUCGCGUUUCAACUUCAUUUUGCAAGACCUUUUUCCUGAUGAAAUGAUAGUGCACCUCCACAUGUUAGUUCUUGCACAAAAAAACUGGAUUUUCCCCCAAGUUAAUUGCCAAUUGAUUAUUGCAAUACAAUGGUCCUAUAUAGUCUACUGGUUGGUGUAGAUCCUUCAUCAACUGCAUUAACCAAGAUUUCCUCUUGACAUUUGAGAUUUACUUGUUAAUCAAGUUUUUCUAAAGACAUUAGAGACAUCCUGACAACAUUCAACAAGGGAUGACAGGAAAAAUUAACAUAAUAUGAACUAUAUCGUUUCACAACAUUUACUCAUAAACUCAUGAAUGCAGUAAAUUAGGGACUAUUAUUAUAUCAUAUUUUCACCUAACCCGACCCGAUGACAAAUACUAGGCCCCUGAGUCGAGGAACGCACAUCUAAUAAUAUGUCUUAAUUACAAUGGGUUAUUAUUUUGCAAGAUUCCGAUUACUAAGAUCAUCGCUCUCAACAAUAGUAAUCCCGAGGAUAUCAAGCUCUUUUACAGUCAAUUUUCCAAAUAAAAUAACUCUUUCUCAACCCUUGUUGUGUGGCCAAUUUUUUGUAUCAAGAAGUACUCAAGUGAGUUAGAAUAAAGAAUUGGUGAUACCAACAAUUAUAGAUUAAGCUUUGCAAGUCCCAGGCAAUAUCAAGAAGUACUCAAGUGAGUUAGAAUAAAGAACUGGUGAUACCAACAAUUAUAGAUUAAGCUUUGCAAGUCCCAGGCAAUUCCCACUUGCAAAUGCCAGAGGCUUUUGAUCCAAGAUGUUUUAAAAGUCCAGCCCGUAAACGGUUGUGGUCGAGGCCUAACGCUGGAUUUGAAGUUGAAACAAAUAUAAAACUAAAUCUGAUGCAUAUGAGGAAUUUAAAGUACAAAAUGAAAAAGUAAAACAAUAACGUAAAAGGCCAUAGUGAUAAUAAAUUGAUAAUUGCAGUCAUGUACAGGUUGUAUAAUUUGUCUUGAUUAAAUUUGUAAUCUAAAAUAAAAAUGCAGAAAAUAACAAUACACCAAACGGAUAUAAUGAGUCUUAUCCUGUAAAAUACGUAUAGAGCUAGAAAUUAGGAAGAAGCUAACCACAUCGAAAAAGACAAGAUACAAUAUGAAGCAGCCACAAGAAUUGAACCUUUAAUAUCAAGAAAAAUAAACUUGUUCGAGGAAUUUUUUUUUUUUUCUUAAUGGAAAAUAUAGGAAGAUUCUGCCACCAAAAAUAGCGAUCACUAUGUCACACCAAAUUAGAAACGCAAUCAGCAGCACCGUGAUUGUCCUUGAAAGCAUAAGAUCUUAUAAAAGACAUCCUCUUUAAGCUUGUCUUUACAAUUAGUGGUUAUAAUCUUACUGAGUGGACCUCAAAAGCUAAUCUAUACAAGAAAGUGGAUGAUAUAAGAGGAGCACGAUGAGCCAAUCCAAUUAAUUUUUUGGCUUCUUGCCCAUCAAAGGCGCCGGCCCUUAUAACAUACAUAUAUAACCAAAAGAGCAAUCUAAUGAUGGACAGUUUGCAUCAGUGCUCAGGCCAUUGUCCCCGGAGUGUUAUCCUCUAUUCCCAACAAAGAGGGGAGGAAAGUAUCAUUAAAACGCUACUUCCCUUAUAUACAUUUUAUAAUGAUAAUAAGAUACUCCUCAUAUAUGAAUUUCAUAAUGGCAUUUAUUUAGGCUCAUCAUAAUCUUUUAAACUUAUCAAUCUUUGCAGUCAAGGCAUUGUUGACGAAAUCUAGCACACCUUGCCGCCAUUCUUUUGUAUCAAUCUGUACAGCGGCCAAUAAAGACCAAGAUUAUCUCAUAAAAGAAAAAAAAGUACAUAUUAUUGUUUUGAGUAUUAUUAUAAUCACAAACUUCUAAGUUGACAAAUUAACGUGUCAUAUAACCCAUAAGAAACACCACAUGAUCCUUUUGCAUGAAAAAAGCGGAGAAAAAGGGGAAACUUUCCAAAAGAAACAAACAAGUCAAAUUGAUAUCUUAAUUGCUCAAUAUUGCAAGUGCCUUAUUUGAAGCAACUUAUAUAUGCUUAAUCAAACUUAUUUAUUUAUUUAUAUAUGAAAAUAAAAAUAAAAAAUUGAAAUUCUUGUGCUUAAUCAAACAAUUAUUUGUCAUAAUUUUGAACCAAUAAAUUACCCACAAUGAUCAUUUUGCCAAAAGGACUUGCGAAAACCCACUAACAGUACCACAAUCGUGCAUUCAAGAAGGAAUUUCUAGGAAUGGAUAAUCCGUAUACCCAACAACAGGAUCAGGAAGGUAAAACGUGCUUCGAUUGUAUUCAUUCAAAGGUGCAAUUCUAAAAGCGCUUCGGCAAAACAUAUUUUAUGCCAACUCUAACAUUAGCUAAAGGCGCUUCGGCAAAGGCGGAUUAGCCAAAAGCAACCAAAUCCGUGCAAUUCUUGGCAACUGCUAUGUUCCCAUCAUCUCUAGUGUAUCCUCCAACAGAAAUUAAAGUGCCCACAAAAGCGCUUCUCAUGCGCAACAAACUGUGUGUGGUUUCGUACUUAUCAUUGAGUUUAAUCAUCCGCGGCUCGAUUACGUGCAGAUAAAGAAGCUUAAAUUUGUUAAGUGCUUUGGCCAUUACAGGCCAAGUGCUUCAGGAUUUGAGUCUCCUGCUUCCAUGUAAUCAGCAUAAGGUGAUAGUCUCAUGCCAACUCUUUCAGCUCCGAUUUCAUUAACAACAGCUUCAACAACUUCCAGGGCGAAUCGGCAUCGGUUUUCAAGGCUUCCGCCGUAUUGAUCUGUCCUGUCAUUUACUUGAUCUUUCAUGAAUUGAUCAAUCAAGUAUCCAUUUGCUCCAUGAAUUUCAACCCCAUCAAUGUCAAAAAGGUAAAGCGGUGGGCACUGUUUGUGGCCCACCGAAAACGUAAAAGAAAGAAGAAAAAAGAGAAGAAGAGAAAGAAAAAAAGAAGAAGAAACAAAAGAAAAAGAGGCGGGCCGCGUGAAGGAAAAUAAUAAAAUAAUAAACUGUACAGUAGCCAAGUUUAGCUAUAAAAGGAGGAUGCUCCUCCUCUUUUCUUAUCCAAUUAUCAGUUUCUCUUCUUCAUUUAGAGAGUGCUUUUAAAGAGUUUAGUGAUUUAAGAGUUUGGGUGUAUUUGGGGUUUGGGUGAGAGAAAUUAUUUUUGAGAGUGUGGUUGUAAUAAUUUUCCACAUAGGGUAUGUUUGGCAGCAUGUAUUAAGCGGGUAUGUAUUGCACUUAUUUUUUUAACCCACGUUUGGUAAAAUUAUUCAACUGGUAUGUACUGUAUAAAAAAGUAAAAUUAAUACAUAUUUGGGUGUGCAAUAAAGACCCGUACCAACCCCCAGGUCUUUAUUAGCUUGGUCAAUAAAGUAAAAAGAAAAAGUAAAAGAACCCAAAAGUCCAUAACCCAUAUCAUCUUCUUCUUCACUUCUGAAAACCAUACGAACAACUUUUUACCAAAUCCUUUUGAUGCAGGUAAUUUCAACACUUAACUUUAACAAAUCUUUAUUAACCAUUCAAAUAUUAACUAGAUCCAUAUUAAUUUCAAAGGAAACUUGGUCUUGCUCCCAAGUUCCUAUAAAAACUUUCAAAAGUUUUCUGGGUUCUCCUUCAUUUGCUAGGUAUGUUUUGCUCAGAUUUUGUUUAGAUACAUAAUAAAUAUCAUGCAUUAGUCAUUCGGAAAAAGUGAAAUAGUUGACAUUUGUUCAUUGAUUUCGUUAUGUUAUUAUUGGGAAAUGCCCAAGGUAAUAAAGAUGUAAUUAAUUUAUUAUUGGGUACAAAAGUCUCAAUAUCUACUUGUUUUUGUUUUUGUUUCUAUUUACGAUAUUUGGAAGUUCUGAUUUGAUAUUUAUGUUUUAUUUCUCGUGAGUUCUAGCACUAAUGCUCUUAUCUAACAAUUGGGAAAAGAGCUGAGAUUCUGUAAAUAGUUUUUUUUUCAUGUUUUAGGAUUUGUUAGUAAUUGAUGUUUUUUUAAUUAUCUAUUUGUUUUUAGAUAUGGAAAGAAGAAGAAAAUUUGCCCUUUACAGAUUAUUGACCAACUGGCACCUACAAUUAGUGUUCUUAUCCAUAAUGAUAUAUUUGUCCUUGUUGGAGUUGAUUAAGAAACGCAAUGAAAGGAAAAUGAUUCGUAGUCAAUCAUUCAUAAACCAUGCUAGUCGGUUGCAUUACCUAGAUAGCAUAAUAGGCAAUGGUGACUUACAAUGUGUGCAUCAACUAAGAAUGGAUAGACGAACAUUUGGUUUAUUAUGUGAGUUAUUUCGAUCCAGAGGAAAGGCAAAGGCUGAUGGUUUGGUGACUGUUGAAGAGCAAGUUUGCAUGUUUUUGCACAUUCUAUCUCACCAUGUUAAGAAUCGCACAAUUAGUAGUAGGUUUUUCCGAUCCGGUGAAACUGUUAGUAGAUACUUCAACUCAGUGUUAAAAGGAGUCUUACGGUUACAAAGUCUCUUACUAAGAGCACCGAAACCUGUGCCAGAAAAUUAUACUGAUGGGAGGUGGAAGUGGUUCAAGGUAUUUAACUAUUUAUACUACAUUUUUUUAAUUAACCAUAAAAGUGCAAAAGCUUAUUAUCUAUAUAUUAUUUUACUUUUUAAUGUAUGUAGAAUUGCUUGGGAGCAUUAGAUGGAACUUAUAUAAGAGUACGUGUGCCAGAAAAUGAUAAACCAAGAUAUCGAACAAGAAAGGGUGAGAUUGCGACUAAUGUUUUGGGAGUUUGUUCGCGAGACAUGAAAUUUAUUUUCGUGAUGCCUGGAUGGGAAGAGUCAGCAUCUGACUCUAGAAUACUUCGUGAUGCCAUAAGCAAACCAACUGGUUUAAGAGUUCCAACAGGUAUGACUUAUGAUUAACUUUUUAUUUUAUUUUUUUAUUUUAUUCAAAUUAUCCAUAAGCUAUAUUUUUUAACUAAUAUUUAUGUAAAAUGAUUAGGUUACUACUAUCUCGUAGAUGCCAGAUAUUCAAAUGCUGAAGGAUUUCUUGCACCUUAUAGGGGAACACGAUAUCACUUAUCAGAAUGGAGAGAUGGGUGUGCUCCUCAAAACAAAGAAGAGUUUUUUUAACAUGAAACAUUCUUCUGCAAGAAACGUUGUAGAAUGAUGUUUUAGCUUACUCAAAAUGCGAUGGGCUAUAUUACGAAGUCCAUCUUUUUAUCCAAUCAAAACACAGUGCCAUAUUAUUACUGCUUGCUGUUUAUUGCAUAAUUUAAUUAGGAGAGAAAUGUCAGUAGAUCCAUUAGAGCAUGAAUUACUUGAGAUCGACAAUAAUGAAGUAUAAGAUGCAAAUAACAUAACCACUCUUGAAGCUUCAGAUCAAUGGACUGGGUGGAGAAAUGAUUUAGCAGAUGUAAUGUAUAAUGAAUGGCUUGGAAACCAUGGAUAAUAUAUUUUUCUUUAGGAAUUUUAUUUCAGUGUUGUGACAUUAUAUUUAUGUGAUACUUUGUGAUUUGUUUAUUUGUCAAUUUAAAUUUAAAAUGUUUUGUUAAUAUUUUAAGUUAAGAAUUAUGGUAAUGAUUUAAUAUGUAGCUCAAAAUUUUGUGCCGAAAUUUAUUGAAACUUAUAGUUACAUAGAUCUAGAAACAAAUAAAAAAAUAUUAAAUUUGUAUAUGAGUAUUUUCUUUAUAUAACAAGGAUUAUGAUACUUAAUAUAACAAGGUUAAUUAUUUACUUUUUAACAAACAUUAAGACAAUCCAGUACAUGUUAUAUGCCAAACACAGGAUAAUUGAUAAUAAUACAGUACAGCUCAGCACCAAACAUUUUAUAAUUUAUACAACAGACCAAUUUAAUACAUACCAUUCUAAUACAAUACAGUCCAACACAAUAUAAUACAGUCCAGUGCGGUGCACCAAACACACCCAUAGUGAAUAUUUUUCUCUAGUUGUCUUUUGACAUUACCCGUGAUUUUUCUCCGGAUUUAGAGUCUUUCAUUUAAAUCUUGUGUGUGGGAUUGAUAUUAUUCUCAAUUUUAUUUUUUUAUUAAUUUGUUGCUUGAUAAAUUGCUUGAAGUGAUUUUGGGAGGAAGUUCAAUUUCCUAACUGUGGUAUUAGAGCCAUGGAUUGAAGUUUUGGUGUUGGGCACUAUUCAUAUAGACAAUAAUGUUCACAUGAAGCAGUGGGAGCCAAUUCAAAUAGUCCGUGGUGAAGACUAAAGGCUGAUCUACAAAGCAAAUAUGUCAGGAUUGAAAUUUCAAGUCCAGUGAAAUUUGAAAUAGAAACAUUUGAUGGAAAAAUUAACUUUGGCUUGUGGCAAAUUCAAGUCAAGGAUGUGUUGAUUCAAUCUGGGUUACACAAAGCAUUAAAGGAGAAGUCAUCCCCUGCUUCCAGUAGUAACUCUAGAAAAGCUAGUAUAAGCGAUGAAGAUUGGCAAGAGUUGGAUGAUAGAGUUGCAAGCGCCAUACGACUGUGUCUAGCAAAGAAUGUUCUUGCAAAUGUCGGAAAAUUUCCUACAGCUAAAGAACUUUGGGAGAAGCUAGAAAAGUUGUAUCAGACAGAGCAUCUCAAAUCGAUUGUACCCGAAGGAGCGAAUUCACACACUGCGAAUGGUUGAAGGUAUAAAAAUUUUCGAUCACCUCAGUGUUCUCAAUGGUAUUGUGUCAGAACUAGAAACCAUUGGAGUUAAAAUUGAAGACGAGGAUAAGGCACUUAGAUUGUUGUGGUCACUUCCAACUUCUUACAAACACAUGUUACCUACUUUGAUGUAUGGGAAAGAGACGGUAGAUCUUGAAGAAGUUACUAGUACUUUACUCUCAGAAGAAAGAAGACUGAGUAGUGAAAGUACUGAAACAAUAGAUGUCUCGACUUUGGCAAUUGUGGGGAAUUGGAAGAAAAAUAAUUCUAAGAAAAAUGAAGUUUGCUGGGGGUGUGGACAAUCGGGGCAUCUAAAAAAAGAUUAUCAUAGGAGAAAUGGAGUAGGAUCAGCAAGUGGCUCCAAAUCAGAUACUGAUAGCAUUGCUAGUGGUAAGUCUCUCAUCAUCGUGGGAGACGAUGGUCCCUUGUAAAACGGAUGAUGACAGCAUCCUCAUGGUAUACCACUAGUGCCAUGAAAGGGGAUGUGUUACUGUUAGCGGGUCCACAAGAUUUGCACACGAGGCAUGGUUGGCAUUGAUGCAGGGUGUGUGGUGGAAUUUAUGUCGAUGGCUGACGAACAUUCAGGAAAGCUAACAUGAAAGUUGCACCAUAAAUUUCAGCAGGAUAUUUCGACAUGUGCCGAUGUAAAAUUCUUAGAAUUGAUAAUUAAUUCUAAGUGGUAUAGUCUUUACGGUGGAGUAUAAUAAUUCUUUAUGUUGAGGAACUCAGUGGUUAGAGUAUUGCUUUCAUACGGCGGGAGUCAUUGGUUCAAAUGUUGAGGAUUAUGACUAUAGGUGAAGGCAAUAAGGAUGGUGUGGAGAUUGAUUGGUUCUCAAUCAAAUCUUCAAGUGAGAGAAUGUCAAAAAGGUAAAGCGGUAGGCACUGUUUGUGCCCCGCCGAAAACGUAAAAGAAGGAAGAAAAAAAGAAGAAGAAACAGAAGAAAAAGAGGCGGGCCGCAUGAAGGACAAUAAUAAAAUAAAAAUAAAUAAUAAAAUACACAGUAGCCAAGUUUAGCUAUAAAAGGAGGAUGCUCCUCCUCUUUUCUAUAUCCAAUUCUUAGUUUCUCUUCUUCAUUUAGAGAAUGCUUUUAAAGAGUUUAGUGAUUUGAGAGUUUGGGUGUAUUUGGGACUUGGGUGAGAGAAAUUAUUUCUGAGAGUGUGGUUAUAAUAAUUUUCCCAUAGUCAAUAUUUUUCUCUGGCUGUCUUUUGACAAUGGCCGUGGUUUUUCUCCUAAUUUUGAGUUUUCCACUUAAAUCUUGUGUGUGUGGGAUUGAUAUUAUUCUCAAUUUAAUUUUUCUAUUGAUUUUUUACUUGAUAAAUUGCUUGGAGUGAUUUUGGAAGGAAACUCAAUUUCCUAACCAUCAAAACCUACAAAAUUGUAUCCAAGUUCAAACAAACACUUUCUUUUGGAAAACUACACUUUCGAAUUAAAAUAUGUAUAGCUCGUUUGUUAAAAUAAGGAUUUCAAGCAAUAUACAGUAUUUCUUUGUAGCAUAAAAACAAUUUAUUGCAUCAAAACAGAGUAAAACAGUAAUCAAAGCACACGCAUAUUUAUAUAUUUUACCAGCUUCAAUGGCAUUAGGAGCAGCAAGUCUAAAAUCAUUGCCAAUUUGGGGGAUUUCUUCUGUUCUCAACGGUCGAGGAGAUGACCAAUCUUGCCCGUCUAGGCCAGGUGUCACUCCCUUAUUGGUACUUGAGAUCAGAGCUUUUCCAUUUGGCUGAAAGCCUAUGUUUAAAUAUUACAAGUAUCAUUUACAAUUAGAAUUACCGGAGCCAAAUUUUAAAAAAUAGUUAACUAAAUAAAUCAUUACGUAGAGAAAUUAAAAACAUUGUAUUGAUUUAGAACCAUUUCAGAUGAAUGAUUCAAUCUAUAUUUAAAAUAAGGAUCAAUUUAUUGGCAAGAUUAGGUUUAUCUUGAAAAAAAAAAUUGCACAUUAGUAUUUUUAGUUUUUUGCAUUCAGAUCAAGCUUAAAAUAUAAAUCCAUGUCAAACUCACAAAUUGGCAGUACACUAUAUAAAUAUUUUAAAAUAUUCUCUCUCUUUUUUGUAGUUUUUAGUUAAAAUAAAGAAAAAUGUUCUAAUUAGAAAAAUUUGUCAACUACUUUUUCUUUUUAAUGGAAUGCACUUAAAAAUAAAAAAAUAAAAAGUCUUUCUAAAUUGGAUUUGGGUUUCAUACCAAAGGUAGAUACUCGGCCUACGUGCCAAAGCUGACAAAAGAAGAUUCCACCCUUCUGAUGAACAGCAUCCACAAUUGGUUUCCAAGCUUCCACUUGCUCUUUUGUCCAAAUUCCAAGAGUGUUUGGAUACCUUCAAUUUAUUUAAAUUAAGUGGUUAUUGUCAAAAUUGAUUCUCCAAAAUGUGCUACUUUUGCUACAUGCAACGUAAAAUGAAUUUCUAAAUUUUAAUUGAGCAGUGGUAUCCAUCCUAAAUUUUUUAACUCAAAAAAAUAUUCUAAAGGAUGUGGCAUUCAUUAAUUGAUUAGUGAGAUAAUACAAUUAAUUUAUUUGGAUCUUAUAAAAAAUCACUAAUUACUCAAAAAAUAACACAUCUUAGUCAUACAACCCAUUUUCUACUUUAACAAAGGAAUGCUGAGAACAUCCAUAUUGUGUUUUACAAUUUUCAUGUCAUUACAAUUUUCAUUUUUCUUGUGUUUAAAUUUAUUAAAUAUAUUGUGCUAAAAAUUAAAAAAUAAAUUACAUAAAUUAAUUUAAAAUUAUUUUCAGUAAAUCAGUACAUUUUAAUUAAAGUGUUAGCAAUUAAAAAUUAAUUAUUUCUUUAUUAAAAAAUAAAUACAAAAUCAUUUGAAAAAUAAUACUAAAGGCACAUUAACUUUUUUUUAUGAUUUUUUUUCCUUUGCUCUGUUUUUCGAUCGUCUGAUUUUUUCUUUUUUAACUUUUCUCUGAAUUUACAAACUCCUUUUUCCGGAGACAUUUUUUUGGACAUCCAAAUAAAAACAAUUGGCAGAGCCUUUUCAAUCACACUUCAAAGAAAAAUCGUUUUACAUCAUCUAAAAGUAGGGCAUCAAUCUAUAGUUUACGAAAAAUGCAUAACAUAACUAAAAUUAAAAAAUCGAUCGUAUGGAAUUUAUUUUGAUACAUUAUAUUUACAUACGAAAAUGACAUGCAUUUAAUUUUUUUUUUAAAUGAAGAUAUAAUUACAAAUUACCCUUGAGCGGUAUCAAAGACCCCAGUUGCUUCAGCAAUGAGAAAUUAGUUGUGCGCUGAGAAUAAUAAAGAAUGGCGUGUGGCUGCGGAAUGUUGUUGUAUGAUCUAACUCUUGUCAACGGAGCCAAUACUAUUCUGCAAAAAUAAAUAAAUCCAAUAUUUCAUGUUAAUUAAAAUAAAUUCUCAAAGAAAAAGUUAAAAAAUUACUAACAAGUAUUUGUGACUAAGAUCUUUUCUCCAGAGUUUCUCAAAAGAGUAAUGUUAGGUAUCCGAGCGUAUAAGUCAUAAUUUAAAUCCUAACUAAUAUGAUAUUCAUCCAUUAGAUAGUAGUUAAGUAAUUUCACAAGUUAUGAAAAUCUAUCAUCUAAUAAAUUAAUGACACAGCAAUAAGACUCAAGUUGGGAGUCCAAUGUUUAAGAUCCUUAGCAUUAUUGUCCUUAAAGAUACAAAUAAUGAUAUUCUCAUAAAAAUAUGAGAAGAAAAAAAUAGUAGCCAAAAAAUUAAGUAAACGAAUAAUUAAUCUUCGAUAAAAAAAUUAUUAGGUAAAUGGCGGCUGCUCCCAUUGAUGCAAUCUUUCAACUCUGUCUUGCCUCAAUCUCUUUCUCUGCUCAUAGCUUCUUCUACCUUCAACAUCUGAUUUUAUAGAAAAGAUGAGCAAAUAAUUCAAAUUAGAAAAGUCUAAAUUUGAAUCUCCUAGUCUAAAAGUAAAAGAAAAUUUAAAGAGAGGAGUGAUUCAAAUUGAUGUGUGCACUUAACUUCCAUCUGGCGUGUAAUUAAUAAGUCCAAAUUAUAUAUCAAACGGUCAAUUAUGAAACGCGAACUAAUUAAUACAAAAAUUGAAAUUUCUGGGAGUAUAAAAUUAAAUGACGGUCUCUUUUUUCCAUAAGAUUUCCACCACGUGAAUAGAAAAAAAAAAGGAAAUGUUCGUUAGGCUUUAUAUUUUGAAUUAAGUGUUUAUUUAAUUUUAUUAUCUAAAAAAUACCAUAAGAUACCUUUAUUAUUAAAUAUGUUACACUCCAACCCAUAUGUUUUUCUUUUCUUUUCUUUAUAGUAAUAUUUUUAGGGAUAUCAAUUAAAAGAAAAAAAAUGAUAAUUUAUCAAAUCAACCUUAAAAGUAAUAUUAAAAUUUACACAAAUUUUUAUAUUAUUAUUUUAUUUCAAGAUUAAUUUGAUAAAUUAAUUUUUAUGAAAUAAGUAUUAGUAAGAUUGUUAUAAGGAUAUUAAAAAGUACUUUAAGUUGGCUUGUAUUAAUUUAUUUAUAAAUAAUUAUUAGUAAAAUUGUUGCACAUGUACAAAAAAUAUUAGUUGUUUUACAUUGAUAUUUAUUCUUUGAUUUACUAAUAAAUAAUUAUUCAUUAAUUUGCUAAUUAAAUUUUUUGUUGAUAAAUUAAUUAAUGUCAAAAAUAUUGUCGGAAAGAUAUAAUUGAAAAAGAAAAGAAAAAAUAAGGGUAAGAAUGUAACAUAUUUUACUAUAGGAAUGUUUUGAGGUAUUUUAACAAAUAUAGAGACUAAAUAAACACUUAAGUCAAAAACAAAGGGAUUAAACGAGCAUUUAUCCUAAAAAUAUAUUGAAUAGUAUGUUAUGAAACACCCAACUAAUAUAUUUAUUUAAAUUUUUAGAAGACUAAAAUUGAGGGGGAUUGUCAAUUUUUUCCUAAAAUUAAUAUACAUCAUUUACGCUCUUUACUGUUUUUCUAAUACCCUCAAACUCUCCUUGCACUAAAACAUUUAAAGGAAAAUAAGUAAAAGAAAAAUAUCUUCUUAUUCACCGAAACACAUAUUUUUUUAAUACUUAAUUUUUAUAUAAAUGCUGUUUAUAUAAUUUUAUUUUAUUUAUAAUAAAUAAAAAUAAAAAUAUAUUUAAAAAUAAAGGUAAUACGGUUAGACGUUAUUGAUCAUUAUAAAAAUAAUAAAAGAUAAAUGAUAGUACGGAAAUACUGACAAUCACCCCUAAAAUUAAUGAUGCUCUUUUUUCAAAUUAACGAGUGUUCAAUAAUCAACGGAAAAUUGUGAGUUGUUUAAUUUUUUUAUUUUCUUACUUGUAGGUGCCAAAAGCUUUGAUCUUUUGCUAGUCGCCUGAUGGGAAACCAUAUCAUGGGUCAACCAUGAUCCAUGAGUUUGUUACAAAUCCAACUAAACAGAUAAAUUUACUUCAUGAGUUUGUUAUAAAAAUAAUAAAAGCAACCAAUAAGAAAGAACCUUGGAUCGUUUAUUGGAAGGAGGCGGGGAUGCUUGAGAAGAAGGAAGGGCGCGUUUAGAAGAAGAGGAGCUGCGUCGAGUUUCGACCAUGUCGUCGUAGUUUGGUCUUCUUCUUCUUCUCUCUCGUCUUUAAUAAUUUUGUUUGUAAGGCCGAUGCGAUGAUCCAACCAACAAGGGGGACGAAAGGUCUGUUGAGCAAGAAUAAGAGAACGGGGAGACAAAGGGGGGUAUUUAUGAAUAUGAUUGCGGGAGUCAGUUAUGUUUAAUUGUUUAUGUUAUGUUAUGUAAUCAAAGGCUUAGUGUAUUUAUUAUUUUUUAAUAUUUUUUGUACUUGUUCAAAGGUGCAUUCAGCUUAGUGUAUUUAUUAUUUUUGAACACAAGAGUUUGUUACAAAUCCUCAGUGAAUUCAAAAUUUGACCAAUUUAGUAAACGAAUUAAAUCUAAAUCCCCGUUCUGAAUUGUUAAGUUUGUUGUACAGAAUUAAUAAACAAAGAAUCAAAUCGAAUUUGAACUCAAUUAAAUUUUUUAUCUACGAUUAUUUAUGAAAUAAUGAUUAAUAACAACAAAAAUCAAGAAAAAAUUUUCGCAAAUUUCACUUUAAUCAAUGUCGCUCUCAUUCUCACUUAAUAAUUUUUUUAAAAAACUUAAGCUAAUUUUAGGAAAGGAUAAUCUGUGUAGCCAACAACAGGAUCAGGAAUGUAAAACGUGCUCCUGUUGUACUUGUUCAAAGGUGCAUUCAGCUCAAAGCGCUUCGGCAAAUCCGGAUUAGCUAAAAACAGACGGCCAAAAGCAACCAAAUCUGCAUAAUUCGCUGCAACAGCUUUGUUGCCUUCAUCUCUAUUAUAUCCUCCAGCAGCAAUGAAAGUUCCCUCAAAAGCUCUUCUCAUCGACAAUAAGCUGUGUUGAGUUUCAGACUUGUCAGUGAGUUGAAUCAUCCUUGGCUCGAUUACGUGUAGAUAAAGAAGCUUAAAUUUGUCAAGUGCUUUCGCCAUGUACAGGCCAAGUGCUUCCGGAUUUGAGUCUACAGCUUCCGCGCACUCAGCAUAAGGCGACAGUCUCAUGCCAACUCUUUCGGCUCCGAUUUCACUAACCACAGCUUCAACUACUUCCAGGGCAAAUCGGCAUCGGUUUUCAAGGCUUCCGCCGUAUUCAUCCGUCCUGUCAUUUACUUGAUCUUUCAUGAAUUGAUCAAUCAAGUAGCCAUUUGCUCCAUGAAUUUCAACCCCAUCAAAACCUAUGAAAUGGUAUCCCAAGUUAAUAUAAGCACUGGUAAACUUAAAUUAAUUCUCAAAUAGAAUGACAAUUUUCAAUUUAUCUUCUGAAAGUGUGAACACCUCAAGUCACCUCAUUUUUCGUUCAAAAGAUGAUAGCAAUGGAGGUACGUGAUGAUUUUUUUUCAAUUUUUUUAACAAUAAAUGAGAUUAAUUAAUGUUUUUAUAUUUUUAAAAGAUAAAUUGAAGAUUGUCAUUCUAAAUAGGAGUAAAUUAAAAUUUUUCCUAUAAUAUAUAAAAACACAUUUUCGAAUUAAAAUGUCUAUGGCCCAUUUUUUAAAAAAGGACUUGUUAGUUGCUUCGAUUUGUAGCAAAGAAUAGCAUAAAAGAAAGUAAAACAAUAGUAUAUUACUCAAAUUCGUAUUUCAUAAAAUGCGUGACGUCGUAUAUGUAUUUUAAGAUAUGAUCAGGGUUACCUGCUUCAAUUGCAUUUCGAGCAGCAAGCCUGAAGUCAUUGACAAUUUUUGGGAUUUCUUCUAUGCUCAAUGGACGAGGAGGUGACCAGUCUAGUCCGUCUACGCCGGGCGUCACUCCCUUAGAAGUACUUGAGAUUGGAGCUUCUCCAUUUGGCUGAAGGCCUGUGUUCAUUAAAUAUAUAUCAUAUUAAAAUUCGCACUAUUUACACUAAAUAAUCAGAAAUUAGUUUUUUUUUUUAAACCCAAAAAAACAUUAUAUUGAUUAAGAAACUGUUUCAAACAAGGACGCGAUUCUAACUUUAAAAGGUAAAUACUCUUUCGGUUCCUAUAACUUAACUGAAUUUUUUAUUUAUCUAAAAGAUGCUUGUUGAGUAUCUAUUUCCUUUAAAAUCGACCUCAUUAAUCUCUAUUUUUUAAAAUAUUUGUAACAAGAGGUUAGUUUUAUCGUUUCGUUUUUAACAAAAAUAUUUCUUGAGUCUAUUAACCUUUUGAUCAUACCAUAAUUAGAGACUCGGCCUGCAUGCCAAAUUUGGCAAAAGAUGAUGCCACCCUUCUGAUGAACAGCAUCCACAAUUGGUUUCCAAGCUUCCACUUGCUCCUUUGUCCAAAUUCCAGGUGUGUUUGGAUACCUUCAAUUUAUUUAAAUUAAAUGGUUAUUAUCAAAAGCAUUUCUCCAAAAUCUGCUUCUUAUGCUACCCUUUGAAAUUAAUAUUCAACUUACAUCACAUUACUUCUUAGUUUCUCGAACAUUAAAUUUUUUUUUAUGAUUUCAAACCCCUUUUUUUCUGAAAGCACUUUUUUGAAGAUUCUGGAAAACAAUUGGCAGAGACUUUGCAAUCACACUUCAAAGAAAAAUCGUUUUGCAUCAUCUAAAAGUAGGGCAUCAAUAUAUAAUAUACGGAAACACUCAACAGAAAUUUUAAAAAAAAAAAUCUAAUUAGUUCAAUAUGACUUGAAAAAGAAAUUGGGAAUCAUAUGGAAUUAAUUUUGAAAAUAUAUUUAUGUUUUUCAUAGAAUUCACAUAUGCAAAUGACAUGCGUUUAAUUACCCAAAAAAAGGAAACAAAAUAUAAUUACAAAAUUACCCUUGAGCAGUGCUGGAAACCCCAGUUGCUUCAGCAAUGAGAAAACCACUGUUAGUAGUGCGCUGAGAAUAAUAUAAAAUGGCAUGUGGCUGUGGAAUGUGGUUGUAUGAUCUAAUUCUUGUCAAUGGAGCCAAUACUAUUCUGCAAAAAUAAACAAAUCCAUUAGUUCAUGUUAAUUAAAAUAAAUUCUCAAAAAAGGUUCAUAAAUUACUAACGAGCAACAUUUAUGAUUAAAAAGUUUUUCAUCCAUUAAGCCGAGUUUCUGAAAAAUAUAAAUAAUAAUGUCGUCGUACAAACAUUAGAAGAAAAACUUAGUAGAUAAAAUAAUUAGAUAAGUAAAGGAACCUGUGAGAGAGAUUGAAUUGCCCCAUUUUAUAAGCAGUGAGAAGAGGAGUAUUGGUGGUGUUGGUGGCGGCCGCUUCCAUUGAUGCAAUUAAUUAUCAACUCUGCCUUGCCUUAUUCUCUUCUCCGCUUAUCGCUUCUUCUCUCAUCAACAUUCUAUUUUAUAGAGAAGAUGAUCAAAUAAUUCAAAUCAGAAAAGUCUAAAUUUGAGUCUCGUGGGAGCAAAAGUCAAUUAUUGCUAAAGAAAAUGUAAAGAGUGGAGUAACGCAGAUUGAUGUUUGCAAUUAGAUCUCCCGUCUGCUGUGGAACUUCUAUUUACCUUCCCCUUUUUUUCUUUCUUAAUUACAACAUAGCCUGGUUAUUUUAUCAAUUUGGUAAUAUGAUUUUUGCAUCAUAUAUAUAUUGCAAAUGUAUUAUUUAGAUUAUGUAAAAUAAUUUUUUUAAUCUAUCAGACAUUUGGUAAUAUAAACAUGUUUCUCAAAUGCGCAUCAUAAACAUGAAAUGGCCUCCAUUUUUUUUUUUUUAAGGUGAACCUCCACAGUAGGAGAGAAGUUUUAUUAGUAGGAAAAGAAAAAUUACACCCGGUUGGGGGGACGCAAUGAGUCUUAUUCCUGUGAAAGAGACUAAGAACUUUCCAAAAGAGAACCUCUAAACAAGUCAAGCUAUGCAUGUAUGCAAAAAAAACAGUAAAUAGUUAUAUACAGUAGAACACCUAUAAAUUAAUAAUCUCUAUUAAAUAAUAAAUUUUGAUGGUCCCAACUUGGACCAAUAGACUAAAUUAAUAAUUUCAAUAAAAUAACAAGAUAAUACUUUUCUAAAAAAAUCUUAUUCAACUUUGUGGUUCCAUUCAAAUCAUAAUUAAUAAUUUUCUAAAAUUACAAAUGUAUUUGACUAUGAUAUUUUAAUUAUAUAAAAUAUGACUAUUGUUACUUAUUUACAGAAAAUAUGACUUUAUUUUAUACUUGUUUUUCCUUAAAAUUUAAAUCUAGUUAGAUUUCAUCUCUUAUUUUUCUUAUUGCAUUUAAAAAUUCUGUGGUCACUUUCUCAAAUUAUAAUAAGAAAUUAUGAAAUAUUAUUGAUGUAUGUUAAUUGAAUUGAAAAUAACUCUGUAAAUUAAUAAAUUAUUAAUUUAUCAAUUAUUUAAUUUUUUUUAUAAUUAAUAGAUUUUAUAUGAUCCCAAUCUUAUUAAUUCAUAGAGGUUCUACUGUAACAAAUUGAAAAUUUAAAAAAAAAUCUAACAAAAUCCAUAGUUAGAGGCACCGAUUAUUUAAAUAUAGUUUUCCGAAAAUACUCAACAUAAGUUCAAUUGAAAAAAAAAAAACAGCCUUAAAAGUUAAUAUCACUGGAAAAAAAAAUUGGGAACCGUGUGGCAUUUGUUUUGACAAUAGACACCCUAUUUUAAUAUUUUCCAUAAAAAUUUAAAUUUGUGAAUUAAAAAAAAAAAGGAGUGGAAAGGAAAAAAAUAGUAACACAAUUACCCUUGAACAGUGUCUGAGAUCCUAUUUGCUUCAGCAAUGAGAAAACAGCUAUUAGUUCGCUGAGAGUAAUAAAAAAGGGCAUGUGGCUGUGGAAUGUUGUUGAACGAUCUAAUUCUUUCUAGUGGAGCGAAAAACUAUUUUGCAAAAAAAAUAUAAUAAUAAUUAUUUUUAAAAAAAUAAUAAUAAAUUACAUUUUUUAAAUAAAAAAUUCAUUAAUGCUAAUAAAUUACAAACAGAACCGUACGUGUGAGAGAGAUUGAAUGGCCCCAUUUUGUAUCGUGUGAGAAGAGGAAUGGCGUUGGCGGCUGCCAUGUUUGAUGUUUCCAGAAGCAACAGAAUAAAUUAACAAAUAUUUGAAUUGACAGAUACAAGCUCUAGUAUCUGUAUAAACUUAUACGUGUCAAACUGUGAGACUACUUGAUUCUUGUUUGAAUUUUGAAUGGUCUCAAAAUUAAUAAUUUAAUAUUUUUUAUAAUCAAGGCUCGCUUCAUUUGAAUACAUAUAAGAGGUAUAAAACUUUGACCCGAAAUUAUAUAAUAUGACAUAGACAUCAUUUGAUUUAUAUUCUAGUUUUGACUCUUAGAAUGACAAAGGAAAACAGAUGGAAAGUAACUAGCUAUGAGGGAUAUGAAAACUUGCUGAUUACACUGUUUUGCAAGCACUGCAAUUUUUUUUUUUAAAUUUAAAAACUACUAUUAGGGAGGUUAGGCCAGAUCUCUUUACCUGUAAAUUUAACUAAAAAUAAUAAAAAAAUUUAGAAAAAAAAUAAACCAAAACUUCUAAGUCAAAGAAAGAAAUAGUCUAAAAGAGAAAAUUAGCAAAAGCAAAUAAAAGAAACAAAGAAUAAGCAAGAGAACACCCUAAGUCAAAGCCUAACAAAAGAAACCAUAUGAAAGUGAGCUAAUGCCUAAAGUACUGCUUACGAUACUUCCGUCUGGUGACUAAUUUGAAGCCCUUCUUUGAAUAAGAGGCACGUGGGCUAGUAACACUAAAAUGCAUCAGCCACCAUAUUCCCUUCAAAGCUAACAUUCUCAUUAGAAUGAGAACGAAUCUCUGUAGAGUGGGAAUUGAAAUUCAUAACCAUUGUGUGAAUAUCAUCCACUGUAGAUAGAAAUAAAAUUAGAGCCCACGAAUACCCUCUAAGCACCCGGAUAAUUCAAAAACAUAGCAUUACCAUCACUGGUCAUAUCAACUGGGCUCCAUAGAGAGGGAUCACCAUGAUCCUCAAGGAGCAACAACUAGAUCAGACUGAACAGGAAUGGCAAUAUCAUCAACAACAAGAUCAUUAGUGCAAUUGUCAACUAGAUCCACCUUAUCAUUCUGAGCAUCAGAAGUAAGGAUUCUAGCAUCCGAAGAGGCACCCUCAGUAGGGCAUAAGCUACUGAGGUAAACUAGAAGACUGCCCCUAAACAAAGGAAGGCUGAGCAACAACCCCCAGACCAAUUAUUUGUAACAACGUACUGAGGAACAGUGGGAACCCGAGGCUGAACAUCUACAAUAGACAUAGGUUGCUUACCCUUAUCAGUAGUAUCUCUACCUUAAGGCUCAUUAGCGGGUUAUUGAGGCUUCAAAGGCCAAGGAUUAGCUACAUAGCAACCAUUUGUAGAAUGGCCAAGGUGCUUACAGGAAGGACAAUAAGAAGGAAUCCGCUCAUAUCCUAUCAGAAAUUAGAAUCAACUUCAUCAAUCUAAAGGCAUGGCAAUAAAGGCUGUGAAACAUCAUAUUCUAUCAAAACCCAAGCAAUAGAAGGCCUAUCAACACAUAAAGGCUUUCUUAUAAUAACAGUUAUCGAAUAUAAUGCUUAUUUGCAAUGAAUAAAAUGAACAGGUAACUACGGCAAAGAAACCAAAACAGGAACCGUAGGGGACUCCUCAGAACAACGAAAGGCAAUGGACCAUUUAAAAAUCCCCAUAGUUAUACCAUUUAUAUGCCAUGUUUUCUUAACCCAAACUCGGGAACAGACUUCCUCUAACUGAAGAUUUAUCAAAUCAUGUCGAUUAUCAAGCAAAACUAGCUGUGUCCUUUUAAGCCCAAAGAGACAAAAAAAAACUUUCUAAUUACAUCCAUCGGAGAGUGGCUAAAAGAGAACUUGCCUACUAAAGACAUCUUAAAUGGUUCAUCCAUGGCGAAACUUCAGCAAUUGUAAAUAAAUAAUAGGUUCGCCUCGAUAAAGAGUGCCUAUCUCAGCAGAUAAAGAAGGCGAACAUGAACUUGCAACAACAUCAACAAAGAAUUUAGAGGGCCUAGAGGCAAUAUUGGGUCAAAGAUGGACACAGGUUUUACUGUAGAAGCAUAUGACGGCUUGGGAUGUUGAGAAGAAUUAAGAUAAUAAAUAAGAUGCUAAAAAAAGAAAAGUCAAAGCGGAGCAUUGUCCUUAAGACUAUUUAUGCCCCUUAAAAUAAUAUUUUGGUGCAAAUAAGUUAUUGACAGAUAAUUCCCCAAGAUACAAUGACUGUAAUUGUUGUAAGAGUGCACACUCAAUAUAACAAUUUGCAACAACAGUAAAUAAAUAUAUAAUACGAUGAUUUAUGUGGUAAUAUGGAAAAAGAAGAGUUGAAGAAGAAAUUAAGAAAAAAAUUAAUAUCUUGUAGUAAUCUAUAGAUUACUAUUUAUAGAUUAAUGGUGUCUAUGCAAAAUACCUUUUCGAAUAGCCACCAUUUAAUUUAAGUCUAUUUCAACUACUAUCAACUUCCUUCAACAUUAUUUUCAUAACUACCAUAACUUCCUCAUUAACAUUUAAAUUUGAACUCUUGUAAUUUGAUUCAAAUUUAACUGUGCAGGACCCGGUAUUUUGAAAUAGCCUCACAUUCAUACAACAAUCCCCCACAUAUUACAAAUUUAAUUAAUCAUCAUAUUUUAAUUAGAAUUUUUUAAUUAGAAUUUAAAGCAUAUGUCCUGGUGCUUUUCAGGCUAUAAACCAGGCAUUGACCAACUAAUCAUAUUUCAUAGGAACUUGGUGAAGUAUAAAAUUUCUAUGAAUCAAUGUUCCCUUUACGUGAAUCAAAGGACUAAUUGUUCACAUUAAACUCUCAAUUACUUUGUUGUUCAGCGGUUUGGCACUUUAAUGGCCCUGUGCCUACCUGGAAUUCAUGAGUGCUCUAGAGAUGUUUGCCUCACUCUUAUAAGAAUUGACCCAAUUCCAAACUCAUAUAGGUGAACCUCCAUCAAGAGUGCUUUAUAGUUUAUGUACACUACCAUACAAUAUUCAGACUAUAGAGUUCAAUAAGAGUUAAAAAAAACACUCAACCUUUUUUUUCACUACAAUGGGUACUAUCUCGCCAUAGCGAGGACUCAAUUUUAUUAAUUCGAUAGUACUGCAAAACAACAGGUAACUUGUUAUUACCUCUAUGAACCUACUCCAUGGAAUCUCCAAUCACAUAGGUGGGUUUUACUAUUACCCUUGCCUAUGUUCUAUGCAAUAGUCCCAUCCCCUUCAACGUUUGUUCUACUAACCUCCUAUUUAGUGGUUUAGCCAGAGGAUCAGCCAAAUUUAGCUCUAACUUGACAAAAUCUAGGCUUACUACCCUAGAUUCUAACAGCUGCUUAAUUAUAUUGUGUCUUAGACGAAUAUGUCUACUUUUCCCAUUAUAAAUUUUAUUCUUUGUUGUGGCUAUUGCAACUUGACAAUCACAAUGAAUCGAGAUUGAAGUAAGAGGGUGAGAAUUAAUGGGAAGAUUUGCUAAAAAAUUUCUCAGCCAUUUAGCCUCAGUACAUGCCUUUUCUAAAGCAAUUAGUUCAGACUCCAUGGUAGAACGAGUAAUACAUGUUUGCUUGGAAGAUUUCUGUGAAACUACACCUCCACCAAGGGUAAAUAUAUACCCACUAAUAGAUUUAGUUUCAUGGGAUUCAGGUAUCCAGUUUGCAUCACUAUAGCCCUCUAAUACUGGCGGAGAUGUAUCAUACAUAAGCUCAAAAUUCAUUGAGCCUUUCAAAUAUCUUGCAAGUCUAUCGAAGGCAAUCCCAAUGAUCCUUGUUAAUAUUUUGAGUAUAUCUACUCAAUCAACCAAUGACAUAAACAAUGUCUGGCCUUGUACUAUUCAUUAAGUACAUGAGGCUACCAAUAAUUUGGGCAUAUCUUGUUUGGCUAACACUAUGUUCAUUAUUUUUCUUAAGUUGGGUAUUUGCAUCAUAUGGCGUAGAUACAGAUUUGCUCUAGUAAUACCUAAACUUCUUUAAAAAUUUCUCAACAUAGUGCUCUUGUGAUUAUCUAAAACAAUAAUUUGUUUUAUUUAUUUUUAUUCCAAGUAUAACAUUUGCUUCUCCCAUAUCUUUCAUAUCAAAAUUAAAAGCAAGUAGCAUUUUAGUUUCAUUAAUCACAUUUAUACUUGGACUUAAGAUAAGCAUAUCAUUAACAUACAAACAAAUGAUCACAUAUAGAUUAGUAUCAAAAGAUUUAUAAUAUACACAUUUAUUUGAAUCAUUGAUUCAAUAUCCAUUUGAUACUAAUACAUGAUCAAAUUUCUCAUGCAACUGUUUUGGCGCUUGUUUUAAGCCAUAUAAUGACUUAAUUAGCUUGCAAACCUUAUGCUCUAUACCUGGAAAUAUACAACUUUCAGUUUGCAUCAUAUAUAUUUCUUCAUUAAAUCUCCAUUUAAAAAUACAGUUUUUACAUCCACUUUAUGAAUAUACAAAUUGUGUAUUGCAGCUAAUGCAAUCAAAACUCUUAUAGAUGUAAUUUGUGUUACAGGAGCAUAAGUAUGAAAAUAAUCUAUGUCUUUCUUUUGAGUAAAUCCUUUGGCAAUUAAUCUUACCUUAUAUUUGUCAAUUGAUCCAUCGGCCUUUAAGUUCUUUUUAAAUAUUCAUUUACACCCAAUUGGCUUGACACCAGGAGGUAAGUCAACAAUUUCCCAUACAUGAUUACUCAUAAUUGAAUCCAUCUCAUUAUUGAUAGCCUCUUUCGAAUGGAGCAUCAUGAGAAGUCAUAGAUUCCUCAAAUGUUUGAGGGUCAUUUUCAGUUAAAAAGACAUAGAAAUCACCACCAAAAUCAGUAGCUUUUCUUAUUCUUUUACUUCUCCUUAAUUCAAAAUAUGAACUUUCAGGAGAAUUACUCUGUAAAUCGACUUUAGGUAAUGUUGUGUCUAUAUGCACUUUCUUAGGAAAAACAUAUUCAAAGAACUCGGCAUUUUAGACUCAAUAAUAGCAUUUAGAUCAAAUACUUUAUUUUUAUCUUCAAGCACCAAGAAUCUAUAUAUGGUGCUAUUUUGAGCAUAUCCUAUGAACAUACAAUCAACAGUUUUAGGUCAUAUCCUGCUUCUUUUAGGAUAGGGUAUUACGACCUUUGCAAGGUACCCCCACACUUUGAGAUAUGAUAAAUUAAGCUGAAAACCUCUCCAUAACUCGUACAGGGUCUUGCCAGUUUUCUUGUAUGGAAUUUUAUUUUGUAGGUGACAAGCUGUAAGAAUAGCUUCAAAUUCAUAGGAGCCCCAGAACUUACAAGCAUUGCAUUCAUCAUUUCUUUUAGAGUUAUAUUUUUCCUCUCAACAAUCCCAUUUGAUUUAGGUGAAUAAGGAGGUGUAAUUUCAUGAAUAAUGCCAUGAUUCUCACAAAAGGCAUUGAACAUGUUAGAUUCAUACUCCCCUCCUCUAUUAGUUCUUAAUUUUUUUAUUUUCUUCCCAAGUUGAUUUUCAACUUCAUUUUUAUAAAUUGAGAACUUUUCACCCACUUCAUCUUUAUUUCUCAAUAAAUACACCUUAGUAUAUCUUGAUAAAUCAUCAAUAAAGGUGACAUAGAAUCUUUUACCUCCUCUGGUCAUGGUUUGUUUUAAAUUUCCAAGGUCAUUGGGAAUUAAAUUGAGAAAUUCAAUUUUCUCUUAAGAAUUAGGUUACAUGUCCUUUAUGUGGACUUAGACUCCAUACAUAUAUCACAUUUUCCUAUGUUUGAUACACUAAUAUUAGAUAGUAAGCCAAUAUCUUUUAUUUUCUUUAAAUAAGAAAAACUCACAUGGCCUAAUCUACCAUGCGAUAAAUCAACAGAGUCAACAAUAUAAGAAGGAGAGACUUUAUUAUUAAUAAUUAUGUCAAGUACAUUAAUCUUGAACAAAUCACCAAAGCAUUAUCAUUUCCAACAAAAACCCUAUUUUUAGUCAUUACAAUUUUAUCUCCUUCAAAGCAGACUUUUACACCUGCUUUCCCAAGUACAAAUACAUAAAUUAAAUUAUAUCUAAUAUUGGGAACAUGUAGUACAUUGUUCAGUGAAAGGAUUUUUCCAUAAGUCAAUUUUAGAAGAAUUUUCCCUUUUCCCAUAACUGGAAUAGAGUGGGAAUCACCAAGAUACACUUGUUCUUCUCCAUCACUCAAUUAAACAUACUCAAAUAAAGAAUUUAUGUCACUACAAAUGUGUUUGGUAGUGCCAGAAUCCAUCACCCAUUCUUUGUUUUCCUCAGCAACAAUCAUGUUCGCUUGAGAGAUCACCACAGUGGCAAUAAUAUCUUCCCCAUUGACCAAAUGGCCUUAGGAGGCUUGUGAUCUCCGUUUUUGUAUCUACAUUUAUUAGCAAAAUGUCCAGGUUUGCCACAAACAUAACAAUUGCCUUUUUUCUUGAAUCUGUUUUUUUUUUUUUAAUUUUUGAAAAACUUUUUGUUGGUCUUUUGAUUCUUGCUUGGAUGAGCCUCAUUCUCAGCUAUAUUAGCCUUAAAAUUAAUUUCCUUGGCUUCCUCCAAUUGAUCCAUUUGUCUAUGUUUUUCUUCAGUUCGGAUAUGAACAAUAGCAUCCUCCAAAUUCUUAUGCUUCCUUUCAUGCUUAUUAUUUUUCUUAUAAUCUUUCCAUGAGUUAGGCAAUUUUUCAGUUAGGCGACCAACCACAAAAAGACUCUGGAACAAUGAUAUUUUCAUUUUUCAGAUCAUUAAUAAGCAUAUGGAAGCCAUGAAUUUGAGAAGUCACUUCCUUAUCUUCCGUCAUCUUAAAAUCUAAAAAAAUUAGCAAUGACAUACUUUUAGGCUCCAGCAUGUUCUAUGAUAUAUUUUUUCUUCAAUUGAGCCCAAAUUUCAUAUGCAAACUUGUGCUGUGAAUAAACAUCAUAUAAUUCAUUUGAAAGAGUGUUGAGAAUGGUGCUUCAGCGCACCUUAUUUGCUUUAAGCCAAUUUUGAAGUAAUACCUCAUAAUUUUCAGAGUCAGAAUCUGGUGGAGGCUCUGUGAGAAAUUCAGCAAGGUUCAUUGCAUGCAAUGUAUCAUAGAUUCGAUCAUGCCACCACUUGAAAAAAUUCCCACCAAACGGUUCAAAUUAUUUUUGUGUCAGGUAAAGCUUUGGUGGCAGCCAUCAACGUAGAAUCAGUUACGGCAUCCAUUAAAAGAAUUAGUCUUAAGAAUGUUGGAGAAGAAUUAAGAUAAUAAACACGAUGUCAAAAAUAAAAUAAAAGUCAAGGCAUGCUCCACACUGUCCUUAAGACUAUUUCUACCCCUCAAAAUAAUAUUUUGGUGUAAAUAAGUUGUUGAUAGAUAGUCCCCGGGAUACAAUGACUGUAAUUGUUUUAAGAGUGCACAUUCAAUACAACAAAUUUGCAACAACAGUGAAUAAAUAUAUAAUACGGUGAUUUAUGUGGUAGUGUUUGGAAUAUGAAAGAAGUAGAGUUGAAGAAGAAGUUAAGAAAAAAUUAUUAUCUUGCAGUAACCUAUAAAUUAUUAAUUAUAAAUGAAUGGUGUAUAUUCAAAAUACAUUUUCGAAUAGCCACCAUUUAAUUUAAGUCUCUUUCAACUACUUUCAACUGCCUUCAACAUUAUUUUCAUAACUACCAUAACUUCCUCAUUAACAUUUAAAUUUGAAAUCUUGUAAUUUGAUUCAAAUUUAACUGUGCAGCAUCCGGUAUUUUGAAAUAGCCUCACAUUCAUACAGCAUGGGAAUUGUAUUUUGGUGGUGAAUCGAGCUUGGGUGGGGCCACAAACAGGUUACAAACCAUCAGUGUUGGUUUUGUCACGGUUUAGGGUUUAAGAUAAAUUGUGUGCAUGGCUUUACAAAGAGGCAGAUGGUUGUUGAUGAUGAGUGAUCGUCGGAGACAUCAGUGGUGGCUGGGCAGUGUCAAGAAGGGCAAAGAGACAGUUGGGCCGGGGUUGUUGUUGUUGAGUGGUAAUGAUGGAAGGCAACAAAAUUGAUGGAGGCGGCUGUUAAAGAUGAGACGCGGGCAACUGGCUAGGGCUCAGGUUUGACAUACGCGUGUAUAAAUGAGACGUGAUCAGUAGGAUCUGAUGAGGGUAAUGGCUGUACGGUGGCUGUAAGGUGGCAUGGGAGGGAUCCAGCGGCUGUAAAUCAGCAUUAAAGGUGGUGGGGAGGGGGCGGCGGCAUGAGAGGGAGAGCGAGCGAUGGUUGGCGACAUUGCAAGGCCAAAAGCAGAUAUGGCUAAGGGGCUAGAGGCAGUUGGAUGGUGGUCGGCAGAGAACGGUGGUUCCAGCGGUGGUGCCGGCAGUGGUUGGUCACCACCACCGACAGCCGGUGAGGCCAUACCAGUGGCUAGAAAGUGAAAGGAGUGUGGCAGCUAUAUGAGUUGGGAUUUUAACGAGCGCUAUUCAGACCAUUUUAGCAAAUGACCUAUUUAUCCUUUUUUUUCUUUAAAUUUUUAAUGUCAACACUGUAUUGAAUGUUACCUGGCUUCAAGUUAAUUAAACUUAUGUAUGGACAAAUAACCUUAGUAACUUACAUUAAAUAUUACGUACAUUAAAUAAAUUGACAAAUUAACUAUUAGUUGUUCAACAUAUUUCACAAUUUCUCUUUUAUUAUUUAUUAUAUUUCUAGUCAUUCAAUUAAAUCUAACAACCUCCUCCGACAAAUGUUUGUUACCUCAUCAUGUAACUUAACCGUAGCCAUAGACAAAUUACAGCUAAUUAAUAAUACUUCCUGCACAUUCUGUUAUGCUUGCUGCAUGCUCCAAUCAGCUGCUGCUACUCCUUGCUAACUACUACGUUCACUAGUUCAAACUUGAUUAUUUCCCUCCAAAGUGGAAUUAGAUUCAUGCAUCAUUUUUCAAGUACUGUACCUUCAAGCCCAGUGUCUAUUAUGAAAUUGAGGGCCCAUUAGCUAUUGUAGUUAGACAGUUCUAAUUUAAAAAUUAUAAUUUUACAGUUUUUGGUAGUAAACAUAUUAUAAAAUUAAGGACUUAUUAAUUAUUGUAGUUAGACAGUUGUAAUUUAAAAAUUAUAACUUUAUACUUUUUGGUAGUAAACAUCUGCUACUAUGUUUAGAAGUUAAGUUAAUCUUAUCUCACACUUCUAUUAUGAAAAAAAUUAUAAUAUUUUUACUACUUUUAUCAAAAUUGUUAUUUAAAAACAAAUUUAUCUCACGCUAGCUAUUUUCAUUUCAAACAUUCAUCUUGUUUACAAUAAUAAAUUACUCUCAAUUUUCAUGUGGUAAAACCACUUUAAAAAAUCACAACAUGGACAGCCAACAUUAAAUAUAUAAAUUAAUUAUGCAUUCAAGCUGGAACUUCAAGGAAAGGAUAAUCUGUGUACCCAACAACAGGAUCAGGAAUGUAAAAAGUGCUUCUGUUGUACUUGUUCAGAGGUGCAUUCAGCCCAAAGCGCUUUGGCAAAUCUGGAUUAGCCAAAAAUAAACGACCGAAAGCAACCAAAUCUGUAUUACUCUCAGCAACAGCUUUGUUGCCUUCAUCUCUAUUGUAUCCUCCAGCAGAAAUGAAGGUUCCCUCAAAAGCGCUUCUCAUUUGCAACAAACUAUGUACAGUUUCAUACUUGUCAUUGAUUUUGAUCAUCCGCGGUUCGAUUACGUGCACAUAAAGAAGUUUGACAUUAUUAUUCUUGCCUAAGUACGGGCCAAGUGCUUCCGGAUUUGAGUCUCCAGUUUCCAUGUAACUAGCAUAAGGUGAUAGUCUCAUGCCAACUCUUUCAGCUCCGAUUUCGUUAGCAACAGCUUCAACUAUUUCCAACGCGAAUCGGCAUCGAUUUUCUAGGCUUCCGCCGUAUUGAUCAGUUCUGUCAUUUACUUGAUCUUUCAUGAAUUGAUCGAUCAGGUAUCCAUUUGCUCCAUGAAUUUCAACCCCAUCGAAACCUGUGAAAAACUAUUUAAGUUCAAGUAAACAUUUUUAUAUAUACAAAAGCACUCCUGAACAUGGGAACUUUCGAACUAAAAUGUUUAUAUAUAGCCUUGUUGUCCCCAUUCUUGAACUGCUGCUAUAUUUUUGUUUCACGGCAAAUCAAUAAUGUAUUGCAACAAAGAUUGUUGUCUCGUUUAAUCCUUUGCAUGUUUUAACAUGUGUCAAACCCAUAAAUUUCUUCAUUUUUAAACAAAUCAAACAAAUCAAUUUGUAAUUUUGUAGCUAGCAGUAAACUAAACAAAUCAAAACAAUGAUACCAUUUUAGAAAGUGUAAACGUCAGUAUAUAUUCUUAGAAUUACCUGCUUCAAUUGCAUUACGAGCAGCAAGUCUAAAAUCAUUGACAACUAAGGGGAUUUCUUCAGUUCUUAGAGGAAGAGGAGGUGACCAAUCUACUCCAUCUAGGCCAGGUGUCACACCCUUACUAGUACAUGAAAUUGGAGCUUCUCCAUUUGGCUGAAAACCUGCUUGUUUGAAGUUGUGAAAAAUCAAAUUUACCUUUAGCUAGAAUUAUUUAAAACUAAAAUUAUCACAUACAAAUUUCAAUAAACUACCAUAUAAGUACAAAAUAAUAAAAAAAUAAUGGUAUUAACAUAAUAUGAAUGAAUUACUAAAUAUUCCGUUACAAUACGAACAAAAUGGUCGUUAAGGUUGCUCGGCUGGCAGACUAAUGCUCCCAACAACUUCAAUUCCCUUCUCGUGGGACUCACUAAAAAAUUAGCCCUUCUAUGGAUAAAUAUAUCUUUUCAAAUAGAAGUAGAAGUAUGUACAUCUAUAUGUAUAUACGUAAUUUUUCUAGUGCGAGCAUUCUCUUUUUUUUUUUUUUGCAUGCAAACACCCUUUUAAGUCAUGGGUUUAUUAGAGUUAAUUUUUAACAUUAUUAAACUGCACAACUUCAUAUAUCCAAAGGCGGAACCAGGAUUUUGGUUCAACUUGUCAAAAAGUGAGUGGUGGGCACUGCUAGUGCCGCAUCAAAAAGGAAAGUAAAAAAAAAAAAGAAGAAGUGUUGAGUGUUAGAAAAUGCAUAUUUAUAAAGGAGAAAACCGUCAUUUUACAUUUUAAGUCUUACUAACAACCCUUACUUUUAUAUAUUUAACCUUCUUGUGAUUUAAUUACAUGUGUUUUAUUUUAAUUAAGUAUUUUAUGUAUUUUAGGGGCAUUAUAGUCAUUUCACAAUAAAGGAGAGAUCAGACGGCAAAACGGACAUCACUUUUGAACUCAGGACGGUCGAAAACCUUAGGAGGAGCAUAAAAGGAAAAAUGGCACUAUUCACAUGUACGGUACUAUUCACGUGUACGGUACUGUAUACGUUACGGUUCACGACACUGUUCACAUAGACGGAUGAUGACGUGGCAUUGACCGAUGAUGUGGCAUUGACUGAUGAGGUGUCACGAUCCUGUUGGACUAAAAUUCUUAUGUACUGUUGAUGGUGACGUGGCAGCAUAUCAGUGGACGAAAAAUCUCGCGUACGGUGCAUGCAUCACACAGGAUUAUUUUCAACCAAACCGCGUUACUGUUCAAAGUCGGGUCAAACCGUGUUACUGUUCAUCCGCGUGGUCAAACCGUGGACUGUUGACUGAUGACGUGGCGCAAUCCUGAGCGUCCAAACUGUUUUUAAUCCGAUGGCCAUGAUUUACUCCAUGUAUCUAUAAAAAGGGGGCCUCCCCCCCCUAAUUUGAUAUCUCUGAAUCCAUUUUUGGGAUCCAUUUUCUGUAAUUCCCUCUCCAUCUUGUAUUUUCUUCGUAUUUUAAUAAAUUUCCAUUUUGCCCCUAGUUCAAUUAUGAGUAGCUAAUUUCCGUUCGAGCUUGGGUUGAAGGUGAAGUCUCAACAUGUGUCAUGGGCUUAAUUUGGUAAAUUUAUUUUCUCUUCCCCUCUAGUUUUUGUGGAUGUUUUGACUUCUCGUCGAUAAAUAAUAAUAUUCUUGUCUAGUACCGUCUUGGUUUCACCGGCCCCCUAGUACAAGGUUAUUAUUAUUUGGCACGAUAAGCCCUUAGCACCAUAUUGAUUAGAGCGUGGUUCAUGAGGUGUGGAUUCCCCCCUCAUGAUUUAAUUGGCAUUAAUACGGAUUAUUUAGCCCAUGAUGCAUGUUGAUACGAAUCCAGAUACCCAAGUACGUCAUUUCAAUAGAAUUAUCUUCAAUUUAUUCUCGCCAUUGCAAUUCCAAUUUUAGAAUUUAUUCUCGCCAUUUUAAUUUAAGUUUUAGCAUAUACCAAAUCAUUUCCACCAUAAAUCCAACAACCCAUUUACAAAAUUAAUUCUAUACACAAUUAAAAUCCACCUCCUCGUGGGAUCGACACUCGUCACCAUAGAUCUAUACUACAAUAGAUUCGUGCGCUUGCGAGUACAUUAAAAUUUGCACAACAAGUUUUUGGCGCCGUUGCCGGGGAGGUAAGUAAUUUUAAUUCAUAGAAUUAAUUUUUGUGAAUAAUUUCUUUUAUUUGUUUUCUUGUAUUUUUUUAUUAUUAAAAAAAAAGAAAAAAAAAAGUGAAUCUACAUUUAAAGGUUAGUAUUUCUUUUCUUUUUCUCUUCUUUAAAAUUUUGUAAUUUAAUUUUCCAUUUAUUUUUCUUUGUAAUUUUUUUUUGUUUAUCUUAUUAAUUUAAUUUUUAGUUAAUUUCUUUCACGUAUUUAUUUUUGUGUAUUUUUAUAGAAAGGUUGUAAUAGCGCAAUAAGGUUAGUAUCGUAAUUUCUCCCUCUUCUUUAUUUUUAUUUGUUUUGUUCCCAUCUUUAUUUUUUGUUUUGUUUGCAUCUUUAUUUUUAUUUUAUUUAUUUUGCAUGCAUGGUCGUAGGUCAUUAUUACCUAAUCUUGAACCUAUAGACCUUGAAUUAGAAAAAACACUUCGCACACACAAACACGUUAAAAAUAAAAUGGAUUUACAAGCACCACAGGAGAGGCCAUUUAAGGACUAUUUUAGUCCCUUAGCUAAUUUGAGCACGUCAUGCAUAAGAUACCCAAAUGUAGCUGCUAGGAGUUUUGAAUUAAAACCUAGUGUGUUAAAUUGUCUCCCUACAUUUUAUGGCCUAGAAAAUGAGGAUCCAUAUAAUCAUUUGAAUGAUUUUCAUGCCAUUUGUCAAACAUUCAAAUAUGAGAAUUUUUCAGAUGAUGAUGUUAAACUUAGACUAUUCCCAUUUUCUUUAAAAGAUAGAGCUCGUUCAUGGCUUAAUACAUUGCCUGCUAAUAGCAUUGCAUCAUGGGAACAAAUGGUUACAAAAUUUUUAAAUAAAUAUUUCCCAGUGCAUAAAACCAAUGCUAUUCGCAGGGAAAUCUCGGAGUUUACCCAGAAAGAUGACGAGCAAUUUUUCGAAACAUGGGAGCGAUUCAAUGGGCUACUCUUGAAGUGUCCACAUCAUGGGUACGAGAAAUGGCACCAAUGCCAAUACUUUUUGGAAGGAUUAUUGCCGAAUGUGCAAGAAUGGCUAAUGGCAACGAGUGGAGGAGAGCUAAUGUCAAAAAGUGCAUCAGAGAUUUGGGAAUUCUUCCAGCGACAAGCAGAUAAUUCCCAACAACGGAGUCGAUCACUUAGGACUACUAGAAGAAUUAAAGGAGUGAAUGAGGUUCAAAUUGGCGAAUCAAGUUCAGAAAUUAAAGAAGUCAAAGCGAUAAUUGAAGGUCUCUCUCGACAAAUAGCAUCAUUAUCGACUGCUAAAUCAACAGAGCCACAUGACCAUGACUCAUACUCAGAUCAAGCCAAUGCCAUAGGUGUAAUGAGAAAGCCAUCAAAUUACAACCCAUACUCCAACACAUAUAACCCUGGAUGGAGAGACCACCCCAAUUUUUCAUGGUCUCAAGGAUUCCAACAGAAUGGACCAACAGCUCCAGCUCCGCCAAUUCCACAAAAUCCUCAAGCCUCUCAGCCACCAUUUAGACCAUACAAUCAGAACCAGAACCACUCUCAACCUAGACCAUGGGAGGAUGCAUUCCAGAAUUUUAGGAAUGUUACUCACUCCACGAUUGAGCAACAGAACCGCACCAUUGAUGGACUACGAAAUGAGUUGAGAGCAGGCUUCAACUCACAAGCUCAAUCAGUUUCAAGCCUGGAGAAGAUGGUGGGACAACUCGCUUCUUCAGUUCAGACCUUGGCAAUGACUGUUGAGAAAGGAAAAUUUCCAAGUCAACCAGUGCCUAAUCCUAAAGGAGUACAUGAAGCAAGUACUAGUUCACCACAGCAACAUGGAGAGGUCAAAGCAGUAAUGACCUUGCGAAAAGGAAAAGAAAUCGACAACAAAGUGGAGAUGCCGGUGACAAAGGAAAAUCAAAUUGUACCUGUGAACGUUGAGGACUCACCACCGGAGGAAAGAGAAGAAGCCAACCCACGAGAAUACGUUCCCAAAGCUCCAUUUCCUCAAAGGUUAGCGAAAGGAAAAAAGGGAAAAUCUACAGGUGAGAUUCUCGAAAUCUUCAAACAGGUAAGUGUUAACAUCCCUUUACUUGAUGCUAUAAAGCAAGUUCCAUCUUAUGCCAAGUUUCUUAAAGAUUUGUGUACUAAAAAGAGAAACAUGCAUGUUCAAAAGAAGGCAUUUUUAACAGAAAACGUUAGUUCUAUACUCCAACAUAAAAUUCCUUUAAAAUGCAAAGACCCAGGCUCCCCCACUAUCUCAUGUAGUAUAGGGAACCACACAAUUGAGAAUGCUUUGUUGGAUUUAGGAGCUAGUGUAAAUCUGUUACCUUAUUCAGUGUUUGUGAAACUUGGACUGGGAGAAUUACACCCAACUCCAGUGGUGUUACAACUUGCAGAUCGGUCCACAAAAAUACCUCGUGGUAUUGUGGAGGACGUGCUUAUCCAGGUAGACAAGUUUUAUUUUCCUGUUGACUUCAUUGUAAUUGACACUCAACCAAUACAGGAUUCAAGGAAGCACAUCCCCAUUAUUCUAGGCCGACCUUUCUUGGCAACUGCGGAUGCUCACAUUCAAUGCAGGACUGGAAAUAUGCAGUUGUCCUUCGGCAACAUGACUAUGGAGCUAAACAUUUUCAACAUUGCCAAACAACCUUACAGUGUAGAUGAUGGAAUUGUUGAUGUGGAUUUAAUUGAAGCAUUAGUUGAUGAUACUUUUGUUUCAAACCUUAGUGAUCCUUUACAAACAUGUUUAACUCACUUUGGUUUGGAUUUUGAUAUUGACAGAUCGGUCGAUGAGGUCAAUGCCCUGCUUGACUCAACACCAUCUAUGGACACUAAUAAAUGGAAGUCAAGAGUUGAGCAACUAGCACCAUCAGAGAAGCAACUCAUUCCAUCAUCAGAAUCACCACCGAAACUCGAGCUCAAACCAUUGCCCAACACUUUGGAAUAUGCGUUUUUGGGAGAAGAAAGUACUCUACCGGUAAUCAUCUCAGCAUCCCUCAAUGACGAACAAAAAGGUAAGUUGUUGGAUGUUUUAAAAGAGCACAAAGGAGCAUUAGGAUGGACCAUAGCAGACAUUAAAGGUAUAAACCCAGUAGAUUGCAUGCAUUACAUUCACCUUGAUGAAAAUGCUAAAACUACUAGGGAGAUGCAACGUCGGUUAAAUCCUAACAUGAAAGAAGUUGUUAGAACUGAGGUCCUUAAGCUAUUAGAUGCAGGUAUCAUUUACCCAAUUUCUGAUAGUUCAUGGGUCAGUCCUGUACAAGUUGUCCCUAAAAAGUCAGGAGUCACAGUAGUUACCAAUGCUGAUAAUGAAUUGAUACCCACUAGAGUGACUACAGGAUGGCGUGUAUGCAUUGAUUAUAGAAAAUUGAAUUCUGUCACACGUAAAGACCAUUUUCCUUUACCAUUUAUUGAUCAAAUGCUUGAUAGAUUAGCAGGCCAUGAAUUUUAUUGCUUUCUAGAUGGUUACUCAGGAUAUAAUCAGAUUCCCAUAGCACCAAAAGAUCAAGAGAAAACUACUUUCACUUGCCCUUUUGGCACAUUUGCAUAUAGGAGAAUGCCAUUUGGAUUAUGUAAUGCACCUGCUACAUUUCAACGAUGCAUGUUGAGCAUUUUUUCUGAUAUGGUGGAACGAUUCCUUGAAGUCUUUAUGGAUGAUUUUUCUGUCUUUGGUGACUCGUUUGAUCAAUGUUUACAUCAUCUAACACUAGUUCUGCAGAGAUGUAUCGAGAAGAACUUGGUCUUAAAUUGGGAGAAAUGCCAUUUUAUGGUAAAACAAGGUAUUGUUCUCGGUCACAUCAUUUCGAGCAAAGGUAUUGAGGUUGACAAAGCCAAGGUGGAUCUCAUUUCUAAUCUUCCUCCACCCAAAACAGUCAGAGAAGUAAGAUCUUUCCUUGGGCAUGCUGGUUUCUAUAGACGUUUCAUUAAAGAUUUUAGCAAAGUUUCUAGACCCUUAUGCAAUUUACUUGCUAAGGAUGUACCUUUUAUCUUUAAUGAUUCAUGUCUUAUGGCGUUUGAAAAAUUAAAACAGUUGUUGACAUCAUCACCCAUCAUUCAGGCCCCAAACUGGAACUUACCAUUUGAACUAAUGUGUGAUGCAUCUGAUUAUGCAGUAGGAGCAGUAUUAGGACAAAGAGUUGAUCGAAUUCCCCAUGUUAUUUACUAUGCUAGUAUGACAUUAAAUGAUGCACAGUUGAACUAUUCAACUACUGAAAAAGAAAUGCUAGCAGUAGUGUUUGCAUUAGAAAAAUUUCGAUCUUAUCUCAUUGGUUGUAAAAUAAUUGUGUUCACAGAUCAUGCUGCUCUUAAAUAUCUUCUCACAAAGAAAGAUGCAAAAGCUAGACUAAUUCGUUGGGUGUUACUUUUGCAGGAGUUUGACUUGGAAUUCAAAGAUAAGAAAGGGACAGAAAAUGUUGUGGCGGACCACCUCUCUCGUCUCCAUUUUGACACAAUUACAGAAUCAUUACCAUUGAAUGAGUCAUUUCCAGAUGAACAAUUAAUGAAUGUGGAAGUAUUACCUUGGUAUGCUGAUAUAGUUAAUUAUCUUGUUACAGGUAAACUUCCAGAGCAUUGGACCAAGCAAGACAAGGCUAAAUUCUUUGCAGAGAUAAAGAAUUUCUUUUGGGAUGACCCGUAUUUGUUCAAGUAUUGUGCAGACCAAAUUGUUAGACGAUGUGUCCCAGAAAGUGAAAUUCAGAAUAUAGUUAAUUAUCUUGUUACAGGUAAACUUCCAGAGCAUUGGACCAAGCAAGACAAGGCUAAAUUCUUUGCAGAGAUAAAGAAUUUCUUUUGGGAUGACCCGUAUUUGUUCAAGUAUUGUGCAGACCAAAUUGUGUCAACGAAUGGGGAGCAUUACGCGAAGGAACAUGAUGCCACUAAAUCCAAUUUUAGUGGUUGAGAUUUUUGACGUAUGGGGUAUCGACUUCAUGGGACCCUUUCCCCCGUCUUUUGGUCAUCAAUACAUAUUGGUUGCUGUUGACUAUGUAUCAAAAUGGGUAGAAGCAAUUCCAUGUAGGACCAAUGAUCACAAGGUGGUGAUAGCAUUUUUGAAAAGCAAUAUUGUUUCACGCUUUGGAUUCCCUCGAGCGAUAAUCAGUGAUGGUGGUGCCCACUUUUGUAACAAAGCAUUCAAAGCUCUUUUGACAAAGUAUUCAAUCACACACAAAGUGGCAACUCCGUAUCAUCCGCAAACCAGUGGCCAAGUUGAGAUAUCCAAUCGAGAAAUAAAGCACAUAUUAGAAAAAACGGUGAGGCCAGACAGGAAAGAUUGGUCAUUAAGACUUGAUGAUGCAUUAUGGGCAUAUAGAAUGGCUUUCAAGACCCCGAUUGGGAUGUCACCCUACAGGCUAGUGUAUGGAAAAGCUUGCCACCUACCUGUGGAACUCGAGCAUCGUGCAUAUUGGGCCAUCAAGAAAUUCAAUUUUGACAUGCAGCAAGCCAGCUCAGAAAGAAGAUUACAGCUGGCAGAACUUGAAGAAAUUCGCAAUGACGCGUACGAAAAUGCCAAGAUUUACAAGCAACGAAUGAAAGUCUUCCAUGAUAAGCAAAUUAUGAGAAAAUCGUUCACUCCAGGUCAGAAAGUGCUUUUAUUCAAUUCUCGCUUGCACCUAUUCCCAGGUAAGUUACGCUCUCGUUGGUCUGGCCCAUUUAUUGUUCAUACUGUUUUUCCACAUGGGGCAAUUGAAAUUAAAGACCCAAAGAAUGGUGUCACGUUUAAAGUUAAUGGUCAAAGAUUAAAGCCAUAUCUAGAGUACCAACCACAUGAAGAAGACACCGAAAUAAAUUUGAGUGACCCACCAAAUUUGAAUUGAUUUUUUUUUUCUUUUCGUUGAUUUGAUUUUUCUUUCUUUCUUUUUAUUAUUAUUCUUUUGCUAAUUGAAAUUGUUUUUGCAUAAGUGUGUUUAUUUUACCAUUAAGUUUUCUCUUAUCAUUGUUAAUCAUGAGUCUCAUACUUAGACCGUUCCUCCUGAACUUUCUUAAACCACUUCAACGUGUCAAAACUCAUCUCAAAAGGCAGAUUCAAUUUUGUAAAACACAACGCAUUUGGGCUCUACAGCCACCAGAGUUAGUAGCCUAUGUUGAGGGUUUAGAAAGCCAACUCAGAGACAUUGAGAGAAGUGUUUACGACAUCCAGUUGGAGCUUGAGGUAAAUUCAAUAAGAGGACGAUUUUAAUUUUCUUUGUGUUUUAAUUUGUUUUUCUGUUUGUGUGCUUUAGUUUGUUACCCCGGUGAAGUGGCGGAUAACGGUACUCCGUGACAAUCAAGUCGGUUACUUCAGUUUCCCAUAAUAACUGAUAUUCUGAGGCGAAGGUAUGGACAGAAACGAGAUUCUAGCGAAGCUUCACAAGCGAUUCCCUUCACUUCCUCAGAAUGCCCUCCUUACGAUCUAUAAAGCUCGGUCCGAACGCAUGCGAUUACUCAUGAGGAAUAACAUACCUGCUGACAUCCGUUGGUUAAUCGAGGCUAAAGUACGAUCGGCAGGUGAGUUACCUCCAAAAUUUAUUGCAUACAUGCCUGGUUGUGGUAAAGGAAAUUAUGCAAGAAAACGACGAGCUCGAAGAAUUUCUGUUGCUUGUCAUAAGUGUGCCAGAAUGAGUUGCGAUAGAAACCCAUGUUCUUUAGGAAUGGUGUCUGAUAACAGGGAAGAUAAGAUUCAAUUCAUUAGGGAUGGCUUGAAUAAGGAGUCAUUGGAUGAUAUCCUUUUGUCUCUUGAAACGCAUCCCAGUGGAUAUGUGCAAGGAGCGAUUCUCCAGUUAUGGCCAUUAUUCCAGAAAGAGCAUGCACGAUAUAGUCUCGGGAAUCUGACUAUAAACGACCCUGUUUGCCAGUUUAUAAGAAAACUGGAUAGGAAGCCUAUCCUCGACCCAUAGAGGGCGUUCAAGCCGUUUCUGGACGUAAAACCAGAGGAAGAUGUGAGCCACAGUCGCAACUACCUGUUACUUUAUUGUUAUUUUAUUUCACUAUUGUCUUAUUGUUUGCAUUAUUGUCUUUAAUAAUUUUAUUACUGUUUGCUUUUUCCUUUUUACUGUUUUCUUUUUGACUUGCGAGCCACGUGCUUUAGCGUUAUUUGACACUGACAUAUUACCUCAUACACAACCAUGACCCACUAUCACCAAGACUCUUAAAUGUGAUUUCUUUUUUGUCAAGCACUCACAAAUUGUUUUCGAGAAGUAUCACAAUGGCAGCUACUCCCAAUAGACAAUUCAAGAACAUUUGUGUGCUUUCUGGAUUUACUAUGGCAAACAUAAAGAGUUCGUUGAGGCAGCCAUAGAUCUUGGUCGAAGCAUAGCAGCGAGAAAAUUACACUUGGUGUAUGGAGGAGGUAAUCGAGGGUUAUCAAAAAUGGUCUCAGAAGCAGCUUUUAUCAGAGGAAGUCAAGUGUUAGGCAUCAUCCCAAGAGUCCUAAAACCAUUGGGCAGUUCGUCUGACUCAUCAACUGGAGAAGAGUUAGUCGUCUCAGGUAUGCAAGAAAGAAUAACUGAAAUGCUUAAUUAUGCUGAUGCUUUUAUUUUCCUUCCAGGAGAUCUUGCAACACUAGAGGCACUUAUGACACUAGCAUCUUGGGCCCAUCUACACAUUCACCAGAAACCCAUCGGUUUGUUAAAUGUCAAUAACUUUUAUGAUGGCUUUAUCGCAUUUCUUAACCAUGCAAUAAAAAACUAUUUCAUUCCCGCUAAUGUGAAAAAACUUUUUAUUUGUGCUCACACUGCUAAUGAGCUACUUGAUCUGUUACAAGCUUAUAGACCGGAGCCAGACCCCUGGACCUUCGUGUUGGAGCGUCCAAAUAAUGAUGGUAACAGUAGCAGCAGUAAGAAGUACAAAUUAGAUUUAACUCUCCGCCUAUAAAUAUUUUCUUCUGUGUUGCACCACCUAGGUGAUGUCUUCUAAACUCUACUUCUUUCCUUUCAAACAUUGAGGACAAUGUUUCGUUCUGGUUGGGGGGAGGGAAUAGUCGACAAUUGUGGAAUUUUGGUUAAGUUUUUACUAAUUUUUGUUGUAGAAACUAACUGUUGCUAACUUUUUGUGUUGAAGAUGGCUGAAUAUGGAGUGUAGUGACUCUAGAAACGCAUCUUCAUCGUUUAUAAAAAAAAAAAAUUCAGACAUUUUCUUUUUCUUUAUUAUGUGUUUAUGUUUAUUUUUCUUCUUUAAUUUCUCCUCUAUAAAUAUACAUUUUCCAACUUUUGAGUCGAAGAUGGCUGAAUAUGGAGUGUAGUUCCUCUAGAAACGCAUUUUUUUUUUUAAAAAAAAAAAUCAUUUUCGUUUUCUAUCAUUUUACGUAUAACUUUUCUAAUUAGUUUUUAUGCAUCAUUUUCACAUUUCUGCAUGCAUAUUUUCCUUUCAUGUUUAGAAUAGGUUGGGGGGUAGAAUGAUGUUUAAAAAAAAAAUGUGUGAUUUGUUUUAACAUUGGAUGACAUGAUUAAUUUCAAAUUUUAGUAUUUGUAUUAUCUUUGGUCUUAAGUGAUGUUACGCUAUGUUUGCUACUUUACAUGUUGAUGUCGGAGACAAAUGUGAGUUGCUUGAAGGAAUGAACAUGUCAUAAUAAGUACCAAGUGAGUUUUUGAGCCUAUUAUUUUUCUUGGAGAAUAACCCUUUUGCCCACUCUUUAUACAGCUUAGCAGUUUAUUAUUUUAUACACAAUCUCUAAAUUACUUUUGAGUUAACCCUUAAAAAAAAAUUGUAAAAUAAAAAAAAAAGAAAAAAAAAAGUGUGUUGUUACAUUUGGAGGCCCAUCUAACUAGUAGAUAUGGAAGAUUAUUUAGAGCCCUAAAAGACAAUGGAGAGGCCAUCUUUGAUCCGUUUGAGCCUUUCAAGCCAUCCCUUUUAUUUAAUAUCCAUAGUUAACCCUUUUGAGCCUUUAAAAAAAAAAAAAAAAAAACCUUUUCUUUGUCAACUUAUCAUCUUGACCCACUCCGAUUUGGAGUAUUACCCGAUAUCUUAUAAGUCCCAUCACCUAUUUAUGUUUGAGAAAAUGUAAAUAAUUAUUUUGUUCAGUGAAGUUAUGCCAAAAUAAAAGCAAAAAAAAAAAAAAACAAAAAACAAAAACAAAAGUUGUUGUUUCAAAAGAAUAAAAAUAGGUGAAAUCCACCUUGCAACUUCCAAAAAAAAAAAAAAAAAAAAAAUUCUCUGCAUUUUUCUCAAACAUACACUUUGUUUUCCUUAUUUCCCUUCUUUGUUAACCAUGUCCCUAGCCUACGUUACAUCCUAAUAAAAGUCCUUCUUGAUUUUAGGGAACUAUAGUCCGAAGUAGAAGCUAGUUAUAUGGGCUAAAAAGAUGUAGUGAUGCAUAAUUAAAAAAAAAAAAAGAUAAAUAAAGUGGGUUGACUAACAUUUUAUUUGACUUGAGAUCGUAUUAUUUCUAAGCUGAGGGCAUAUUUAUUUCAUCUUGGUGAGAGCAUGUGAUAUCACUUCUUUAUUAUUUUCUCUCUCAAUUACCAUUCAUUGGAGUGACUAUUUUUAUUGGGAUUAAUUUAUUUGUGAGAGUGUCACUACUUCCAGUGAGAUUUUGGGGUUUGACAUGUCAUUCUUGAGAGUAGCUAAAACAAAGUCUACUGGGCUAAUUCAUGUGGAUGGUUGAUGUGGGUGUGAUGUUGCUUUAGACUGGAGAUAAUGCUUAUACUUUUAUUUGAUUGCUAUCAUUAAUCUGAUGGAAUAAAUACGAGUGUUUCUAUUAAAAAAAAAUAUUUUGAAUUUGAAUUUUGUUUUCGCUUUAUUUGCUAGGGACUAGCAAUAAACUGGUUGGGGGGUGUGUUGAGUGUUAGAAAAUGCAUAUUUAUAAAGGAGAAAACCAUCAUUUUACAUUUUAAGUCUUACUAACAACCCUUACUUUUAUAUAUUUAACCUUCUUGUGAUUUAAUUACAUGUGUUUUAUUUUAAUUAAGUAUUUUAUGUAUUUUAGGGGCAUUAUAGUCAUUUCACAAUAAAGGAGAGAUCAGACGGCAAAACGGACAUCACUUUUGAACUCAGGACGGUCGAAAACCUUAGGAGGAGCAUAAAAGGAAAAAUGGCACUAUUCACAUGUACGGUACUAUUCACGUGUACGGUACUGUAUACGUUACGGUUCACGACACUGUUCACAUAGACGGAUGAUGACGUGGCAUUGACCGAUGAUGUGGCAUUGACUGAUGAGGUGUCACGAUCCUGUUGGACUAAAAUUCUUAUGUACUGUUGAUGGUGACGUGGCAGCAUAUCAGUGGACGAAAAAUCUCGCGUACGGUGCAUGCAUCACACAGGAUUAUUUUCAACCAAACCGCGUUACUGUUCAAAGUCGGGUCAAACCGUGUUACUGUUCAUCCGCGUGGUCAAACCGUGGACUGUUGACUGAUGACGUGGCGCAAUCCUGAGCGUCCAAACUGUUUUUAAUCCGAUGGCCAUGAUUUACUCCAUGUAUCUAUAAAAAGGGGGCCUCCCCCCCCUAAUUUGAUAUCUCUGAAUCCAUUUUUGGGAUCCAUUUUCUGUAAUUCCCUCUCCAUCUUGUAUUUUCUUCGUAUUUUAAUAAAUUUCCAUUUUGCCCCUAGUUCAAUUAUGAGUAGCUAAUUUCCGUUCGAGCUUGGGUUGAAGGUGAAGUCUCAACAUGUGUCAUGGGCUUAAUUUGGUAAAUUUAUUUUCUCUUCCCCUCUAGUUUUUGUGGAUGUUUUGACUUCUCGUCGACAAAUAAUAAUAUUCUUGUCUAGUACCGCCUUGGUUUCACCGGCCCCCUAGUACAAGGUUAUUAUUAUUUGGCACGAUAAGCCCUUAGCACCAUAUUGAUUAGAGCGUGGUUCAUGAGGUGUGGAUUCCCCCCUCAUGAUUUAAUUGGCAUUAAUACGGAUUAUUUAGCCCAUGAUGCAUGUUGAUACGAAUCCAGAUACCCAAGUACGUCAUUUCAAUAGAAUUAUCUUCAAUUUAUUCUCGCCAUUGCAAUUCCAAUUUUAGAAUUUAUUCUCGCCAUUUUAAUUUAAGUUUUAGCAUAUACCAAAUCAUUUCCACCAUAAAUCCAACAACCCAUUUACAAAAUUAAUUCUAUACACAAUUAAAAUCCACCUCCUCGUGGGAUCGACACUCGUCACCAUAGAUCUAUACUACAAUAGAUUCGUGCGCUUGCGAGUACAUUAAAAUUUGCACAACAAGAAGAAGAAAGAAGAAGAAGAAGAAGAAGAAAGAAAGGGUGGCGGGCCACUUCGGAAAGAAAAAAAUAAUAAAAUAAUAACAUUAUUAUUUUAAUUGAAAAAGGGAGAGGAAAUGAAGCUAUAAAUAAAGGGCUUCAUUCUCUCCUCUGCAUCCAAUUCUUCUCUUCUUCUUGAAAUCCAUUUUGAGAGAAGAGAAAGCCCAGUGAGAAUUGAGUGAUUAUUGAUUUUAGAAAUUGGGUGUAUUGGGCUUUUGAGUAGUGAGCCAAAAUAUUACAAUACUUGUAAUUCUCAUUUCACUAGUAAAAUAUUUUCCUUCUAUCUUCGCUCGUGAACAUAAGUUAAAAGCCGAAACAUGUAAUUUAUGGUGUCCCUGUGUGAUUUCAUUGUCUCAUUAUUUGUCAAUUUCACUCUACUUGGAUAUCUACUUCACCAAUCACUUUUUUAACAGUGGUAUCAGAGUUAUUAGUUGUAUUUUUGGAGUCGGGUACUAUUUAUGUAAACGAUAUUAUUUACAAAUACAGUAUUAUUCACGUAUACAGUACUGUUCACGAGAAACGGUGGGAGUGAUCCAAGAUUUUUGUGGUGCAAAACAGGGAAUAAUGGUGUGAGUGGAGUAACCGUAUGGCUUUGUACAUUUUUAGGGAAGUUCUGUCACAAAGGCAAUAAAAGUUUAAGGAGUCUAGGCUUUAAGUGGGACCGUUGUGACCCCUCCAGUCUUUCCAGGGAACUUUCCUAGUGUGCAAUUUUACACAUACUCACAACUACUCAAGGCAGUACAUUAACUUAUGUGCGGUAUUUAUCAACAAAUGACGGCAAAGUAUAAAAUUAAAAAGUUCAAUGGGAAUAUUUUUUUAUUGUGGAAAAAGAAGAUGCGGGCAAUUUUGAGGAAAAAUAAUCGCUUAGAAGUAAUUGAGGAAAGGCCUGCAGAAAUCAUUGAUGAUAAGUGGAAUGAGAUGGACGGAAAUGCCAUUAUUGAUCUAAACUUGGCACUUGCAAAUGGGGUGUUAUCCAGUGGCGCGAAGAAAAAGACAGCAAAGGAAAUAUAGGAUACUUUCACAAGACUAUACAAGGCCUAAUCACUACACAAUAAGAUUUUCUUAAAGAGGAGACUUUAAACCCUUCGAAUGGCAAAAACCACAUUGAUGACUGACCAUAUCAACACAUUGAAGACUCUAUUUUCACAGUUCUCAAUGUUGGGUCACAAAAUAAAGGAAAAUGAAUGUGUAGAGCUUUGACUUGAAAGUUUACAAGAUUCAUAUGAUCAACUCAUCAUCAAUCCAAUAAAUAAUAGCUAAGCGGACAGUCUAGUCUUCAAUGAUGUUGCAGCCUCCGUAUUAAAUGAGGAGAGCAAGCGAAAAAAAUAAGGAAGAUAGACAAGCAAAUUCGUAGUAAGUAAAAGCACUAUCGGUAAAAAGAGGGAAAUCAACAGAAUGUGGCCCUAGUGGGAAUCACAAUCAUGGUAGAUCAAAGUCAAAAAAUAAGAAAAAUAUCAAAUGCUACAAUUAUGGUAAGAAAUAACAUGUUAAGAAAGAGUGUUAGAAUAACUAGAAGAGAAAAGAGGGUAAAGAUCCUGAGUCAUCAAAUGUGUAGGGGUGUGUAGCAAGUACUUUGGAUGAUUGCGAAAUUCUCUACAGGGAGGCAACAACUGUUUAAGAAGGCAGAAAACGGCUAUUUGACAUCUGGCUUAUAGACUUAGGAACUACCUGGCACAUGAUCUCUUGGAGAAAAUGGUUCCACAAAUAUGAACUUAUCUCAGGAGGAUCCGUAUACAUAAGUGAUGAUCAUGCCUAAAAAAUCACUGGUAUUGGUACUAUCAAAAUAAAAAUGUUUGAUGGCAUAUUUUGCACAAUUGAGAAGGUAGGACAUGUCAAAGGCCCGAAAAAGAAUAUGUUAUCUUUAGGACAAAUAGAUAGCCAUGGGUGCAAAACUCAUGUGGAAAAUGGGAUCAUGAAGAUAGUCAAAGGCACGCUAAUGAAGGCGAAAAAGAUCAGUGCUAAUCUGUUCAUGCUUAAAGGGAAAACACUACAGAAUGUUAAUGUGUAUGUCACGUCAAAUGGAAAAGAGUCAACAAUGAUGUGGCAUCUCAAACUUGGUCACAUAUCAAAACAAGGUUUGAAGAUUCUCUCUGAGUGAAAAUUGCUUCCAGGGCUCAAAUCGGUAAACUUACCGUUUUGUGAGCAUUGUGUUAUAAGUAAGCAGAAUAGAUUGAAGUUCAGUAGAUCUGUUGCCAUAAGUAAAUGCAUUCUAGACUUGAUUCAUUAUGAUGUUAGGGAAUCACCAAACAUGUCCAUGGGAGAUGCAAAGUACUGAGUGACUUUUAUUGAUGACUAUUCCAAGAGAUGUUAGGUGUAUUCAAUCAAGAAAAAGUCAAAUGUGUUUCCAAUAUUCAAACAGUACAAAGCUUGGGUAGAACUUAAAUCCGGAAAAAAAAAAAAAGAAAGUUCUUGAGGACAUAUAACAGUGGAGAGUAUAUAGACGACAAGUUUCUUAUUUUUUGCAAGCAAGAAGGUAUUCACAGGCAGUUCAUGGUGGCAUACACUCCUCAACAAAAUGGAAUAGCGGAGCAGAUGAACAAGACUCUUACAAAAGGAAUAAGAUCUAUGUUGAGGAUUGCAAGCCUACCAAAUUCAUUCUAGGCAGAAGCAGCCAAAACUGCAUGUUAUGUAGUUAAUCGGACAUCAUCCACAACAAUUGGUUUGAAGAUUCCAAUGGAGAUAUGGACUAUGAAGCCAGCUGAUUACUCUCAUCUACAUGUAUUUAGAUAUUAUGUGUACAUAAUAUACAAUACCCAAGAAAGAACAAAGGUAGAUCCAACAUUCAAGAGGUGUAUCUUCUUCGGAUAUGCUAAUAGAGUGAAGGGGUAUCCUCUGUGGGACCUCACUGCCUACAAGAUCGUCAUUAGCAGAGAUGUUAUCUUUGUAGAAUAUCAAAACAGUAAAAGAUAGAUAAGGAUGAUAGCACUGUAAAAAAAAAAAGUCAGAGACUGUACUGGUGUAUGUGAAAAAUAAUCUAAAAAAAGCAGUACUAGGGCACGAAUAAAAAGAACCAGUCAAGUCUGAGGCUCCAGAAGUUCAUUGGUCAACUUGUGAGAGACGACUGCUAGUGUGGCACUCGAAUUAUGUCACAAAAAUUAAUGUUUCGUACUGUCUUCUAAUAGAGGAUGGAGAGCCAUCAACUUUCCGUGAAGCUUUAAACAGCUCAGAUGUUACUUUGUGAAUGAUAGCAAUGCAAGAAGAAAUUGAACCUCUAUACAAGAAUAAGAUAUGAAAACUUGUACCAUUAUCACGCGGAAGAAAAGCCAUUGGAACCAAAUGGGUUUACAAGAUCAAACGUGAUGGUAAUGACCAAGUAGAGCAAUAUCGUGCAAGAUUGGUGGUGAAAGGAUAUGCUCAGAAAGAAGGUUUUGACUUCAACAAAAUAUUUUCCCCGGUAGUUUAAGUUGCAACAGUCAGAGUAGUCUUGGCAACGUGUGCUAUAUUUAACCUACAUCUAAAGCAGUUUAGAUGUGAAAACUUCAUUUCUUCAUGGAGAACUUAAAAUUGAAAAGGGCAAGGAGAACUUGGUUUACAGGUUGAACAAAUCUCUAUAUGGUCUCAAACAGAUGCUGAAGUGUUGCUAUAAGAGAUUUGAUUCAUUCGUCAUAAGUCUUGGAUACGACAAAGUCAGUUCAGACCAUUGUGCGUAUUACAAGAGGUUUGAAGAUAAUGAUUUCAUUAUUUUUCUAUUAUAUGUGGAUAAUAUGUUGGUAGCAAGUUCCAACAAAGAUCGAGUCCAAGAAGUGAAGGCACAGUUGGCUAAGAAGUUUGAAAUAAAGGACUUGGGACCAACAAACAAGAUUCUAGGGGUGUAAAUUCACCGAGAUAGAAAUAAUAGGAAGUUUUAGCUCCAUAAAAGAAUUACUUGAAAAAAAUCUUGCGGCACUUCAAUAUGCAAGAUUGUAAGCCAAUUUCAACCCCACUUUUAGUUAAUUUCUAAUUAUCCUCAAAUAUGUGUCCUAACAAUGAAACAGAGAGGAAGGAGAUGUCUCAAGUAACCUAUGCAUCAACAGUGGGAAGUUUAAUAUUCGUUAUGAGAUGUACUAGAUCAGACAUUGCAUAAGCAGUGGGAGUAGUUAAUCAAUAUAUGGUGAAUCCUAAAGAACAUUGGAAAAUUGUGAAGAGGAUUCUAAGAUACAUCAGAGGAAUCUUAGAUGUUGCAUUAUGUUAUGGAGGAUUACAAUUUAUUGUCAAAGGUUAUGUGGAUUAAGAUUUUGCAUAAGACCUUGAUUAAAAAAAAUCCACUACUGGCUAUGUGUUUACACUUGCAAGAGGUACCGUGAGCUGGGUUUCAAAAUUGCAGACUGUUGUGCCUCUAUCUAUAACAGAAUUAGAAUACAUGGCAGGUACACAAACUUGAAAGGGAGCUAUGUGGAUACAAAGAUUAUUGGAGGAGCUCGAGCACAAACAACAGAAAAUUCUUAUGUUUUGUGAUAGUCAGAGUGCUUGCACAUUACAAAGAAUCCAGCCUUUCAUUCCAAGACAAAGCACAUAGGAGUUCAACUCUAGCUGUGUCAAAAAGUGAGUAGUGGGCACUGCUAACGUCGUACCGAAAAGAAAAGAAAAAAAAAGGAAGAAGAAGAAGAAAGAAAGGGUUACGGGCCGCUUAAGAAAAAAAAAUAAAAUAAAAUAAUAAUAUUAUUAUUUUAAUUAAAAAAGAAAGAGGAAAUGAUGCUAUAAAUAGAGGGCUUCAUUUCCCUCCUAUGCAUCCAAUUCUUCUUUUCUUCUUCAAAUCCAUUUUCAGAGAAGAGAAAGCCUAGUGAAAAUUGAGUGAUUAGUGAUUUGAGAGAUUGAGUGUAUUGGGGUUUUGGAUACGUAGCCAAAAUAUUAUAAUACUUGUAAUUCUCAUUUCACUAAUAAAAUAUUUUUUUUCUGUUUUCGCCCAUGAACGUAGGCUAAAAUAUUAUUAUUUUAUUAUAUUUUUUAUUAUUAAUUUUCCUUUCUUGAAAGGCCGCCCACCUUUUCUUUCUUCUUCAUUUUUCUUCCUUCCCUUUUCCCUGCGGCAUUAGCAAUGCCCACUGCUCACUUUUUGACACAAUUAGAGUUGAAAUGAACAAAUAGCAGACUUAAAUAGAAGUGCAUUGACAACGAGGGGCCAGAACAUAGUUUUCAUUGAAGACCUUUCUAUUUCAUGAAAUUUUUUACUAUCUAGUCCUCAGCCUACAACAUAGUUUUGCCCGUGUAUAUAUCUCCUAAAUAUAGGGUAAAUCUUGCCUCAAAUGAGCUCAGAUUUCUAAACCAUGCUCGAUAUACUUUUGCUAUGAAUGCAUAGAUCAGUUUACUAGUUAAUUAGGAAACAUUGUCAACUAUUUUUAUGGAAAGCAUAUUUAUAAAUAAAAUAAAAUAAAAAUCUAAAUUAAGAUUCAUGUCAUACCAAAGGUAGAUACCCGGCCUACGUGCCAAAUUUGACAAAAGAAGAUGCCACCUUUCUCAUGAACAGCAUCCACAAUUGGUUUCCAAGCUUCCACUUGCUCCUCUGUCCAAAUUCCAGGGGUGUCUGGAUACCUUCAAUUUACAUACAUCAAUUGUUUAUUCUCAAAAGUGAUUCUCCAAAAUCUGCUAUUCUUAUCCCACAUAAUAAAUUAUUUUAACAUUAUUUUGCGGGUAUGACCAAAUAUUCCUUAUAUUCCUUUGCAAUAACGACAAAAUUGCUACUCGAUCGGGCAAUAUUAAUUAAAAUUAAGUAACAAGUAAAUAGUUUCUCCAAUUGCCUUCAUGGAGUCCCCUGCCAAUAAAUUUCUUUAAUAAAAUUAAUAAUCUAUUAUGCUUCUGAAAUCAACUUAUCACACUAAUUUAACUAUUUAUCUUGGGAAAAAAAUGUGGGACAACUGUUGCAUGGUAUCACAAUUUUUUCUUUUAUUUUUUGACCUCCUGCUUUCUUUUUCAUUUAUAAUUUAUUUAUAUGUAUUAUGAUAAUUUUAUUUUUGCAUUCUCUUUUUCUCUCAUCCAUAUUCAGAUAUUCUGCCCAUUUUUCUCCAUGUAAAUAAUUAAUCAGUCAUUAGUUAACAACCAUUUCAAAUAAAUAUAUAGUUAAUCAACAAUUAUCUCAAUUAUUUUUCACAUCACAACUAAGAUAAUAUGCAGUAACUUGAAUUGAAUAUUUAGACAGCAUUGUGAGGUUGUUCCAAUUAAAUAAAUUAAAAUAACAAACCAAAUUUAUUGGUUAGAAAUGAUUGAUGUCAUGUUGAUUUGUACUUAUAAAUGAAGUUUAAGUUUUGUUGUCUUCAAGAAACUAAUGACUUUGAAAUUAAAUGUCAUUUGCAUUAUAGUUAAAGCACAGUCUGCCCAUAUUUAGAGUGGCAAUCAAAGUGUAAGGAAAAAAGAUAAAGUAUAUAGUUUUUAUAAUUAUUAAUUUAAUAUUUAUUUUAGUAAUGUCACGCUACUUUUAUUUUCCAAGUAAAUUUUUAAUUAAAUUUUAAUUUCAACUCAUCACUUAUGUCACUCCUUAGAUUAAAUAAUACAGAGAGUUAGAUGUUGACGUUUAGUUUUAAGUCAAAUUUUUAAGUUGAGACAUCCUAUCCAUUUUUUAAUUGGUUAAUUAUUUACAAUCUUGAAACAAUUUGGAUUUAUGAGUUAAAAUUUUAAAACAUUCGAUUUUUUAGAAUUUUAGUACACAAUAGGGAGUGUAGUGCAAGAGUUGCACGGUAGCUAGACACCCUUUCGUUUGAUAACAGAAAUCAUAUCUUUUUCAUAAACAUUUAAAUAUGCAAAUGACACUUUCAAAAUAAAAGGGAAACAAAAUUACACAAUUACCCUUGAGCGGUGUCAGAGACCCCAGUUGCUUCAGCAAUGAGGAGACCACCAUUGGUAGCGUGCUGAGAGUAGUAUAAAAUGGCAUGUGGCUGUGGAACGUUAUUGUAUGAGAGUAGUAUAAAAUGGCAUGUGGCUGUGGAACGUUAUUGUACGAUCUAUUUCUGGUCAACGGAGGCAACACUAUUCUGCAAAAAUUAAAAACUCGAUAUAUAAUUAAAUGUUAAUUAGCAUUACAAAUUUGAACGACGCGAAUUUUUUUCUCAUUGAUCCAAGACAUAGAAAACCAUAUGUAAAAAUAAUGUUAUGAAAGGUCCUUCUCCCAGUACCGGCUUCAUUUAUCUUUUUGGUACCAACGUCUUUGGAGAAAAGCGCCCGACGUCUGUCAUUUUGGGCCCUUUUGGUGGGUCCCAAAAACUUUAAUAAUACAAUUUAAUAAAAAAUAAAAAUUAAGGAGACGCAUCUACUUAUUUCUCUAAUUAAAUAGUAAAUCAAGCACAACGUUACACCACCUUAUGUUAAAAAAAAUUUAGAAUAUAUUAAGGAUAAUAUAAAUAAUAUAUAUAUAUAUAUAUAUAUAUAUAUGAUAUGCAUAGUUAAAUUUUAUAUAACUACUAAUUACAUAUUAGUUCUCUAAAGUAAAUACAUAUAUGUCAUAAUAUUAUUUAUUUGUAAUAUAAUUGACAUGAUAUCUCAUAACUAAUUUAGAAUUUCUCCAUAUGAAGAUACUACACUUAGUCAUAUAAAGUUUUUUUUUUUUAAUCCUUCACUUAACAUUAACAAUUCAUAUAAAUUAUCAAGCCCAAAAGUUAGGUAUCCACAAUUAGAGAGAUUCUCAGAGAUACCAUAAUCAAUUAAUACAUGUAUGUUAUACGAUAUAUAAAAAUAAUAAUUAUAAGAAUACCCUAACUUUGAUAAAACAAAUAAAUUUCAAAAUCUAAGAUGAUGAUUUUUAAAUGAAAUUAUAAUUACAAAAAAUGUCAUCUUGUAAUUAUGACUUUUGUAAUUUAAUUUCAUUUAAUUUUUGUGAUUAAAUUAAUUAUAGGGAAGAUCACAAAAAUUAACAUAAAAAAAAGCUCCCUAUAAUUAUUGUAAACUUCCCUAGAAUUAAUAUUAACAAACUUUCCUAUUCAAAUUGAAUGAAAUUAUGAUUACAAAAAAUUAACAUGAUAAUUUUUAAAUGAAAUUAUAGUUAUAAAAAAGUUAACAUAUUGAAGUUAAUAUUUAUUUAUUUUAUUAAAUUCAGAGGUAUUCUUAUAAUUAAUUUUAUUAUUUUUCAAAUUUUUGUAGAAUAAAAUGGUAUUUUAAUUCAUUUAGAGAUAAUAUGGUUAUUUUUAAAUGUCAAAGUAGUUGGUUGAUACAAGAUUGAAAAUAAAGGUGAUGUAAAGUAUAUCUUAAAAUUUUAUAAUGGUUAAAUAGACAUAUGAUGAAACAAAAGUGAUGCAGAGAUAAAUUUCCUUUUGACUAACCCCUCUAGAAUCUACCAUUGGUGAUGAUCUUGAUGAUUAGAUUGUAAUAGUAACUUCUCUGAUAAGUGAUCCAUUUUUGAGCUUAUCUGCAUAAACAAAAAUGAAGAUGAAAUCACUGUGACGGAGCCAAAAAUAAGUAAACAAACUGAAGAUUCAGAGAGUUCAACAGGUAAAUAAAUAAUUAACAUAAAGAGAUUAAUUAAUUUUUAAUUUACUAAUUCAAUUUCAGUAUUAUUAAUUAAUUUUUCAAAAUAAUAAUAACGAUUAUAUAAUUUAUAGAUUCUGUUUUCAUGGUGAUUAACUCAGAUGAUCAACAGGAGGAUGAGUGUUGUGCUCGUUAUUGGCCGCUAUACAGAAUGAUAGAGAAGAAUGAUUGGCGAGGUGUGGAAGAUUUCGUCACUAAUCAUCCCGAUGCCUUGACCGCCAAGACUGUUGCACCGGGUUCAACGAAUAUUUCAGGCGAUUGUGGAGUCGUUGGUUGAUGUUGAGUCUGAUGACGCCACCUGCCUCCUCGAUAAGCUCUCGUAAAAGGUCGAUCCACAAACACUAGCACGACAAGAUGUACAUGGGCGCACAGCUCUACAUCAAUGUGCGGGAAAAGGGAAUCUAAGGUCCUUAAAAGUCAUAUUGAAGUAUAACUCUGAUUUAACAAACAUAAGGGGCGGUGUGAACACCCUUCAGGUUCAUAAGGCAGCGUAUGAGGGUCAUAAGGAUACGUUUCAGUAUCUACUAGAGGCGACUCGUGGAGUAGAUGUGUACAUUGAAUUUGGUUUAUAAAAGUCCAUUCUGAGGCUGGUUCGAUUGAGGAACCGAACCUUAGAAAAUUUAUUCGGUUUGUUUUGAUCUCGUUUAGAUAAUAAUUGAUCUUUUAUAUUUGUUUCAUUGAGAAGGAACUAUUCUUCUGAUUCAAAUCAGACCUUUCCCUUUAGGAACAAUAUUUAUUCCUAUGAUUUUCAUUUGAUUUCUAUCAACUGGCAAUUAAAAGCUGCGAUGAAAAUAUUUGGACUACCAACCUGUCUGGGAUGCUCGAAAUCCUUGGUCGUAAGGUGACAAAUGGUGCCUAUUUCCUUAAUAGAACCAACCUCACAAUGAUGGCUUUUGUUAACAAAAGUGAAGAACAAAAUUCUAAAGCAAUCAAGAAGGUUACAGAGAAACAAGGAUCGUGAAAAAUGAGGCUUACAUCAAAAGGGAAUCGAAAAACCUCAUUUAAGGCUCUGUUUUUCACCUACUGGACUACUGACUAAUUUUAAUUACAAGUUCAAAUAAAAUGUUCUAAACACUUAAGAAGGAUUAUAGAACAAUCGUCAUGAAAAUUGUUGAAUUUAAACUCGGCAAAUAACCUAGUUUAAUCCCCCAAGAUCCACUCCUAAGCACUUAAAUCUCAGAAUUACACCUAUAAAAGAUCAAGCUUAAUGCAAUUGACUCUUAACGAUUCAAGAAUGGUAACCAAAACAACAAGAAAAGAAACAAAAUUACACAAUUUGACAGUAGUAGACGCUUCAAGCAAACUUACAUCCAUUGCGAAAAGAGAAGCAAGAUUUCACUAAUUUGGGUUUUUCAAGAUUCAAUGUUGCAGGGAGUGUGUGACAGGAUCACCAGAUUUUAAUAACCACUCAUAAGGCCUUAUAUACAGAGAGAUGUUCAUCUAGAAAUGUCCACUAAAAGUCAGCUCACGUAUUUCUGGAUUUGUUAUCAAAAUCCACAAGCUUCUCGUGCAUAUAACGGCCUUAACAGCCAUUUGCACCCGUUGAUGGAGUCAAUGCUUCAUCUAUUCUGUUAUGUAAAACAGCAAAUGUAGCUGUUGUAUUUGAUAAGUGAUGCACGUGAUAAUCUCCCAGCUGAAUCACCUAAUCUCCCAGUUGACAAUACAUAAAUGUCAGACGUCCUUCAGAAGCUCUACAAAUGGCAUGUCAUACAUGCAAGUCAUACAGGUCUAGAGAAUGUAACAGGCUUGUCAUUCUCGAUCGCAAACCCAAAUUUGAGCUUGAUCCUUUAACAAAAAAUGACCAAGAAAUGGCUUGGUGGAAGUAUGUCUAAAAUGGCAAAAAUCAUAGAGGAUAAUUGUUCCGAGAAAUUGGGUAUUCCUAUGCUAUAUAUGUCUCUACCACCUGGUACAUUGAGAGUUGCAGUGAAAACUAUUGUGAUUAUGAGUGCAACAAUUGAGCAACAUGAAACUGAAGAUGGUUUAUCAAUAUGUCAUGGUAAAAAUAUGGAUAAACUAUAGAGAGUUAAAACAUAAAAUAGACUAAAUAGUCUUAACACUUUUGUGAAAUUAAUCCCCUUUUUUUGAGUGAAGCCUUUAGGUUUAACACCUAGUAUUCCUAUAUAUGUCUCUACCACCUGGUACAUUGAGAGUUGCAGUGAAAACUAUUGUGAUUAUGAGUGCAACAAUUGAGCAACAUGAAACUGAAGAUGAUUUAUCAAUAUAUCAUGGUAAAAAUAUGGACAAACUAGAGAGAGUUAAAACAUAAAAUAGACUAAAUAGUCUUAAUACCUCUUUGAAAUUAAUCCCCUUCUUUUGUGUAAAGUCUUUAGGUUCAACACCUAGUAUUCCCUCUUUAACCUUAUAAAUUGACUUACUCCAUUCUACUUUCUCGUAUGCAAGCCUCUCUAUUGGAUCCCAAGCAUGGUUUUUAAUCAAUGACUACAUUUCUGCAUCCAUGGCUUCCUAGCAUUUUUAUUAUCUAUACUUUUAGCAGCCUCUGAGUGAGUCUUUUUUUUUUUUUUUUAUCAAUUUCAACCUCAUGUGCUAUUGGUAAUCCAAAUGCAAUCGGAUAUGCAUAAGCAUACCUCUUAGGUUGCUUUAUUACCCUUUUCUCUCUAUCUCUCACUAACUAAUAGUCUCUAAUUUCUUGAUCACCUGUUUGCUCAUCUUCUGAUUCAAAAAUGUCUAUAUCAGAUCCUAAUUCAUGUUCAGCUCUUGGUUUCCGCUUUGUAUUCGAAGUUGACAACUCCGCCCCAAAAUGAGUCUUCUAAUCUCUCACAUUUGGCUAUGUGAUAUCAGGUUUACAAUGAGUUAAAUUUUGAAGCAUCUCAGACUCAUUAAACACAACAUCUCUGCUAAUAAUAACUUUUAAUGAUUUUAAAUCAGCGCACUAGAGUUUGUACCCCUUCACUGUAUCAGGAUAGCCAAGAAAUACACACUUUAAGCCCUAGGUUCAAAUUUACUAAGAUUUUGUUUUGUGUUCAAAAUAAAACAUAUGCAUCCAAAAAUUUUGAAAUAUCCAAUAUUGGGUUUUCUAUCUUUGUAAACCUCAUAGGGAGUUUUAUUGAGAUGGGGUCUAAUCAACACAUGAUUUAAUAUUAUAAAAUGUUUCAAAAAUGUUCUUGUUUAGAAAUUCAACAACACUUGUAUGAUUUCAUAAUUUCCAAAACUCUUCAAAUUAGUCUAUAUAAUUGAAAACAAACCUUUUGAUGAAAACACUUUCCAUUUUUCUUCAAGUAUAAAAACUUUAUAAUAUGAAAACAAUGAUCGAUUAAAUAUCAUGAUCAUGAUAAUAACUGGAGUUUCCAAAUGCUUAAUCAUGCACACAUUUUAUCAUACUAGUUUUAUGAGAAAUGUGACAAGAAAUAUCACUUAAGCUUGAGUUUCUAAAUGCUUAAUCAUGCACACAUUUUAUUAUACCAGUUUCAUGAGAAAUGUGACAAGAAAUAUCACUCAAGGUAGUAACCUUGGUGCUUAUCCUUAACUUGAAGAGUUUUGUCCAUUGAAUGCUUUGAACUUGAUCUCAGAUGGAUGAUUUUUAUCCUUUAAGAGCUAGUGAGAUUGAAAGAACAUAUUUUCUAUUUUAUCCUUGACAUGUGUUUUAUUAUCGUAAAAAUAAUUGUUUAACAUUUAAGUCAACACAAAGAAAUUUAGAAUUGAAAUAACUCCAAAAUAACUCCUCAAAUCAAGAUUUACCAAGAAAAUGCCAAAUUUUUCAUGAAUCCAAACCCUAAGCAUUUUCCCCAAUUCUUUCUUGCUUUACCCAUGAGUUUGCAAAUGGAAAAUGCUUUUCCUUUUCCUUUUUCCUUUUUUUUUAAAAUUAACUUAAUAACAUUAAAAAAGGGCUAAUGGCCUUGGGUUUUAAAAUUAAUAGUGUGGGCUGUGAAUUUGUUUAAGCCCAACACCAAUUAACUUUUAUAUUCAUGAGUUAUUAUACAAAUAACUUGUAUAAAUAUGAUUAUAAGUCAAGGUGCUACGCUUAGUUUAUCAUCUUAUUAACUUUUGUUUAACAAAAAGGUUGGUAGAUUAAUAAAUGGUGCAACAAUUCAUUCAACUAAAUUUUGGCCAAUGCGUAAUUAAAAAAGAUUUCCAACAAAUAAAAGUAAGAAUUCAAGAUUAUAUAAUUAGAAUUCAAGAUUAUAUAAUUCCAAUUAUGAAUGCAAAAUGGAUCUCCAUUAACAUGUGACAAUCGAAGAUUAAAUAAUUCACAUUUAUUAUGUACAUAUCUAAAUUAAUAUGUAUAUUUGCAUUUUUAAUUUUUAAUUUUGUUUAUGAUUUAAAAAAUUUGUUAAUUAAUUUAAAAUAAAAUUUUAUCCAUUUCCUACAUAUAACCAGCAACUUGAAUAUUAAUUACCUAUUAAUUAUCAAAUAAUUAGUUACUUACCUACUAAAUUGAAUCAAUUGUGAAGAUUAAAAGAUUUAAAUCUAAAGGUUGAUGACAUCCUCAUUACACCAUGGGUUUUUUGCUCCUAAAAAUUCUCCCUUGUAGUCCUAGGAUUUAUGAUUUUUAAUUUUCUGUAGGCGGUAGAAAGUCUUAUCCAUCCAUCUUUUCGAGAAGCUAUAAAUCAUCAAAUGCAAAAUCCCAGAAGGUCUUUAUCGAAGAGCACAAGGAUGGUCAAAGAAGUAAAAAAAUGAAUAAAGGAAACAGCUUCAUCUUGCUCAGUUUUGCUGCACUCGUAAUCACUGUAGUGUUUGCCGCAGCUUUCACUGUACCUGGUGGCAGCGAUAGCGGAGGAAUUCCAAAUUUGUUACAUAAACUAUCUUUCACGAUUUUUGCCAUUUCAGAUACGCUUGCACUCUUCUCUUCCAUUACUUCAGUUCUGAUGUUCUCGGGCAUCCUCACCUCACGCUAUGCAGAAGAAGAUUUUCUUGUAUCGUUACCAAGGAAGUUAAUUAUUGGCCUCACCACCUUGUUCUUUUCUAUUGCAAGCAUGAUGGUAGCCAUUGGUGCAACCGUUUUUAUAUCUCUUUACCACAAAUGGAAUUUGGUGUUUAUUCCAAUUACCCUUGUUGGAUUUGUCCCUGUCACCUUGUUUGCUCUGUUGCAGUUUCCUCUUUUGCUUGAUAUGUACUCAUCCACUUAUGGCCACAGCAUCUUUAUGUUGAAAAAAUAGCAUGUAUACAUGCUAUUUUGAGGGCACAUUUUGAGUGGGUCCCACUUAACGAAAGUGGAAAAUCUUGUGAGGUUCGGAUUCUACUCCGUUGAUACUUUAAAAUUAUAAUCUUAUUUUCUCAAAAUGGUGCUUGGGUGAAUGAGAAAUUGUCUCUCAAAGUUCACUCUUGAAGUUGGAAAUUUGAAAGGAAAUGAGGCUUAUCCCACAUGGGAAAAAGAAGUCUAGGAAUUAGUGUUUAUAUAUAAGCACUUAACUAUGCAUGAGUAAGAAUUAAAAGGAUAGAGGCUCUCUCCACACGCGCGUGUGCAGGAAAUGUAAGGAUAUUAGACCGAUUUGGUUGAACUCGUGUGCGCCUGCGCGUCUUGCGUACGCGAAUGUUAGCCUAAAAUCAUCCAUGCAAAGCUUUGGCAUGUUUUUAAUUUCUUUUUGAAUUUUUUAUUGUAACAGUUUCACGUUUUGAAUUCAAAGGAUUUGUAACAAUUAAAUAAAAAUUGUUAUUUAAUCUCUGUGUAAAAGAAUCAAUGAAGGUGAUGAACAUGUUCCCCGGCCCGUGGACGAACCACGUUAAUAGCUGUGCUCUGUGACUCUUGGCUGAAUUUUUAGUUUCUUUCCUCGUUUCUGAGUUAAUCAUCAUAUUUCUCAUUCGUUUAUUCUUUGUUAAGCAAUUAAGAUUGAACCUGAUCAGGGGUCUUGGGGAGUGUUUCUUUAAAGCUUGAUAUGAAUAGCUAUGAAGCACUUCAGUUAUAUUCUUGGUUGAAUAAGGUCCACAAGAUCGACAUUUUUCAUUCCACCAAAAGACAUAUAUGAUUCUCUUAUGUCAUGCUUGGUUUGAAGAAAAGGGAGAAGAGGAAAAGAGUGGAAUGGAGAGGAAGGGAGAAGAAAGGAAUGGAGAAAAGUAGUGAAAUUAAAUUUUAUUGUUUGGUUUGAUAUAAAAUUUGAUAAGGAAAUGAAUUAUAAUUUUUUUCUUUAGACAAAUUUAUCUUUUACCUUAAAUAUUAAACUAUUUAUAUUAGUAAUAAUAUAUAUAUAUAUAUAUAAUAAAAUGACGGUCCGGUGGCCGAUGGCAGAAGUCCGGUGAUUUUCUGGUGAGGUCCAGCGGUGAUCUAUUUAUAAUAUUAAAUCAAUAAAAUAAAAUUAUAAAUAAUAAUUAUUAAUGGCAUUAAAUAAGUUAAAAAGAUGAAGGGUAAUUUUAGAAAUUUUAGUUUCUAAUAUAAGAGGAAUUUAAAUUCUUCACUACUUAGUGUGGAAUUCAAAUUCUACAUUAUGAUGGAUAUUAAAUUUUAAUGGAAAUUAAAUUUUUAUACAUUUUGUCAAACCAAACAAUGGAAAUAAAUGUUGAAAAGUCAGCCCACAAAGCUUAUUUUCACACGGUUUUUUCUUGACAAAUUGGAGGUUGGUGGCACAAAUAUUUGACAGGUUGUUGCCAUGCAUGCAUUCAACUUUGGAGAAGCAAAUUUGAAGACAAAUUCCUAAGGUAGGUGCCUAAUUUAUGUUGAUAAUUUUGUUGGGGUUGGUGCAAUAGUGCACCCCAUUUUUCCUUAUAAAUAGAAGGCAAUUCCUCAUUUGUUAAUCAUCCCAAUUUAAGAGAAGUAGAGAGCAAUUGCAAGUGAGUUCUUUAAGAGAAUUUGAGAGAGCUUCCACUUGAGUGUUCUAGCGAGGUUUCAUUUGGGUGUAUUGGGGUUGUGGGUUUUGUGAAAUUUUCCCAUUUUUGUAAAGUCCCAUUGUUAAUAAAAUUAUCUUCCAGUCUUUGCCUGUGGACGUAGGCAUUACGUCGAACCACGUAAAUCAUUGUAUUCUAUUUUCUUUGCAUUUGUUUAUCACCACAUUUAUAUUUCUCCACAAGUUGCAGUAUUAGUAAUUUCUCAACCCACGUUUCCGCAACAAGUGGUAUCAGAGCCGACGGUUCGUACUUGGGGGGAUACGGUACUAUUCACGUAUACGGUACUGUUCACGUAUACGGUACUAUUCUUAUAUACGGUACUGUUCACCAAUAUAGUGGAGACGACCAUUUAUAGUUAGGAGACAGUCUAUUGUAAGUAGUGUGUAUUUUUGCAUGUCUAGGAAAGUUCUGUCAACAAAGGCGAUAAGAGUCUAAGGAUUCUAGUUUUUAAUUGGAACCGAGUUCCCGUCCAGUCUCCUGGGAACUUUCCUGGUGCAUUUAUUCACUCGAAAUAAACAUCAUAGAAGCUGUUUUUUUAAGUGUAAAUAGUUGUUGAAAAAACUGAUCAUUUGAGAUAAAAAAAAGAUGGCAGAGGCAUCGUCGUCGUCGUCAUCAGCGAGAACUAUUGUGAUUAAUGCAAAGUUUGAAGUGGAGAAAUUCGAUGGUACCAAUAAUUCUGGUAUGUGGCAAUCUGAGGUGUUGGAUGUCUUAUAGGAAGGACAGUGUCACAUUCGAUGCUGUAUGCAGUGCAUUGUACAACUCUGAGACCAAAAAGAAAGACAAAAAGGAUCACAGAGAUACAGUUGCAAAAGCACUGACAGCGAGAGGUCGUUCGCAAAGCCGCAAACCUGGAAAAAGAAACAAGUCUAAAGGGAGACCUGCCAAAGAUGAAUGUGCUUUUUGUCGCGAGAAAGAGCAUUGGAAAAAGAAUUGUCCUAAGUUACAAAAAGGCAAGGCUAGUUCUGAUGCAUCUGUAGCAGAGCAUGAUGAGAAGUCAGACUUUAGUCUGGUUGGCAUGACAUUGAUAUGUCACUCAGAUUAGUGGAUUUUUUAUUCGGGUUGUACUUAUCAUAUGUGUCCUAACAAGGGCUGGUUUUCUAACUUCAGGAGCUAGAUGGUGGCGUUGUUUUUAUGGGCAAUGACAAUGCUUGUAAAACCAUGGGAAUAGGUACAAUCCAAUUAAAGAAUCAUGAUGGCUCAAUCUAAGUUUUGACAGAUGUUCGCUAUAUACCAAGCUUGAAGAAAAAUCUCAUCUCAUUAAGAGUCCUAGAAUCUAAAAGGCUCACAAUCACUUUAAAAGAUGGAUUAUUGAAGGUAGUAGCUGGGGCACUGACGGUGAUGAAAGACACAAGAAGAAAUAAUUUGUACUAUUUUCAAGGAAAUACAGUUAUUGGAUCAGCAUCAACAAUUUCUGAAAAAGAUGCAGAUUCAGAAGCAACCAAGUGGAGGCAUAUGCGUUUGGGACAUGCUGGUGAAAAAGCUUUGCAGACUUUAGCGAAGCAAGGCUUAUUGAAAGGUACAAAUUCUUGCAAAUUAGAAUUUUAUGAACAUUGUGUUCUGGGCAAGCAGACAAGGGUAAAGUUUGGCUUAGCAAUUCACGAUACAAAAGAAAUUCUGGACUAUGUUCACAAUAAUGUGUGAGGACCUACCAAAACAGCUUCUUUGGGAGGUAUGCACUAUUUUGUUACUUUUGUUGAUGAUUAUUCAAGAAAAGUGUGGGUGUAUUUGAUGAAGAACAAAAAUAAAGUUUUGGGCAUAUUUCUGAAAUGGAAGAAAAUGGUCGAGAUUCAGACUGGUUGAAAGGUCAAAACACUUCGCUCAGACAAUGGUGGUGAGUACAAGAAUGAUUCAUUUCUUCAAAUAUGCCAAGAUGAGGGUAUUGUGUGACAUUUCACUGUUCGAGAUACACCACAACAGAAUGGGGUGGCAGAACGCAUGAACCGGACUAUACUAGAGAAAGUUCGGUGUAUGUUGUCCAAUGCUGGAUUGGGCAAAGAGUUUUGGGCUGAGGCAGUUGUAUAUGCGUGCCAUCUAAUCAACCGUUUGCCAUCAACUGCAAUUGAGGGCAGAACACCCAUGGAGAUGUGGACUGGUAAACCUACCACUGAUUAUAAUUCUUUACAUGUUUUUGGUUCCACUACUUAUUAUCAUGUAAAAGAAUCUAAGUUAGACCCAAGAGCAAAGAAAGCAUUGUUCAUGGGUAUAACUGGUGGAGUAAAAGGAUAUCGUCUCUAGCGUCCUAUUACGAAGAAGAUUAUUUUCAGCAGAGAUGUAACUUUUGAUGAAUCAGCUAUGUUGAAACAAAAAGAUUCUCAAGAGGAUGACAAGACCAGUAGCACUUUACAGUAGGUGGAGUUUGAAAAAGUUAAAGCUGAUCCAGCUGGUGUCGAUGAGAUGGAUAAUGAUUCUCCAUCAACCGAAGAUGAUGAAGAGGUUCUGACUCAGGAACCUUCACAGCAACAAGCUUUAAUUGCAUAUAGAAGGCCACGCAGAGAGAUUCGCAGACCUGCUCGCUUUGUUGAUAUGGUGGCCUAUGCACUUCCAAUUGUAGAUGAUGAUGUUCCUUCCACUUACAGAGAAGCAGUAAGUAAUCCAGAAAGUAUACAGUGGAAGAAAGCAAUGAAUGAAGAAAUGCAGUCUCUUCACAAAAAUGAAACUUGGGAGUUAGUUACACUGCCCAAGAAAAAUAAGGCAAUUGGGUGCAAAUGGGUAUAUGCAAAAAAGGAAGGAUUUCCUCGUAAAAAUAAAAUUCGAUACAAGGAUAGAUUGGUAGCGAAGGGUUACGCUCAGAAGAAAGGAAUAGACUACAAUGAGGUAUUUUCUCCAGUUGUGAAACACUCGUCUAUUCGAAUUUUGCUAGCCAUGGUUGUGCAAUUUGAUCUUAAACUAGUUCAACUUGAUGUAAAAAUUGCAUUUUUACACAGUGAUUUGGAAGAGGAAAUCUACAUGACUCAGCCAGAUGGAUUUAAGGUUGCUGGAAAAGAAAAUUGGGUUUGCAAAUUGACAAAGUCACUUUAUGGGUUGAAACAAUCUCCGAGGCAGUGGUACAAAUGAUUUAAUCGAUUUAUGAAAGGGCAAAGGUACACAAGAAAUAAAUUUGAUCAUUGUGUGUAUUUUCGCAAGCUACAAGAAGGAUCUUUCAUUUAUUUGCUAUUGUAUGUCGAUGAUAUGCUAAUAGCAUCGAAGAGCAAAAAUGAGAUUGAGAAGUUAAAGACUCAACUCAAUCAAGAAUUUGAAAUAAAAGAUUUAGGUGAAGCUAAGAAGAUUCUUGGCAUGGAGAUAUGUAGAGAUAGAGCUCGUGGCAAAGUAAACUUGUCUCAGAAGAAAUAUUUGAAGAAGGUACUACAGUAGUUUGGCAUGACUGAGCAGACAAAACCUGUAAGUACCCCGUUGGCUUCUCAUUUCAAGCUUUCUGCACAAUUAUCUCCUUCAACAGAUGCGGAACGAGAAUACAUGUUACAAGUUCCAUAUUCAAAUGUAGUGGGUAGCUUGAUGUAUGCAAUGGUGUGUACAAGGUCUGACAUUUCACAUGCAGUUGGUAUAGUGAGCAAAUAUAUGCAUAAUCCUAGUAAAGGACAUUGGCAAGCUGUGAAAUGGAUUCUACGGUACAUUUAGAAGACCGUGUAUGUUGGUUUACUGUUUGAAAGAAACGCUACACUUGGUCAAGGUGUGAUCGGGUAUGUUGAUUCUGAUUAUGCUGGUGAUUUGGACAAAUGACGGUCAACUACCGGACAUGUAUUUACUUUUGCUGGAGGGCCAAUUAGUUGGAAGUCUACACUACAGUCUACAGUUGCACUGUCGACUACAGAGGCCGAGUACAUGGCAAUUACAGAGGCUGUUAAAGAGGCUUUUUGGUUACAAGGUUUGCUUGAAAACUUGGGAUUGGCACAGGAGCACAUUAAUGUGUAUUGCGAUAGUCAGAGUGCUAUUCACUUAACGAAGAACCAAGUUUGUCAUGUGUUGAGUGUUAGAAAAUUUAUAUUUAUAAAGGAGAAAAUCGUCAUUUUACAUUUCACGUCUUACUAACAACCCUUACUUUUAUGUAUUUAAGCUUCUUGUAAUUUAAUUAUGUGUGUUUUAUUUUAAUUAAAAUAUUUUAUGUAUUUUAGGGGCAUCAUGGUCAUUUCAUAAUAAACGAGAGAUCAGACUGCAAAACGGACAUCACUUUUGAACUCAAGACGGUCGAAAACCUUAGGAAGAGCAUAAAAGGAAAAAUGGCAUUGUUCACAUGCACGGUACUAUUUACGUGUACGGUACUAUCUACGUUACUGUUCACGACACUGUUCACAUAGACAGAUCGAUGACGUGGCAUUAACCGAUGAUGUGGCAUUGACUGAUGAGGUGUCACGAUCCUGUUGGGCUAAAAUUCUUAUGCACUGUUGAUUGGUGACGUUGCAGCAUAUUAGUGGACCAAAAAUCACGCGUACGGUACAUGCAUUACACAGGAUUAUUUUCAACCAAAUGUUGAGUGUUAGAAAAUGCAUAUUUAUAAAGGAGAAAACCGUCAUUUGACAUUUCAAGUCUUACUAACAACCCUUACUUUUAUGUAUUUAACCUUCUUGUGAUUUAAUUACAUGUGUUUUAUUUUAAUUAAGUAUUUUAUGUAUUUUAGGGGCAUUAUAGUCAUUUCACAAUAAAGGAGAGAUCAGACGGCAAAACGGACAUCACUUUGAACUCAGGACGGUCGAAAACCUUAGGAGGAGCAUAAAAAGAAAAAUGGCACUAUUCACGUGUACGGUACUGUCUAUGUUACUGUUUACGACACUGUUCACAUAGACGGAUCGAUGAUGUGGCAUUGACCGAUGAUGUGGCAUUGACUGAUGAGGUGUCACGAUCCUGUUGGGCUAAAAUUCUUAUGUACUGUUGAUGGUGACGUGGCAACAUAUCAGUGGACGAAAAAUCUCGCGUACGGUACAUGCAUCACACAGGAUUAUUUUCAACCAAACCGUGUUACUGUUCAUCCGGGUCAAACCAUAUUACUGUUCACCCACGUGGUCAAACCGCGUACUGUUGACUGAUGACGUGGCACAAUCCUAAGCUUCCAAACUGUUUUUAAUCCGAUGGCCAUGAUUUACUCCAUGUAUCUAUAAAAAGGGGGCCUCCCCCCCCUAAUUUGAUAUCUCUGAAUCCAUUUUUCGGAUCCAUUUUCUGUAAUUCCCUCUCCAUCUUGUAUUUUCUUCGUAUUUUAAUAAAUUCCCAUUUUGCCCCUAGUUCAAUUAUAAGUGGCUAAUUUUCUUUCAAGCUUGGGUUGAAGGUGAAGUCUCAACAUGUGUCAUGGGCUUUAUUUGGUAAAUUUAUUUUCUCUUCCCCUCUAAUUUUUGUGGAUGAUUUGACUUUUUGUCGACAAAUAAUAAUAGUCUUGUCUAGAUACCGCCUUGGUUACACCGGCUCUCUAGUAUAAGGUUAUUAUUAUUUGGCACGAUAAGCCCUUAGCACCAUAUUGAUUAGAGCGUGGUUCAUGAGGUGUGGAUUCCCCCCUCAUGAUUUAAUUGGCAUUAAUACGGAUUAUUUAGCCCAUGAUGCAUGUUGAUACGGAUCCAGAUACCCAAGUACGUCAUUUCAAUAGAAUUCUCUUCAAUUUAUUCUCACCAUUUCAAUACCAAUUUUAGAAUUUAUUCUCGCCAUUUUAAUUUAAGUUUUAGCAUAUUCCAAAUCAUUUCCACCACAAAUCCAAUCACCCAUUCACAAAAUUAAUUAUACACAAUUAAAAUCCAUCUCCUCGUGGGAUCGACACUCGUCACCAUUGAUCUAUACUACAAUAGAUUCGUGCGCUUGCGAGUACAUUAAAAUUUGCACAACACCAAACCGCAUCACUGUUCAACGCGGGUCAAACCGUGUUACUGUUCACCCACGUGAUCAAACCGCGUACUGUUGACUGAUGACGUGGCACAAUCCUGAGCGUCCAAACUGUUUUUAAUCCGAUGACCACGAUUUACUCAAUAUAUCUAUAAAAAGGGGGCCUCCCCCCCCUAAUUGGAUAUCUCUGAAUCCAUUUUUGGGAUCCAUUUUCUGUAAUUCCUUCUCCAUCUUGUAUUUUCUACGUAUUUUAAUAAAUUUUCAUUUUGCCCCUAGUUCAAUUAUGAGUAGCUAAUUUUCUUUCAAGCUUGGGUUGAAGGUGAAGUUUCAACAUGUGUCAUGGGCUUUAUUUGGUAAAUUUAUUUUCUCUUCCCCCCUAGUUUUUGUGGAUGUUUUGACUUCUCGUCGAUAAAUAAUAAUAAGCUUGUCUAGAUACCGCCCUGGUUACACCGGCUCCCUAGUACAAGGUCAUUACUAUUUGGCACGAUAAGCCCUUAGCACCAUAUUGAUUAGAGCGUGGUUCAUGAGGUGUGGAUUCCCCCCUCAUGAAUUAAUUGGUAUUAAUAAGGAAUAUUUAGCCCAUGAUGCAUGUUGAUACGGAUCCAGAUACCCAAGUACGUCAUUACAAUAGAAUUCUCUUUAAAUUAUUCUCGCCAUUUCAAUUCCAAUUUUAGGAUAAUCCAAAUCAUUUUCACCACAAAUCCAACCACCCAUUUACAAAAUUAAUUCUACACACAAUUAAAAUUCACCUCCUUGUGGGAUCGACACUCGUCACCAUUAGUCUAUUCUACAAUAGAUUCGUGCGCUUGCGAGUUCAAUAAAAUUUGCACAACAUCAUGCGCGUAUGAAGUACAUCGAUGUACAAUUUCACUUUGUGCGGGAAAUUGUUGAUGAGGGGAAGAUUCGUCUUCAGAAAAUUAAAACUGUAGAUAAUCCCGCAGAUAUGUUGACCAAGGUAGUGACGGCGAUCAAGUUUGAGCAUUGUCUAAACUUGAUCAACAUCUUACAAGUUUAAAAGCAGCCAGAGAAGGCAGAAACUAGAAGGUAGUUUGUUGAUAGUCGGCUCAGAUUUACUAAAUCUUCGCCGAGGUGGAGAAUUGUUGAAAAGUCAGCCCACAAAGCUUAUUUUCACACGGUUUUUUCUUGACAAAUUGGAGGUUGGUGGCACAAAUAUUUGACAGGUUGUUGCCAUGCAUGGAUUCAACUUUGGAGAAGCAAAUUUGAAGACAAAUUCCUAAGGUAGGUGCCUAAUUUAUGUUGACAAUUUUGUUGGGGUUGGUGCAAUAGUGCACCCCAUUUUUCCUUAUAAAUAGAAGGCAAUUCCUCAUUUGUUAAUCAUCCCAAUUUGAGAGAAGUUGAGAGCAAUUGCAAGUGAGUUCUUUGAGAGAAUUUGAGAGAGCUUCCACUUGAGUGUUCCAGUGAGGUUCCAUUUGGGUGUAUUGGGGUUGUGGGUUUUGUGAGUUUUUCCCACUUUUGUAAAGUCCCAUUGUUAAUAAAUUUAUCUUCCAGUCUUUGCCCGUGGAUGUAGGCAUUACGCCGAACCACGUAAAUCAUUGUGUUCUAUUUUCUUUGCAUUUGUUUAUAUUUAUAUUUCUCCACAGGUUGCAGUAUUAGUAAUUGCUCAACCCACGUUUCCGCAACAAUAAAAAGAGAAUUUAAAUUACUUUCUUUUCCUAUAUUCUCUCCUCCCAACCAAACACCACCUUAGUGGAUGAAAAAUUUAGAGAAACAAAAUAAUUUCAUUUUAUAACGACUUUGAUGUUUUACUUUUUAUGGAUGUCGUGUUUGAUUGAGAAGGAUCUAUUCUUCGUAAUCUAAUCAUGACCUUUACCUUUAGAAUCAAUAUUGGUUCCUAUAAUCUCCAUUUUAUUUCUAUCAUCCCCUAAAAUUGGAUAUUAGAAUUUGCGAUAAAAAAUUUUGAACUACCAACUUUUCCAUAUCAUGAGCUAACUUGGUUCAAAAAGGACAAGAACCUACCAUACUUCUUAGAGAUAAUUACUUCCAUCCAUCGUGCUGGCAUUUAUGCUUGUCUUGAGUUAGUAAAAGUGAAACUUUCGCAAUAUCAAAGAACGCAAAGGGAAGAUGCUAUUCUCCAAUUAUUAUCGACGUGGUCGAUAAGUAAAGCCUUGAGAUAUGAAACCUCUCAUGCAAAUGCAGUAUAUAUAAGAAUGCAAAAGCCCGAUUUCAUUUAAUUUUGCAACAUCAAUUUCUCUCCUCUUUAAUUUUGUCAUCCAAAAUUAUUCACCACCACCACUCUAGCGGCUUCGUGGCAGCUGCCAGUCACCAUUUCUCUUCUCCUUCACAGGUUCUUAUUUUUUCUCUUAAAAAAAUUCUAAUUAAGGGACUUAUUUUUUAUUUAUUUUAAUUAACUUGGAGUUUACUAAAAAUUAUUCUUUAGUGUACAAAGUAUCGGGCUUGACAGUCUUUACUGAUAUAUGUAGCAUGUAGCUGAAAAAACAAUAAUGUUUCUAUAAUGUUAACGGACGCUGUAAACCAAAUGUAUAAGUCCUUUAAAAUGUUUUGUAUGAAUUUAACUUAAUUAAUCAAUUAUAUUUAUUAUGAAUUUUAUCUAUUUAAUUUAUUUAAGUUUCUACACUUUUUUUUUUCUGACUCGAGUGAUCUUCAAGUUGCCCUUUAUUGGUCCCUUUUUCUGUCCUGUAGCAGUAGCGUUGCUUUACAUUAGUAAAGCUAGCAGUUUAUUAAUUUUUUUUUUAAAGUUUUUAAAGAUUAGUCUCCCCCACCCCCCAACCAAAAAAAAAAAAAAACUUGAUCACUCUACAGAAUACAUUCCUCAGCCAAUGGUUGUUUACUCAAUGUUAUAGAAGCAACCCAGGUCUCUGUAAUUGCUCAAGGAUUAUUUUCUCUACAUUGUUUUUUUUACCUUUUUUUUUAAUCUGUAAUUACUACAUGGGUGAUUAAUAACCAACGUUUGCAAUUAAGAAAAUAAACCACUCACGUUUUGCUCUGUAUUAUUUAGCACUUUUUAGAAGGAAAGCGAGCAUCAUAUUAAUUUUAGCCUUCUAAAAUUUUUAAUAAUAAAUUAAUUCUUGUUUCAUAUAUAAAUUGACUAUUCAAUUUAUUAUUUUGACUCACAGGGUGGGAACCCCCGCGGGUGAUACUCAAGUUAUUUGUUUUAUUAAUAAAACUAGAAAAUAAAACCGCGUUUCACGCGGCUUUGAAAAAAGAAUUUAAUAUUAUCAUUUUUUCUUACUUUACACUUGAUGAAACUGAUAAAAAAUAUGAAUUGAUUUUUUUUUUUAAGAUGAGGCAGCCUUAUAAAAAACAAAAAAACAACUAUUAGCCGGCAAUACAAAUAAAGAAGUAACGCAAGAUAAAGAAUAAAAUGAGAGAAUAUAUUAUAGAGUGAUUUUAUUCAUUCCAAUUGUGUGUGUACAAAACAAAAAGAUGAGCUCUCCUUUUAUAGUUACAUAAUCACUCCAUGAAAUUAAUGAAAAAUUAUGGAUCAUAAUUCUUUGUGAGAUAAUGGGAGUUAUAGGGAAGUUAAAGCUUGCUAAUGGGAGAUAGUAGGGAGACUAAGAGAAAUAUGUUAUGAACAUCUACAUUUAUUUUAAUAAAUUCAUAACACUCCCCAUUGGAUGUUCAUUACAAAGAAUAUGCCUCAUUCAAAUCUUUACAUAAUUAUUAUUGUGUAAUAACAAUCAAAUUAAUUAUGAGAAGAUGAAAAGUCAAAUCUAAAAGAAAAUUUCUCUAUUUAUUAGAUAAUAGAGAAUAUACAAAUAUGAGAAAUGGUGAUGCCACAUCACCUCCUCAAGUCCCAGUUAUAUAUAUAUAUAUAUAUAUAUAUAUAUAUAUAUGGAUAUAGAUUUUUAAUAUUUUGUAAUGUAAUUAUUUUUUAAUCUCAACCAAUAUAUUAGAUAAUAGAGAAUAUGAAAAGAUGAGAAAUAAUGAUGCCACAAAUCUUAAAUAUUUAAUGUUUAUGGAGUUUGAAGAAGUCAAAAUGCACUAAACAAAAGAUUGAAUAAUUAAAUAUGGGAUUAUGACAUUAAAAUUAGGGUCUAAUGGCAUUGUUGAGGGAAGAAGAAGGAACAUUCCUUCAUAUAUUAAUAUUAAUUAAUUGAUGUAUUUUAAGCCACUAAAAUUUAAUUGUUGGCAUAAUAAAAUAAAUGAAUGUUUCAAGACUUAUAAUUAAUUAUUAUUAAUGGUUACAUAUUGUUGAAUUUAAAUAGAAAGAGAAAAAGACAUGUAAUCAUUUAUAAUCUAAUAAUUAUUUUCUAUUUUAAUAUUUUAUAAUGUAAUUAUUUUUUAAUUUCAACUAAUUUAUUAGAUAAUAGAGAAUAUGAGAUAAUGAGAAAUGGUAAUGCCACAUCAUCUCCUCAAGUCCCAACUUUAUAUAUAUAUAUAUAGAUAUAUAGAUAUAUAAAUAUGCAGGUUAAGUUUGCUCUUCCCAUCUUGUGAGUCAAAAUUAGGAAACAAAGUCUUCGAAUUAUUUAAUAUUGAGGUGUUAUAAUUUUAAUCACAGUUAUUGUAAAAAAAAAUAAUAAUAUAAAUGUUAAAUUAUAUUAUUGUUAUUAGCAAGUCACUUAUUGUAUCUUUUUAUCAAGUCACCAAUCAUUGAAUUGAUUCAGCUUUAGCACGCUUAAUUACAAAGCUUUUAGAUUAAAGUUUUCAUAUUCCUUUGAAAACUAGUUGGAAAUAAAAAAGAAUGAAUACAAAACCAUUUAACUUCAUCCAUUCAUAGUCCUAAGAGAUAUUCAUUGGCCCCCAUAAGGUCUACUGCCUUAUAAUAUAAUUUAAACUCAAUUAUUUUUUUAUUUGGCAAAAAUUAGCAAAUUAUCAUCACGAAAUGCCCAUUUCAGUGAACUAUCUUUUAUAAUAUAUAUAUAUAUAUUGGCAAUUCCAAAUGAAAUGAUAUUUUGAAUGAGGAAAAGACUCUAUUAGACAUUUAGACCGGGUUGCAGUUCUGGCACAUUUUGUAUUUGCUCUCAUUCUUCCUGAAGCUCAGUUAUGAUCUUACCUAAUUUGUGGACCCAUCUUACCUUCCACGUGAUUUUGUUCGUCGUUCAUAUGUACAAUUAUUUAUUCUGCGGACCCAGUCAUGCACCCACGUUUCGAAUAUGCAAUUUAAUCGUAGCCGUUCAUCUUACCUAAUUCUGUGAACGAACAAAAUUCCGCCGUCGAUCCUAUAUGUAAGUACCAACCGUGCAUUAUUACAAAAAUCUUACCGAUUAUGAAGCACCGACACCUAGGGCUGGAAAUUAUGAUAUUAGAUGUGUUUCUCAUUUGAAUUAUUUGGGGACAUGUAUAAUACAUGUCAAGUUCUCUAAUAAGACGUUAGUAACUUUAUUUAUCUAUAUUUUUUUAAUUUUUUAGUAUCUCACUUUACAUAUGUUUAAUAGCAUGUUUAAUUUGAAGAAAUAAAAUAAGAGGAGAAAUAAAUAAGAAAAAAAGAGAUGAAUUAUAAAUUAAACUAAACAAUGAAAUUGAGAAUGACUUUAUUUGUUUACUCAUUUUCUGAUCUCUUGCUCUAAAGAACCGGAAUUUUAAGAUAAGGCAGUCAAAUCGUAAAGAUUGAGGAGCAAAAAAUUUUGUUCUCCUUUUUAAAUAAAAAAUUUUAAUUUUUGAUGAAUUUUUAAUAUUAAAUUGGACAUUUGCUAAAUCGGAUCAAAUAUAUCAGAUAUUAAAUCUUAUUUUUAAUGGAUUUAAUUAGGUUCUGUGCAUUUAAAUUAUGAAAUUGGACAAGAUUUGUGUGUGAUUUUAAAAUAAAUUUGAACUUGAAUUCGAUGCAUUCAAAUAAUCAAAGAGACAAAUUUAUAAUUUCAUUUCUAAAUAAAACAUAUUCUUUAAAUUUUGGGAGCUGUUGUGGUGGAAUUGUUACACCAUAAAGUACUGAUGAUAACUGAUAAAUCAUAACGUAUGUACAGAUUUAAUAUUUAUUGCAACUGCUCCCACUAUUCUCUCAGCGGCUCUGCCGCUAGUCGCAUUCCAGCCACAUUUUAUCUUGCUAUUAUGCGCCACAUUUACAUAAGAUUGUAUCAGUUUAUUAUGCAUGCCUAUGUUAUUGACAUCCGCUGCAAAGUUUUUUUAAAAAAAAACACAUCUGCCACUUCGGCCUUGGCCGAAGUGGUGGGCUGCUGCCCUCACAAUGCUUUGUGAGGGCAGCGGUUCUAGCCCCCACAAAAGCAUUGUGGGGGCUAAAUGUUCUUUAUAUUUAAAAAUCAUUCUCCCUUGCGAAAUGCAAGUGGAUUAUGGACAUCCCUCUCCUGUGAGGGGUUAUUUGUCUGGGCAUGUACUUCAUAGAAUUUAAUGUAAUAAUGUAAGUCCCAAUCAUGUAUAUCUGAUUGUAAAUAUCAGUGUAAUAUCUUUGCUACAAUAGCAGUUGUUGUAAAUAUCUGUGUAAUGCAGUAAUAUGAUGAUUAAUCAGUAUUCAAAAAAAAAAAAAAACACAUCUAAUCUUUGCUUCAAUUCAAAUAUUGAUAUAUCUUUCUUUGCUUCAGGUAUAGAAAAGAAAAACACCGAGAAAUUAAGUUUAAUUCCAACUCCAAAUAUGGAAGAAGCCGGCAGAUCAUCAAACCGAGAAGCAAAUGAUCAAAGCAAUUUCUCCAAGUAAGAAAAUAAACGCGCCAACGGAGCAACCACUGUCAGUAUUACUGAAAAACCUUUUUUUAAUAUUUUAUAUAUUACAAUGAAAGCCCAACACAUAGUAUCAAUGUUCAAUUAAUGUCUGAUAUAUCUCUUUCUUCUCCAAUUCUUUCUUCUUAACUCUCUUUCGGUUUUCAAUCUAGCUAGUGCAAUCUUCAAAGCACCUUUAAGGUACGUAUAGUUCUCACCAGUCACAUGAUCAUUUUCUUAACAUUCUGAGCUACUUGUUUGUUUACACUCACAGACACACAAAUAAAAAAUAAAUAACUCCACCUGUAGUUUCUCUCUCCCCGUUUGCUUUUGUAGUUUUCUUAUCAAUUAGUUUGCACAAACUUAAAAUAUUGAUUAUCUUCUUUUUCUUUUUCAUAUUGAUUAUUCAUGUAAUCUAUCUAUUUGUUUCAAGAACUUUUGCAUUUCUUUUAGAAAAAUUAAUUAUCGAUGAUAUGCGCCCCACCAAUGAACCCAACUUUAACUUUACCAAGGCAAACUUCUGGGUAUUUUUAUAUAAGGUUGAGGUGAAAUUAGAGUAAACUAUCUAUCAUUACUCUUCCUAAUAAUUGUUUAGCAUCAUUAUGUCACCGUUAAAAAGGCAAAAUUACCAAG